rnacentral:lncRNA from 1 species
UAAUUAGUUAACGCCUAGUUAUCUCAGGUCAGAUAUUUCCUUUUCUGAUUGCAAAUCAAUAGAGCGCACUAAACUUGACACAGGCAACAUUUCUCGGAGAUAACAUCAUACUACUAAGUUAAGCAAGAAGCGACAGAUCUCUAGAGCACAUUAAGAUAACUGAACAACAGCCUCUUCAGAAAAUGAAAAUAACUUGCCUAGAUUGACACUAACAAAGAACGGCACACGCGCCUGCAUGCGUGGAGAUAACAACUUCAGUGGGUCGAAAGAAGCAACAAGAGGUAGAUCGACAGAGACAACCCAACACACGCGACAUUUUCACGCGAUAACUCUAACUUAACUAGAUCGACCGGGGCGGCAAGCGGCAGAUGCGCGCGCAUGCAUGCAUGCAUGCUCUGCUCUCCCUUACAGCGCGAAGGCGGCGGCCGCCGCCGCGGCGCCGGCAGUGCGCAGUAUCUGAAAAUACAGCUGCGAAUUCGCCACGAAUGCCGCGCGGGAGAUGAAGAAGCCGGCCGCGCCUGGCGCCUUCAUCGUGGCGCCGGCGGCCACCGCCCCAGCAGGCCAGAGGAAGUAGAUGCCCACGGCAGCGCCGGCGACCACCGCCGCGGCUGCGGCGGCUUCCAGCGCGCCUUCGUGUGUGGUGAACACGUCCUUCGCCUUCUGCUUGAACGAGUCCAUCUCGGCAAGCGUGUUUCUUCUGUGGUGCAGUAGAUGUUGCCUUGCUGGUACUGUGCCGAUCUUGAUGGAGAAGGUCCUGUGUUAGCCAGAGGAAGGGAGCGGGUGGUUUAUAAAGACGGAGGUGUCGUGGUGAGCGAACGCACUUCGGCCUUGGAAGUUGGAAUACGCCGGAAAAAUCGCACCCACCCCCUAGUUGCACGUAGCCAACGUAGCCACGCCCGGCUCAAUGUGGUUCCUCUUUUCUCCUCUGAAGUAAGUGCUGAGAGUGUGCUUGGUCCCAAAGCGAUUCUCAGUUUAAUAUUUCUUACCAAAAGAGUUUUCUUUUGAACAGGAAAUUUACUGAAAUUUUAAGUUUUUCUUUUGAACACAGUGUUAAGUUGAGGCGGCGUCAGUGAUGAGCAGCCUAUAUGCUCGAUCGCUCGAUGCAUACAUACACUAGCGAGGAGUAUUUUCCGAUAAAGAGUGAAGCGUAAACAAUCUCAAAUCAGAAUGAAAUGCCUCCAUCACGACAAAGGGAAAUGUGAUGACAUGGUGAGUACUCCACUGGGGUAGUAGUCCUAGGGGAAAUAGUAGUAGGAGUACGUGCUCGGGUCGCGGGCCAUGAAUAGUAACGCAAGACGAACGUUUUGCUCCAAUGGGAUUCGUCUGUACGACUGUACCGUGCCGCGCGGCGCGCCUAUCAGGCUUUCUCGGGAAGGAUCGCAGUCGGAGCCCCGAGGUGCGUCGCUGCAGUUGUUUGAGAAGUGUGCCUCGUGCCUGUUGGCGCUGGCGCGCGGUGGCGUUGGGAACUAUCGACGCUCGUCAGCUCGCCGAAGUUUUUCCAUCGUCGUCUUGAGCUUCCCGUCCUCUACUGAACGGAUGCCUUUUUUAGAUUGUUUGGUUUCAAAUAAGUCACCAACUUAUAAAUUGAAAGAUGAAAAAAGAUGACUUAUUUUACCAAAUGGACCCAACUUAUAAGUCACCCCAACUUAUAAGUCAUAAGUUACUCCAUUCCAACUUAAAACUUAUAAGUCACCUCCUUUUGCGUGGGUCCCAUCACCUGCAUGAUGUGGAUUGGUGUGAGAAUGUGUGAUCAGGUGACUUAUAAGUCAGGUGACAACCAAACAGACGUGACUUAUAAGUCACUGGUUUUAAGUCACCUGACUUAUAAGUUGGUGACUUAUUUGGAAUCAAACAGGCCCAAAUGGCGUAAUCAGUCAAGACCAGUGGUUUAAGAAUCAAAAAAUAUUUUUGUUAUCCUUCUUUUUGGGGCUAACUCAAUCUAUUCAUCUCCAAUUACAACAGUACAACGAACUUAAAAAAUAAAAAUAAAAUAUUUGGAUUCGUAGACCAUCUGACGAUGACUACAAACACUGAAGCGAGUCGAAGGCGCGCCGCCGUCAUUGCCCCUCCCUCGCAGGAGUCAGAUACAACUUUGUAGUAGACAUUCAAGAAGUCGUCUUGCUAACGUCAAAUAGGACAACCAGAACAGCAACCAUUGCUGACAAAGAGAAGCUAAGAUCAGAAGAAUUCAACCUGAAAACACAUGAACAAAGACGAACAAAGACCGGAUUUGAGCGGAACCACCAAAGAUAACCACCGGCCGAAUACACCGAGAUCCGCCGGAUACACACCUUCACACGCCCUCCGACGAUACUAGACACACCACCAGUAUAGGGGCUAAGCGGGAAGAAUCUUAUUCCAUCUUAAAGAAACAGUCACCGUCCACUACAAAAAAAAAGACUCAUCUGUGACAUUAUUGUCUGAAUGAAAACUUUUGGUCAUUGAUGUGACACUUCCAAGACGAUAAUUGUGACAAAAACAUGUAUCAUCGUAGAUGUGGUGGACUUCUACUUCUACAAGAAAAAAUUGUGUUGGAAUUGAUUCAACCAUGUUGUGACAAUUCAUCCAUGUUUGGUUGCUAUGCUUAGAGUUGUGUCAGGUCUGAUCUAUCUGGGUGAUGAAUUGGAAUGGUGAUGUUCAUGUCCUACUGUGUGAGAGCUAAAUGUGUGAAUACAAUUUAAUAAAGGUGGUGAUGAGAUGUCAUGUAGGAGUACAUGGUGGGUUGUCUUAUUGAGACCGUUCUUAAGAACUGAAUUUUGUGUAUGUUAUCCAAGAACGGUAGUACCACACAUUGGGCCCAAAACCCAUAAACCCUCUUGACUUACUAAUCGUUCUGAUCUCUGUCCAGGAGUUAGAACUAGUUUUUGUGUGUGUUUAUAGGAUAUGUGUUGGAGCCCAUGUGUAGCACUGACCCUAGGAGUGGACUAUGAUGCGGUAGACUACCCACAAUGGGAGUAACAUAGGUAUUAACAUCACACAUAACCAAAUAAAAUAGAUGAUGUGGCAAGCAAUAAAUGAAGAAAGAAAGGAAAGUGGUAACAUAGCUAGUUAGACUAGCCACAAUGGUCACUAGUAACAUACCCAUAUCCCUAGACUAUGUUACUACCUUCAUAGUGGGUAGUAACAUAAGUGUGGUAACACGCAAAGCUUCAUUUAUUAGGUUAUAGACUCAUAUUGAAUUGAGACAUGUGAUGUUACAGUAACUAGCUAAGUUACUAUAACUAUAUCUUUCCUCAUUAACUCAUUGCCACAUAAGCAAUUUUGCUGAGUUGGACUCGAUGUUACUAAUGAAAUUACUCCCACUGUGGCUCGUCUUACUAGUAAUAUGAGUAACAUCACACAUAUCAAGGCAAGAUGAGUCUAUAGCCUAAUAAAUGAAGUGUUGCAUGUUACCACACAUAUGUUACUCCCCGCUAUAGAGGUAGUAACAUAGACCAGUAACAUAUGCAUGUUACUACCCAUUCUGGUUAGUCAUAGAGACACCAUGGCACGGUGCACCAAGUGGCACAAGUUUGGUGGGCUUGGGAACCCUGCUCACAUCGUUUGGUGCCGUAAAGAAGACUUCGGCUGGACUUCCUUGCGGGUUCAGUCUCAAAUAGGCUAUAACCCAACACCCUCGCCAGGCUUCCGCUUGAAUGUUGUCGAGAUACAUGACGUGUAUAUGGUGGUAAGUGAUGGGAGCGUGUGUGAAGAAGAACAUCCAUGCAGGAUUAUAAGUGAUCUAUUCGAACAGCCGCAUCGAAUAUGGACUACUUGGAAGCUUAUAUGGUUCAUAGACAAGUUGAAACAGAUGUUCUAAAAUGCGCAAGAUAAGUAUGAGUGCUAUGGAUGGCCUUCUCAUAGGGAGACGGGAGAGGAUCCAUAAUGGUGUAUUAAUAUGAUGAAUAUGUGAACCCGUGUGCGCUCUCUCACCUCAAAGAAAAUACUCGGAGUUGUAGUUCAGGAUACCCACUGAGUCAAAGUAGGCUUGCUGCAAUCAAACUCCACGGCCACAUUGUUGGUACUGAUGCAUAUGUAGUUAGUUCUGAUGUAAGUCUUGUUGAGAAUCUUUGUACUCAUGGUUGCUUAAUUUAUAUUUUUGCAAAGGAGACGUUGGUCUCACUAGUGGUUCCAAUGAUGAGUUCGAUGUUGACCGAUUAGCUUGGAAAUCAGGUCUAGUUCCUAUGGAGGGGCUUGUAGAUAGUCAGGCUUUUUAGCCUUUUUCUUUUGUAGUUGUCUGUACUCGGACAUGUUUAUGCUUUCGUUAUUUCUAUGAAUUUUUAUGUUGGGUCAUGAGACCCAUGUUUGUAAUAUCAUGUUAUGUAUGGCUCCUCGGAGCCUCUUAAAUAAAUACGUUGACUUGUAGAAUUAUGUUUUGAUGCUAUGUUGUAUCUACACAUAUAAUGCAUUGGUAUGUGUGACGUUCGACACAUAGGUAUCUGCCUUUGGUAUCCUUUCCUACAGGAAAAUGCCUCUAAUGCUUCCAAUGAGCCUUGGUAGUUCGCUACUGUUCUGGAACACAUGGAUUGACCGGCAUGUAUCCUUCUUUGCUCUUGUGUCUAUCCCUGCGGGAAAAUGUCAAGAAGUGUUUUACUGGAGUCCUUGUAGCUUGCUACGACUCGAUUACACAUGCCGAUGACCGACACGUGCACUACCGGGUUACGUAUACAUGUCCUUGUACGUUUGUGCCACCUUGGUUUAUGACUAGUCAUGUCAACCCGGGUUCUUGGUUAUAUGGAUUCUAGCAUCACAAUCAUAUACAUGAGCCAAAAGACGCAAACGGCCCCGACCAAGGUAAAGGUGGCAGCUGCGAGUUACCGUGCGUGAGGCCAGAAAGUGAUAUUGACGUGCAUAUGCUAGACGUGCAUAUGCAAUGUUGUUGGUAUGAAUUCUAUAAAUAUCCAAAAUGCUAUUGAUGAUUGCACUAGUCAUGAAAAAAAGUUUCUUAUAAGCAUGUCAAUUUUUGUGGAGUGGAAAGACUUUGUGAAGACGUGCAUUAUAGGGAAGAUAGAUUUUCUAAGAAGCACAAACAUGAUAGAACCAAUUUUUUUCUAAAAGUGAUAGAUGAAUUUGCUACAAAAGGAUAUUAUCUUUGUCAUAUUACUUGUGACAUUGCAAUAAAGUUGGUCACCUUAAUUUCCAAUGCAUGCUUUUUCAUGAUCGAAUUGUGUCCCAAUAUUGCAAUAAUUUGAUCAUCCUAGAACUUUAUAAUGAACUUUGUUUAUUUUUUGGGAGUGAAGAAUUGACACAUAAAAAUAGUUGGUUUGAAGUAUUCAUUCCCACGGACGACAUUGAAACUAAUCUAAAAAUAUCUAUAUUGCAUGGUAAAUUGCAAUCAGAUUGCUUAUAUUGCCACCUAUAGAAAGAUGGGAAAACCAAUAGAAUAUAAAAGGAAUACUAAUGAAAGGGUAAAGAUUUCCACUUUCCCUCCUAUUGUCUCUCAUGAUGAAAUAGGUGACGAGGAGGAGCUCCCUAUUCAACCAAUCUCAUCAAUAAGAAGCUCGAAAAAAUGAAUUAAACCCACACAUGAUGUUGUAAAGAAGAAGAAAAGGAGAAAGAAUAGAGGUAAAAAGGUAUCUCUCCCAAAUAAUGUUGCUCCUAUUAUUGUUGUGCCUCGUGAAAAUGAAUCAAAAAUAAUUGUGGAAGAUGAUGCCCUUUAUGAUGAUAUUGCUUCUUUGUCUUAUGGCACAAUGUCUGAGAGCACUAUUGAUAAUGAUUUUGUUAUGCCUAUUAUAUUGCUUGUUGUGAUGAUUAUGAUUGGGAAGAUAAUUAUACUUCUUAUAAUCUUGGAAAUCUUUGGCACCAACUUGAUAAAUUAUGAUGAUAGCAAUUGUUAUACCGUUGGUGCUAUUCAUACUAUUAAUGAUGAGAGUGAUGAUGCUUACGAUAUGCCAAGCCACAAGCUUGGGGAUGCUAUGUUCGAUGAGAAUAACAUGUUUGAGAAUUUAUUUGCUGUAAUUAAUGUUUGUCUCAAGCUUGGGGAUGAUAUGCUUAAUGAAGAUGAUCUUUUAGUCCCCAUACUUCGAAUGAUCAAAUUUGCUAUGAUGAUUGCAUGCCGCAUAUCUACAAUGAGAACAAAGUUGCUACUUAUGAUGUUAUAAAAAGUAGUGAUAAUUAUUGUCAUAAUUUUGAAUAUCCUUUUAUUGAACAUUACUCUUUUAGUGUGGAAACAUUUUUAGUAUUUGAGUUUCAUAUGAUACUCCCGCUAUUGUGAAUGAGAAUAAAAUUGCUUAUAUGAACUAUAUAUAUAUAUAUAUAUAUAUAUAUAUAUAUAUAUAUAUAUAUAUAUAUAUGGUUGGACUAUUUUGUUACUGGUAACAGAAUAUUAUUCUGUUACCCUUGCCCCCUAUAAGGCGCGACGCGUCCACGACAGACCCAGCCCCAAUCCGACCCACUUCCUACCGCCAGAGGCAGCCGUCGCGGGCGAGCAAGCGACGACGGCAGCCAGAGCGAGGGAGCCCGCGGCGCCAUGACCCGCCGACGGCGAAUUUGCAUCACCGGCCCCCAAUCCAUAGCCAUCACUCCCACCCGGCACGCCGCCAUCUAGCCAUGCUGCUGGCCCGACCGCCGCCACCAUCGGUCGCCUCGUCCGGCGCCGGAGCAUCCCCGCGCACCUCCCCACUGCCGGGCGAGGGAGCAUCCCCAUGUGCUUCCCCGCUGCCGGGCGCCAGAGCCUCCCCGCACGCCUCCCUCCGUCUGGUGCAGGAGCCUCUCCGCUCGCCUACCCGCCGCCUGGUGCAGGAGCUUCCCAGCGCGCCUUCCCGCCGCCGUGCGCCGGAGAUUCGCCUGGGCCGUGAUCCACGCCUCCUGCCUCCGCCCCUCGACGGACCUCGUCGACGGAGCUCCACCACAAGCACGGUUGUCUCCCCAACAACAAUGGCUCCACCUCCCAACUUCUUGCCAAUACACCGCCAACGAAACGAAGAUGGAGUCACAUGCAACAAGAUGCAGGUGAUGAAUUCUUCCCACACACAUUACUAGCAACACCAAAGUUUUUGAGAUCUGGGUUUGAAUGAAGAUAGGUACCAUGUUUCUGUCAAUUUAUCAGUUCAUCAGUUUAUCUGUGCUGCUAUGCUCUGCCUGCAUGUUACACUAUUGGGUUCAUGAGUACAAAAUUAUGUGAUGCAUCUAUGCUGCAUCAGUACAUAGCAAAUGCUUGCAUCAGUUCGUUUGCACCCCUGCAACUUGAUGCGCAAUUAGCAUGUCGAGGUUGCUGUCAGUGCAUCUAAUAUGCUAUCUUCAGUUCAGGUAAACAAAACUGAAAAACAUAUGCGUCAGUCCAAGUAGAUAGUGACAAAAGGUUCAGCUACCACUGAAAAAGUUGUAUGUUUGCUAUCUCUAAAGAGUACAAGUCAUGUAGUUGCGUCAGUUCAAACGAUUAACAAAACUGUUACCAAAAAUUAAAAUAUAUAAUUGCUACACAGUAAGUUCAGCGAUACAUAAGCUGGUAGUGCUUGUAAUGUAGAUGCAUUGAUGCGCGAUUAGGAUGUCGAGGUUACUGUCAGUGCAUCUAAUAUGCUAUCUUCAGUUCAGGUAAAAAAAAACUUAAAAACAUAUGCGUCAGUACAAGUAGAUAGUGACAAANNNNNNNNNNNNNNNNNNNNNNNNNNNNNNNNNNNNNNNNNNNNNNNNNNNNNNNNNNNNNNNNNNNNNNNNNNNNNNNNNNNNNNNNNNNNNNNNNNNNNNNNNNNNNNNNNNNNNNNNNNNNNNNNNNNNNNNNNNNNNNNNNNNNNNNNNNNNNNNNNNNNNNNNNNNNNNNNNNNNNNNNNNNNNNNNNNNNNNNNNNNNNNNNNNNNNNNNNNNNNNNNNNNNNNNNNNNNNNNNNNNNNNNNNNNNNNNNNNNNNNNNNNNNNNNNNNNNNNNNNNNNNNNNNNNNNNNNNNNNNNNNNNNNNNNNNNNNNNNNNNNNNNNNNNNNNNNNNNNNNNNNNNNNNNNNNNNNNNNNNNNNNNNNNNNNNNNNNNNNNNNNNNNNNNNNNNNNNNNNNNNNNNNNNNNNNNNNNNNNNNNNNNNNNNNNNNNNNNNNNNNNNNNNNNNNNNNNNNNNNNNNNNNNNNNNNNNNNNNNNNNNNNNNNNNNNNNNNNNNNNNNNNNNNNNNNNNNNNNNNNNNNNNNNNNNNNNNNNNNNNNNNNNNNNNNNNNNNNNNNNNNNNNNNNNNNNNNNNNNNNNNNNNNNNNNNNNNNNNNNNNNNNNNNNNNNNNNNNNNNNNNNNNNNNNNNNNNNNNNNNNNNNNNNNNNNNNNNNNNNNNNNNNNNNNNNNNNNNNNNNNNNNNNNNNNNNNNNNNNNNNNNNNNNNNNNNNNNNNNNNNNNNNNNNNNNNNNNNNNNNNNNNNNNNNNNNNNNNNNNNNNNNNNNNNNNNNNNNNNNNNNNNNNNNNNNNNNNNNNNNNNNNNNNNNNNNNNNNNNNNNNNNNNNNNNNNNNNNNNNNNNNNNNNNNNNNNNNNNNNAACAUACGCGUCAGUCCAAGUAUAUAGUGACAAAAGGUUCAGCUACCAUUGAAAAGUUGUAUGUUGCUAUCUCUAAAGAGUACAAGUCAUGUAGUUGCGUCAGUUCAAACGAUUAACAAAACUGUUACUGAAAAUAAUAAUAUAAAAUUGGUACACAGUAAGUUCAGUGAUACAUAAGCUGGCAGUGCUUGUAAUGUAGAUGCAUCAAUGCACGAUUAGGAUGUCGGGGUUACUGUCAGUGCAUCUGAUAUGCUAUCUUCAGUUCAAGUAAAAAAACUUAAAAACAUAUGCGUCAGUCCAAGUAUAUAGUGAUAAGAGUGUGCCACAUUUACACAGUAAGUUCAAAGAUACAUAAACUAGGAGUACUUCUACUGUAGUUGCAUAAGUUGUAGAAGAAACAGUACAUCAGUACAUCCGUGUUUGAGCAUCACCGUUCAUCAGUUCGGCUGAGAACGAACCAGAUUAAUCUCAAAACUGUUGAAUGUUGUUUGCAGAAGCAUGCAAGGUGGCGCACGUAGCAAGAGCUUCAUGAGCCGGAUAGAUAUGGGGCACCACCUGGUUGGGUAACACCAGAAAUACUGCCUGGAUAUUUCAACAGUACAGGCAGAUUUGAAGAUACACCGCAAACAUCAGAAGCACGGACAGGUUCUUCUAUACAGCAAAGACAAAUAUCUGGGAAUGCAAGCUUUGCCACUGCUGGGUUGCAACAAGGCCAACAAUAUCACCAACAACAAAUGUUUUCCUUUCCCAGUGCAUGCAAAAAGCCAAGGACAGGAAGCCGUGGAUGGGUUGUAACAAGGCUUCCACCAGUCGCUCCGUCAACAUCAAUCAUCCGUGCUGCAAGAGCAGUUGCGACGGGAAGACCAGGGCAAAAAGACAGAAAUUUUGGCCAAUCUAGCAGGUUCAAAGGUACAAAAUAUGAGCCAUAUAGACAGGAACAACCUCGCAAUGAAUCUGAGGGGAGACAACCGUACAACGAAAGACGGAGAUCUUCGUCAACGUUGCUCCCUCCAAGAGAUGCAUUGCUACAUGUGCCAAGGGUGACACCACCGGCGCCCAUAAACCAGGGAGAACAACAAACACCAGAUGCAGCGCAGAGCUAUACACAUGUAAGUAUCCAUAUAGAAAAGAAAAAAAACAUAAGCACAGUCCAUACCAUGGUGCUAUGACCACCCCAUCUAACAUUUUUGUUUGGUCACUGUUGUGUGCAGCCACUUGAUAUUGAAGCUUAUGUUCUGCCAAGGCUAGAGAUGAGGUUUGAAACUUUCGAAGAAACUAAGAACUUCUACAACGUAUAUGCAAAGCAUGCUGGUUUUGCUGUCAGGGAAGGCCCCAAGUUAAAGACCAGAGCCUACCUUUAUUGCACGUGCCAUGGAGUUUAUGAAUCAAAGGUGUGUGAAGCAAAUAGACAGCGUAACAAGACGAUAGCCAGAACUAACUGUGGGGCUAAAUGAGGCUGAAGAAGGAAAAAGAUGGAACAUUUGUCGUAAAAGAGAUAGUCUGGGAACACAACCACAGGCUACAGCUCACCGCGGAAAUGCUUGUCUUCUUGCACUCCCACAAAAACUUUGACAAAACAAUCUUGGAGUACGUCAAGUACCUGUAGUUCAAAGGCAUUGAACACGCGCAAAUCAUGAGCAUACUGGGUGGUGAUGACCCUGGUAGCUACUUCCUCGAAAUGAAUGCCAAAGACCUGAUUAACCUGUAAGUACAAACUUGUUCUCCUCCCAUAAACUGUCUUCGUAUUUUUUCCUCUGUCAGUACAAACAUAUCACGCAACGCAUGACCUGACGCCAGUUCAACAUGCAUUAUUCAGAUGAACUUUUGAUAUGCAGGAAAGCAAAGAAUUCAAGGAUUGAUGAUGUGGACGAUGUCCUAAAGACUGUCAACUUCUUUAGGGAGAUGAAAGCUAUAAACAGGGAAUUUUUCUGUGACAUGCAACUCGAUGAGUCCGACAGAGUUAAGAACAUAUUCUGGGCGAACGCAAGCUGCCGAGGGGCGUAUUAGGACUUCGGAGACUGCGUAACGUUUGACACAACAUAUAAGACCAACAAGUACCAUAUGCCACUUGGGGUGUUUGUCGGAACUAACAACCACUUACAGACAACAUUCUUUGCUUUUGCCCUGAUAAGAGAUGAGGAUGCAGAUUCAUUCAAGUGGCUGUUCAAGACAUUUUUAAGGUGCAUGAGAAUGAAGGCUCCUACAUGCAUCCUCACAGGUACAACCGCUAAAAACCACCCCCAAUAACCACCCCCCUUCCAAAAACGAAAAGUAAAGUAACACAAAAAAUGUUGUGUCAGUUCUAUUGGUAUAUAUGCACAACCAUCUCUGCUGACCACUCAGAGUCUAUUUUCUCAUUACCAGACCAGUGCCCGACAAUGGCUUUGGCGAUCGCAGAUGUUUUCAAGAACACAGUACAUAAGCUAUGCCGCUGGCACAUUAUGAAGAAGUACAGGGAACACCUUGCGUACCUGUAUUUCCUGCACGAGGACCUUAAAGAUGAAUUCACAUCAAUUCUCAACUGGCCCCUCAUGCCAACUGAGUUUGAGGAUGCCUGGAAAAGACUCAUGGAUAAGUACAACCUCCACGAUGAUGCCACAAUGGUGGGCAUGUGGAACGAGCCUGAGAAGUGGAUAUCAGCCUACUUCAAGGAAAAUUUCUGCGCCAAGAUGACAUCCACACAGCAAAGUGAGAGCAUGAACUAUGUGCUCAAGAAGAACUACGUUAAUGAGAGACAUAACGUACAAAGGUUUGUCAGCCAGGUAAACUCAUGCGUCAAAACCAGGAGGCAGACAGAGAACCAGGAGACAAUGGGUAACCGGGUAUAUCUCUAUCACUUGUCGUAAGACAUAAAAAUAACAUGCUUACUAAAGUAAAAACUUUAUUGGAAGUUUUCCCUGUGAGAAAACUAACAAUAUGAUCAUCAUUCUUGCAUCUGCAGAAGGAACAAAACAUGCUGACCUACUAUGGGUUUGACACCCAGAUGGCAAAGCUGUACACACGAGCUGUGUACAGCGAGAUCAGAGAUAAACUGAAACUGAGCACGCUCUUCACGAUGACAGAGACGGAGGAGCCCACAAAGUACCUAGUGCGCUACAACCACCCACAAAAACUGUCUGUGUGGGCUCAGCACGCAUUCCAGGUGGUGGCAGACCCCGUGGGAGAAACAUAUGAGUGCGAGUGCAGGCUAUGGGACCACACAGGUGAGGAGUGCAAAAAAGAUGUUACAUACUGUACUAAUUUUUUGCACAAAGUUUUUGUUCGAAUGAAAUGACAAAAAACAUGCACCUCUUCCAAAAAUAAAUACAGGUAUUUUCUGCGUGCAUGUCCUGUGCAUGAUGCAGACAAUUAAGGCUGCCAAUGUUCCAGAGAAAUACAUACUCAAGAGAUACACCAAACGCCCGAACAUCCAGCCAACAUUUGUCAGAAAUGACUUGAGGACAGUAGCGUCAAACAAGGCAUCCCAAUACUGCAUUGAAAGCUCACUGCUGACGCUGAACAUGAGGGUGCACAGAAAAAGCUUGAGAAGCCAAGAGCAAAUGGCAAGGUCGCGGGUCGUCAUGGACAAACUUGAACAAGAACUCGACACCAUGCAUUCUGCUGAAAAUGGAGGUGUCGCGGACAAUGAAGCCAUUGACCAGGAUAUUGCUACAAUGUUAUCCGAGAUGAACCAUCUGGGAUCUAUUAACCCGUUUGAGAACAAGGAAGAAGAGCAGCAGCAACCGGAUCUUGCCCAUGUGCACACUCAAGAGCGCCGACAAACUCACAUGCGAGAUCAUGAGCUUGAUGGUGCUGUAGGCGAACGACAUGACAAUAGCACAUCCUACCAGCAGCAGCAGGAAAGGGUGAUUAAACCCCCAAUAUUCUCAAACACAAAGGGGAGGAAGAGCAAGACGCAAGCAGCAGCCAAAAAGCCACCACGCCCCAUCAAGUGCGUGGAAUUUGGCCCGGACGGCAAACCCCUCGGGAUAAGGGCAUGUGGUUUCUGCAACGUCAUGAGCAACCAUAACUACCGCACAUGCCCACUCCACACAGAUGCCACUGUCAACAAGAACAAAUAGAUUGGAGCCACCCAGCUUUCUACAAAUGGAGACAGCACACAUAACAGCUACACUUGCCGCAAGUGUGGGGGAACUGACGGACAUAAUGCCCGCACGUGCAAAGUGGGCAAGGAGGUCGGUGGAGCUGAACAUAAACAGGGCAAGGUACAGAGUUCCAAGCAAUCAAAUGAAGACGAUGAAGAGGAAGAGUUUGAUGAGAAUGAUGGCCAAUCAGACGAAGACAAUGAAGAUGACAGUGUCGGAGGCGAGGAAACUGAAACUGACGAUGAAGCUGCCAAGGCUCGACCUGGAAAGAGCGCCGGCAAGGCACAACAUUUAGGGACAGUUAGGAGAAGCUCAAGACUGAACAAUACAUAGUAGUUAUCCUGCUGCGUCAACUAAAAAAUAACCUUGUAGUCUCAGUCGCAUCAGCACACAAUGAUGAAGCAUUUCACAAACACUGUCGUUACCAAGACUUAUUUAGCUUUAACGUCGAUUACUCUCGAUCAGAACUAAAGUUAUUUUUUAGUUUCUGAUUUGUGCCCGCUGGAGCAGUCACAAAAAUACGUUUGAAAAAACUUAUCUGUAUAUAUCCGACACAAAACGAUAUUGUGACCCAGUAACUCAGGAAAAAUAAUAUGUCAAUGAAAAAUUUAAAAUCUUGUAGUACAUCAGUACUGAUAACUCUCAGACGUCAGUACAAGGGUGAGUACACAUCAGUACUGAUAUAAUUUCUGAUUUGUGCCCGCUGAAGCAGUGACAUUAUUAUUUAAACCAUUUGAUAAUCCUUUUGAAUGCAGUCACAAAUAAAUUUGAAAAAACUUAUCUGGAUAUAUCUGACGCAAAACGCUACUAUCAACCAGUAACUCAGCAACAAAAAAAAUGCCAAGGAAAAACAUAAACUCUUGUAGUACAUCAGUACUGAUAAAUCUCAGUCGGUAGUACAAAAGGCAUAGUGAAACAAACACACCAGUUAACGACUAAAAAAAUUGUUUUGAAAAAACAAAGCUAUGCCUGCUCAUGCCAGUCCCAAUUCAGAAACACCAUCAGUACAUGAAAAUAAUUACCUCAAGCAAAAUGCGAAUAUAAUACAUCAUGUACUGGUGAAAAUCUAAUUUAUCUGUAAAAACUACUCACAGAUUAUCUUGAUAUAAACAAUCCUUUCAAAAAAUACGAAAAUUGUUUUAAAAAAACAUUAGCACCACACAUGGUCUCACUGGUAUUUGGUAUGUUCAAUUGCACUUCAAUCACCAGUCCGAGUGUGACAGUAGAGGAGUUCAGACCUCCAUCAACACCGACGCUGACACGUGCAAGUGGGAUAAGCAGCUGAUAAGUAUAACUUGACUAUACAAAUCGGUGCCACAGUAAAAUACCAUCAUCACCACCGCAGAGACGUGCAAGUGGGAUUUGGCAGGUCAUAAGUACAGCUUGACAAGACUAGUCAGUUCAACAGUAAACACUAUUUCACAUGGACGGUUAGUUAUUCCACGCCAUCAUCCGUGCCAGCCACUGAGCGGUUGACACAAGGGACUGCAAACGGUGACCCCACGCCACAACACCCACUACACACACGACCCCGAACGAACCGCCUCCUGCAAAAUCCCCGUCCACGCACUGCACAAAAUCCCAUUCUCUUCCACCUCUCCCUCGUUCCCACAAACCACCAUUGCCACUUCCAUUUCCAAUGAACACAAACCAAAAACUUCUCUCUCCAAAGCCCAUGGUCGCCGGAGGAAGGCCAUGGCGGAGGAACCGUCCGCCAAGCGUCAUCAUGCCGAGACGUCCGACAAGAGGAGCAACCUUGUCGACAUUAACGUCCCCGGCGAGAAGCGCGAGUACACAACAACCCUCAAAGGGGUUGAGCUCCACAACAACGAGACGCUGGAGAUCGCCUGCACUAGCGUACCAGAAAAGGCCGACGAGGUGAUCUCCAAGCUUUGGAGGAUGCUUGGCAGUAGGGUUUGUAGGAUCGUCGGCGUUGAUGUGCACUACACCAAUGAAGAUGAACCUCCCCAGAAGGCAGCAGUCCUGCAGUUGUGCGUCGACGAACUCUGCUUGGUGUACCACAUCGCAGCGCCCACUAAAUGGUGAGCAAUCUUACUCAUUUGCCCUGCAUAUGGUUUAUCUCUUUUAUUAGUACUGUAUCCUGAAAAAUUAAUCACACUUGCUUUCCCAACUAGAUGUACUAGUGUGGUUUGUGAAAAGUGGAUGCACUACUGCAUUUUCACAAGUAGAUAUACUAUAAAAUGUAUUUAUGAACCUGAUGCAAUGGAUUACUGUUUGGAAAAUCUAGCGGAAGAUUAAAUUCUGAAGUUGAUCGACUAGUGAAGUUUCUGAAGUUGAUACAAUAGAGUAGUCUAUGUACUCGAUGUAUUAAAAAAGAUGUUUCUGAACUUGAUGUAGUGAAGUAUUUUAUGAAUUUGAUCUAAUGUUAUUUUCGUAAGAAAAAAAAAACUAAGGACUUGGUGAAGCACUAGUUCUAUGUUAUCCCAUUUCAACCAGAAUAGACUAAACUAGUACCAAUGCAGAACAUACAACAUUAAUUGAAACUAUGUAUAAUCCAUGAAGAAGAAUAACAAGAUGUACUUAAUUUAAUUUUAGAACUUUCUUUACUAGUUUUUGAAGUACAUUCAUCCAUUGUUUAUCCUACAUAAAAAACUACUUCAUGGAUUAAUUGCUUGUAAAACAAAAACAAAAAUGAAUAAUUCAAACAUCAAAGUAAUGCUAAAAUAUUCAAAAUGUCUCUGCCCUUGCAGGCCCAAGCGCCUGACCGAGAUGCUGCAGCAUGAGAAGUUGUUCACAUUUGCCGGUUUCAGCAUUGAAAGCGACAAAGAGAAGCUGAAGUUGUCCGGUAUGGAGAUCAACCCCAACAAGUUCAUCGACAUUCAGCGCAAGUGGAGAGUUCCAUACACCGGAAAAGAGUACGAAUCCUUGACUGAUGUUGCAGCCAGUGUCAUCCACCCAUUCUACAAAGGCAUGAAGAACAAGAUCAACACGCAGGAAGACUACAAACUGUGGGGGACCAGCGAGCUGCCAGACAACCUCAUCGAGUACGCAGGAGUAGAUGCGUACACCGCGUACAAGUCAUGGUUCAUGAUCGACUACAUCACAGACGGUUCGGAAUAUGCGAAAGAGCGGGAGGCUGAAAACUUCUACGACCGCCCCUAUUGCCCCUUUGCUGGAUGAAGAUAACAUCAGAGCCUGCCUUUGUUUUACUUUUGCUUGUGCUUGCCUUUUAUCUUGUUGUUUCAAAUUAGUAGUUUGCUCUUGUUGGGUUGAACCAGUAUGAUUAUGUCGUGCUUGUCAUGUUUGAACAAGUUUAGUUGCGUCAUCAAGUACAAUGUUUUGCUUAUCUCAUUAUAUAAGUUUGGUUUUGUAGCUUCAUAUGUUGUUAAUCCAUCAUUUCAAAAAUUCAAAAAGUAGCUUCUGAAUGGAAUGUUGUCGUUGCUCUAAAGUACUAGUAUGAUGCAACUAAUCACACAACGUUGUUCCGUGUCAGUACAACUCAGUACACUUGAUCGGACAGUACAUUCUUACUACAAUAAAAAGUACAAAAAGAAGCAUCAGUCCGUAAGCGCUACUAUGAAUGCACUAUCAGUACAACUUAGUCUACACGCAAGUACCAUAGUUCUGAAAAUGACACCAGAACACACUUGAGAAUAAUCACAAAAACAAAUACAAAAAAGAAGGCAAAAAACUCAAAUUAAAAAGAUUACACUCACACAAAAAUGACAAGAACUAGAACAACAAGUAUCAGUCUACUGGUGGAGUCAAGUACUAGAUUCAAAACAAACAAACAAAAUGACCGCCCAAGGUCAGGCGCAGGCCCUGACAAUGCUAGAUACUUGAACUCGAGCCCGUGGGCGAAUCCCUAGUAAUCCGCACAACGCAGGACCCGCCGACCAGGGCCCACAGGUCAAGAGAGAGGGCGAGUGCCGUGUAUAAGCGCUCAGGUAAGUGUUCAGAGGAGUUCGACUGGUGAGCCUUCGCUGCCCUUAUAAACAGGUCCAGAGCCCCCUCGACUAGCGAGGUGGGACUAAACCCAGAGCGCACGCGAACGACGCACUCAUAGCCGCGCGGACGAGCUAUCUGGGCCGAAAAACGGCCCAAUAGCCUACAUCGUCAACAAAACACCCCACCAAUAAGCCCAGGUAUACAAAACAGAUGGCGGGACAAAGAAAAAUAAACUACAAUAAAAAUGUUUGUCAAUUAACCUGUACAAGAAAAAAGGAAAAAAUAUGAUACAAAAACAAUGAACCUCUAAAAAAGAACAGAACUUAAUAGCCUAUCUGUUAAAUGUACAUAAUUUAAAAAACCGAAUUAAAUAUUACUUUCAAGUUCAACUACUAAAACUCAAAAAGUUCAAAACAUAUAAUGUUUGUCAUUUAGGCUAAAUUUCUUAUUUAUAUUAAAUCUAACAAGUUCAACUACUAAAGCUCAAAAAGUUCAAGCGUAUAAUGUUUGUCAAUUAUGCUAAAUAUCUUAUUUAUAGAAAAACCGACAAGUUCAACUACUAAAAAUCUAAAAGUACAAAACAUAUAAUGUUUGUCAAUUAUGCUAAAAUUUCCUAUUUAUAUAGAAUAUGAUAAGUUCAACUACUAAAAACUAUAAAAGUUCAAACAUAUAAUGUUUGUCAAUUAUGCUAAAUUUCCUAUUUAUAUAAAGACUGACAAGUUCAACUACUAAAAUUCAAAAAGUUCAAAUAGAAUAUAUUUGCCAAUUCUGCUAAAUUUCUUAUUUAUAUAAAAUAUGUCCACACCACAAACGAACAAUCUGAUCGUAAAAUAAUCUCAAACACCCAACCUAAGUUAUAAAAAAAUCAGUUCAAAACAUACAUACGACAACAGUACUGAAACAGCAGGAUCAGUCAGGCCGCUCGCACCACUGUGACAUCGAAUUUCAAACCCGUGCGUUGUAUGAAAUUACAAUUCAGUUCACACAAUACUAAAACAUAAGUGCACUAAAAAUGAGAAUACAAAAACUAUACAGGACUAACCUAGGUUGGUACAGAUGAAAAUAAAAUAAGUACAACUUUUGAGCAACAACUCCCAGGGCACUGAAAAAAUGUUUUGACAUAAACUAGUGUAUAAAGACUUCAAUAGAAAAAACAAUGCUUAAACAUCCACACGGAAAAACAUCACAGAACCAUACAUCACCUAAACAGUGCAAAAAUGCCAUCAUCACCACCGCAGAGACGUGCAAGUGGGAUUUAGCAGAUUGUAAGUACAGCUUGACAAGACUAAUCAGGGCAGUAGUAAAAAAAUUGUCUUGGACAGUUAGUUCUUCCAGGCCACCACCCGCGCCACCCACUGGGUGGUUGCCACGACGCAUUGCAGAACGGCGACCCCCACGACCACUACACCCACGUCCCCUGACGAACCGCCUCCAACACACCACCGUCGACGCACUCCAUAAAUACCCCAUUAUCUUCCAUCUCUGCCUCAUUCACAGAACCACCAUUGCCGCUUCCAUCUACACUGCACACAAACCAAAAACUUCUCUCUCCCAAAGCCCACAGUCGCCGGAGCAAGGCGAUGGUGGAGGAACCGUCCGCCAAACGUCACCAUGGCGACACUUCGAACAAGAGCAGCAACCUCGCCGACGUUCACGUCCCCGGCGAGAAGCACGAGUACACCAAAACGCUCAAAGGGGUUGAGCUCCACAGCAAAGAGACGCUGGAGAUCGUCUGCACCAGCGAACCAGACAAGGCCGACCAGAUGAUGAGCAGGCUCAGGAUGAAGGGCCGCGACUUGUAUCCGAGCUUCAUCGGAGUUGAUGUGGAGUACACCGACAAGGAAAAACCUCCACAGAUGGCGGUAGUCCUGCAGUUGUGCGUCGAGGAACUCUGCUUGGUGUACCACAUCGCAGUAGCAACAAAAUGGUAACCCAUACUACUGUUCAUUCGUCUGUUGCGCCAGUACUAGUCGCUAAAAACUUAAUUAAAACUUGUUUCCCAACGAUUAUAGUCAUCUGUUUGUACCAGUAGUUCAUUGAAUGCUAUGAACUACUAUAGUCUAUGAAGUGGAUGCACGAUGACAUGUUUCUCAAGUUACAUGCAUUUCUGGAACUGUGAACUGGAUUGUUUCACCAGAUUAGCAUCUGAAAAAAAGUUUAUAGCAUUCUGAACUUGAUGUACUAGCAUAGUUUCUGAUCUUGUUGUACUAGUAUAGUUUAUAGAAUUGAUGUAUUAAAAGAUCUUUGGUGAAGUCUUAUAGGUCCAUAUCUUGAUGCACAAGUUUCUCAAAACUAAAUUUUGAACUUGAUAUAGAAUUAAUGCACAAAGAUGUAUCAAGCACUAGUAUAGGCCUUUUAUUCAACAAAAAAGAAAACUAAACUUGAAUCAAGCAGCGCAUGAAUCAUUGACUCUGGUAAAAAAUGAUUCUCUAAUUUGGUGAAGCAUUUGGUGAAGCAACGAAGAUAGCAAAAAAGAAAAAUAUAACAUGGUGUAGUUGAAUUUAAUUUCAGGACUUUUUGUACUAGUUUCUGAACUACAUUCAUGCAUGUCUCAUAAUAUAUAAGCAUCUACCUCAUGGAUUAUCACUUGUAAAAAAACAGUAGAAUUAAAUACUCAAAAAGAAGACUAAUCUUUAGAAAAUGUGUGUCUCCCCCCUUGCAGGCCCAAGCGCCUCAAAGACUUCCUGCAGGAGGAGAAAUUGUACACAUUUGUUGGUUUCAGCAUUGCAGGUGACAAGCAGAAGCUGGGGGAGUCUGGUUUGGAAAUCAACCCCAACAACUUCAUCGACAUGCAGCGCAAGUGGAAAGAUCCAAAGAACGACAAAUACUACGACUCCUUGGCCGAUGUUGCAGGCGGCGUCAUCCACCCAUUCUACGAACGCAUGAAGAAGAAGAUGAAGAGGGAAGACCACAAACUGUGGGCGACCAGCCUGCUACCAGACAACCUCAUCACGUACGCAGGAAUAGAUGCAUACGCAACGUACAAGUCAUGAAAGACAAUCAACAACAUCGUGACAGGUUGGGAUAAGAGCAAGAGGCUGACCCCUACUACCACUGCAACUUCACGAAUGAAGAUGCAUGAAAGUCUGCAGUCGUUAUGCUGAACCAGCUACCAUAUGCUAUGUGUGUCCUUAGUCUUGUUGUUUCAGAUUUGUAAUUUGCUUUCGUUUUGUUGAACCAGCUACCUUAUGCUAUGUGUGUCAGGGUUUGAACAAGUUUGCCUAUGUCUAUCAAGUACAUCGUUUGCUUAUGUCAUCCAACAUGUUUGCUAGCUUCCUAUUUUCUUGAACCAUCAUUUGAAAUUGAUAGUAGCCUUGGACGCUCAGUACAGCUUAGACAUGAAUGGUAGUACUAUCACACUAAAAAACAAGUUUUUAGUUUCAGAAGAACACUAAAAAGACUAAGUUUCGACCAAGGACAACAUGCAAUACUAAAAGCAUCGUGCUAAAAAUAGAAAUUAGAAAAUUCACUAAGUAAUGCAUCAGGAAAAACAAAAAACCAUCAGUACGUAUUUCCUAGUAACUGGCAUGCUAGGACUGAAACUUCUGGUACACUUGAACACACGGUACAUUCAUUCUACAAAAAAUAAAAAGGAACAGGAAGCUUCAGUUCGCAUUCCCAAAAACAGUGACACACUAAAAAUAACAGUAAUAAUACAACUAAAAUCUCAGUACAACUAAGACUAUACGAAAAGUGCUAGGAUUAUACCAAACAUUGCCUGUAGAAGAACCACAGCCUAGAAAAAAAGAAGGCCAAAAACUAAAUCAAAAAGAUAUAAGUUCGACAAAGGAGAAAAAUCACAAGAAAUACAGCAGGAAGACGUACUAGCCUCAAACAACACAAAAAGUAAAUAAUUAAUCAAAGUACUAGCACGAUUGAAAUCUCAGUACAACUUAGUUUAUUCGGUAAGUGCUAUGAUGAUUCCAAUUAAUGCCUUCAGAAAAGAAGUAGUUUUGAACUUAAUAGGGCUAUCUCUUAAACGUAGUUAAUUGAAACCAGUGCUUUAACUUGUACUAUGAAGUUCAAUUGCUAAAGUUCGAUAAGUUCAAACAAAAAUUAGCCGCCAAAUUUUAAAAGCCUUACGCUGAAUGAGAUUACAAAUCAGUACUAACAGAACUAUAUCAUAAGUACAAGAAAACGAGAGUACAAAAACUAUAAAGCAGUGACACACUAAAAAUAACAGUAAUAAUACAACUGAAAUCUCAGUACAACUAAGACUAUACGGCAAGUGCUAGGAUUAUACCAAACAUUGCCUGUAGAAGAACCACAGCCUAGAAAAAAAGAAGGCCAAAAACUAAAUCAAAAAGAUAUAAGUUCGACAAAGGAGAAAAAUCACAAGAAACAUAGCAGGAAGACGUACUAGCCUCAAACAACACAAAAAGUAAAUAAUUAAUCAAAGUACUAGCACGAUUGAAAUCUCAGUACAACUUAGUUUAUUCGGUAAGUGCUAUGAUGAUGCCAAUUAAUGCCUCGAGAAAAGAAGUAGUUUUGAACUUAAUAGGGCUAUCUCUUAAACGUAGUUAAUUGAAACCAGUGCUUUAACUUGUACUAUGAUGUUCAACUGCUAAAGCUCGAUAAGUUCAAACAAAAAUUUGGCGCCAAAUUUUAAAAGCCUUACGCUGAAUGAGAUUACAAAUCAGUACUAACAGAACUAUAUCAUAAGUACAAGAAAACGAGAGUACAGAAACUAUAAAGUUCAAACUUAGGAUGGAAUCACAUAAAAGUAAAAUAAAAUCUAACUUUCUCAGGAACAACUCAUAAAUACACUUGAAAAAACAGGUGUUUUCAGUUCAACUAGUAUAUAAGACUUCAGUACAAAAAAUAAAGCUUAACCAAAACGAAUUCCCGAUGAAACAUACACAAGUGAAAUAGCUAUUCAACCGCACAAUCAUCAUGGGAAAAAAGUUUGUUAAACAUUGUGCCACCCUUCAAACACAACACAAAAUAUACUAGUUAUUACAUAGUACUCGGCAAGACAUCAAACACUACAAAAUAGAGCCUACAAUGUUUUCAAGAGAUAUAUCACACAACUAUCCAAUUCACUAUGCAAAUGAUGACCAUUUCUCCUAUGCAUCAGGAGCCAAAGCCUGAAGCUCCUUGGGAAGCUCCGUAACUGUUGGGGAUAUACCCCGUGCCGUGAACCGGUCGGAAGUAUAACCCGGCCGGACUGGACGACUCACUGGUAACCCGCCUGGUGCUUGGCGGUUCACGGGCUACCCGCCCGGUCUUGGCGCUUCAUUAGUAACCCGAUGGGCGGGUUAGAUGGAUGAAGAGGCCCAAGGCCCAGAAGGCCGGUUCACGUUUAAUGGUGGGCCGGUUUAUGAGGAAAGCGUAAGGACUAUUCUCCUACAAAGGAAGCAAGACUAGGACUCCACUUGUAAUAGAGUAAUUCUAAUCCUACUAGGACUAGUCGUGUAACCCGCCCCUUCAACAUAUAUAAGGAGGGGCAGGGCUCCCCAAAGAGGGACAGGCUACAAGCAAGAAGAAACAAUCUCUAGGGCUAGACACAACUAGAGGAGAGCCGGUUUACGGCUACUCUCUCGUGAUGAUAAUGAGAUCUAGCCUCAAACAGCAUGUAGGGUUAUUACCGGAUGAUGUUUCCCGGGGCCCGAAGCUGUCUAAAUCCCUGUCUUGUGUUGCGUCUCUCGAUUCCGCUCAACCCCUCUCAAGCUACCACAUAGAUGCGUUGGCCUCGCGACUAAGUCCUAACACUAAGGACAUCUGCCGUGACAAAACCACGACAGUUGGCGCCCACCGUGGGGCCUGCGCACGGUGGUGAUGAGUUCUUGAAGGGAUAGGGUUUUGAGAAGAUCGCGACCGUCGGAUCAACAAGUGCCCGUUUUAAAGAAUUCACAUCAACUACAAGUCCAUCUGUCAAAGUCAAAGAAAUUUUUAGCGGCAGCAUAUGCAAAAUUCCAGUACAAGGGAAACUAGGGUUCCAUCUAUGUACGUCGCCAUCGCGACGUAUUAAUCUGCCGAGUCCAAAUAUAAACCGGUCUGGACUGAAGUCUGCAGAUGAUCCGAUCCGACGUGUUUGCGUUGCUGCUACGCGUAUGCGUUUUCAAGUCCCGAGGGCAUCAACAGGUAACUGCUGCAAUCAGGCAUCACCCAAGCGAAGAGUGAUCUGUCGCUGCUGUUUUCUGACAUGAGGACAAGAACAAAUCGAAGGAAUCAUCAAAUAGUACAUCCAUUAUUAUUUUGUCACGUGAAGGCCACCUAGCGCAAGUUGCUAUAUGUGCUACUAUCAAUCUAUGAGCAGUCCGAACUCGUCAGGGAAAGUAAUCAAGGAAAAGGAAAGUCACGGGCGAGCGAUUUGUCAAUUAAAAAAAGGAAAAAGGGGGGGCCUCAGCCCACGACCCGGAAGCAGUUCCUACCAACAUCGUCGUUCUCCGCCCCCGCGGCUUCGAGCCGCUGCCUGGCCUUCCGCUACCGAGCUGAUGCAGACGCGGUCCCGCACCAGUGGCCGGUCGCCUCCGCCGUAAGACGCUGCGGUGCCGCCUCGCCCCCGUGCUGGCCUCCCACGACGGCAUCGCAACCCCGUCACCAACCUGAGCGGAGUCUCCCCCUCGCGCCCCUCUGUGACCGCGCCCGCCGGAUCAGCCUCGCCCUCUGUGCCCGUUGCGGGCCGCGCGCUUCUUCAGCUUCGGUGGCUGCGUGCGCGCCGGCUUCACCUCGCCCAUGGUGGCUUCUCCAUGCCCAAGUGCGUGCCCCGUGUCGCUCCGCUUCGACCGGCCCCGGCCAAGUCAUGGGCGUCACCAGCUGCCUCGCCGCGUUCUUCUCCAUCUCCAUCAAGCAGAGGGCCGCGCUUCGAGCUCCGUGGCAGUGCCCGCCGCUCCUACUACGCGUCUGGUGUGCAGUUCCUCGCCCCCGCGCUGGUUCACUACCCCCGAUAAGCUCCGCCCGGUUCCUCUGCGUCCGUGCCUGUCUCCUCAGCCGCCCGCGCGCCGGCUCCCUUCCAAGCCCCAGCCGGGUUGCCGCCGUCUCCCCCGCUCUACCGUCCGCGCGACCCGACCGCUGCUUCCGGUGCGACUCGGCCGCCUGCACGACGUCCCUACACCGGCCGGCUUCGGGUGCCUGCUGGGUUCACCUCCGCCCGCGGCUGGGUGCCCCGCGACAAACCGCCACCAGAAAUCAUCGGGACGGCCUCAUUUGCAGCAGAGGGUCGCCGGACCUUAUCUCGACCACGCGCUGCCUCUGCUGUCAUCCGGCUGCGCCGCUGAACCGUCUCCGCCACUGGCCGGUUUGGCCUCCGCAUCGCCUCGAGUCACGGCCUCGCUUCAUCCGCUCGCCCAGUUUCUGUCAAACCGCCGGGCGCUGACUCGCGGCUCAUCCCACUGCGUUAAUCCGCCGCGUCCGUGUUCAAACCCGGCGGCUUUGCGCGCGCAUUGGCAUGGUCUUGUCUCCAUCGUGCCACUCCAAUUCACCGCGGCAGCGGACGACCCUCGAUGUGGCCGGUUCACCUCUGCGCCCGAGACACGCCUCCGACCCACCUACGGUUCGCCACAGCUUAGCUCAAGACCGGAUCAAACCCCGGGUUACGCCGACAAAAUGGCUCCGCCUAGGACGCCUCUGCCUGCGGCGCGUCGAUCACCCGCACCGUUUCUGUUCCGGGGCCGCCUCUGCUGCGAACAACUCUGGUUCCGCAAAGCUUUCGCUGCUCGCUCCGCCAAAGGAGUCCCGUUUCCCCUGUGUUUGCUUUGGCUGCAAAGAAGAAAACAAAGGAAAAAGUCAAGGGCUGUAAAAAAACAGUUGGAAAUAUGACGAUGGACAUGACUGGUUCGUCCUAGGAAAAGAUCAGAGACAAUAAAGAUCAUCUGUCAUCCAAAUACAUCAGGACAAUUAUUAACUGCCAAAGUGGAGUUAUAUCACAGAUAUGGAGUGCAUAGCAUCGUCAUUUGGCACUACAUUUAUCUAUGCUGCCGUGCUCAACGGAAAUCCUUACGUUACCGCCCUUGCGGUCUGGUCUACAUCAACACACUGGGCCGCACCUGUCUGCAGGAGUUAUUUAUUGAGUAUGAGAAAUCACUGCUUGGGUAGCCCGGUUUUCUUUCAGGAAAUUGGAGGCAAGUUAUUAUCAGCCGAUGUCUGCGCUGGAUGGUUCAAUGAGCAUGCGCACAAAUCACUACCACUACAGUUUGGUUAAAUAGCCAAUUGAAAGGAACCAUUGGCCGAGUUGCUGACACGGCUCAUACGGGAUCAUUUAUAACCCGCCGCAGUCACCUCAGCCUUCUGUGGAUUUAAAUCGCGUUAUCAACACCAAUGAUAUAUACCGUCUGCUAUGGUCAGAGUACGGAGAAUCUCAAGACAACUCCUUGAGUCAUCUUAAGACUCGGGGCUACGAUGAUAUGAUUCAGCAAGUCUUGCCAGUUUCAGCAAAUUCAAGUGCCCCAGGAUGUUGAAGGGAAAGAUAACCCGGUUCCGAAGGCUACUGUUAUAUUUAAAGGAAAUCCCGUCUCCCACACAGCGCUGAAGCCCUUAGUAUCUGGUUCAAAUGCGGUUUAAAAAUGUCCGGUUCAAAAAGGAAACUUCUCGCAAGUUUGAGUUUAAAGGCCGUCAGAAAAUUUCUGGCCGAAAAUGAAGAUUCCGGCUUAAAAUCCGGUUCAAGGGAAAGAUGUCUCCCACAAAGCUUUGAAGCUCUCAAUAUCCGGUUUAACGUCCGGUUCAAGAAGGAUUUAUUUCUUGCAAAAAGUUAAAGGGUGCCAAAGAGGACCUGCUGCCAUGAUGCGCGGUUCAAACAUGGGUAUCAUGCCUUAUUGGGUUAUCAUAUUAUUGAUCACUUGGGGGCUUGGUCGUAUCCGAACCGUAGCUACACCUCUUGAUCGGCGCAAUGCUACAACAUCACUUGGGGGCUUUUUGGUCGUGUCCGAACCAUAGCAACACCUUUUGAUAGGCGAAAAGCCACAGCAUCACUUGGGGACUUGUGGUCACGUCUGAACCAUAGUCACGCCUCUUGAUCGGCCUAAGGCCAUAGAAUCACUUGGGGGCUUUGGUCGAACCCGAACCAUCGUCACCCCUCUUGAUCGGCAUAAUGCCAAUGCAUCAUUUGGGGACCUGGCUGACUUGAACCAUAGCCACGCCUACUGGGGGCUUGGUCGUGUCCGACCAUGGUAAUGCCACUUGAUCGGCUCAAUAGCCUCUUUUGCAAAUGGUUUUAUCAUUGCCUUUGCUUGAAAUUUUCUUUAAUAAAUAUUUUUUCUUUGUUGCGUUCUUAAACCGACAAAAUUCGCAGACCGGUUCGACUGUCAAUUGACGGAACACGGUCAAUUCUUAAUCCGAAGACUAUUUGCCCGGUUUGAUUUUUUGAUUUUAUGUUACCAUCUUAUUAUGGAGCAAACAGGUGUUCAUUAACCCGGUUUGAAUUUCAAUUACAAGUUGUCAGUACACGAUCAAGUUAUAAUCCGGAGACUAUCAGCCCGGUCUGGUUUGACUACGAGUCGCCAGUAUUAUAUAUGGUUAAACCGGUGUUUAUCACAACCCGGUACGGUUUUAUCGUAAACCGGUAUAGUAUGAAAGGAGUUAUCAUUACUCAAGAUUGGGGUUAUCACCCUUACUACAAAAAGUUGGUAAACCAAUGAUGUUAUUCAAUGUCACAGGUAUGAUAUAUUUCAUAUUUGAUUAUUCUUAAGUGCAGCCUUGGUUAUAAACCUGGGUUAUAUGUUGGGCAUUAUGACCCGUCCGACGGUAAACCGCCAGGACACUUUAACUUGUUGUAUGCAGAAACAGGUUGAAUAAAGCAUGAUUAUAAAUUAUCCGGUGUUUAUUAAACCGGCCUAGCUUUAAGACGAUAAAUCGCCAGUCUAUGAUGAGAAAUUGUCCGGUGUUUAUUAAACCGGCCUGGUUUUGGACUAUAAGUCGCCAGUAUAUAUUUGGAUUGCGCCAUUGGAAUCAUGCACUUAUAAAUCAUUGGAUUAUAUUAUUCAAAUAACCAACAUGGCUGGAUUUUUAUUAUGGUUAUUAAUAUUAUGAUUGAGGUUUUCAAAGUCGCUUUAGCGCAAUGGCUAUUAUAUUAUCAAUAGAUAUGAUUUUUUCUACAAUUGAAGGAAUAGUCCCGAGUUGCUGCAGGCUUACGACCCGGCACUUGGGGGCUACAUUAUUUAAAGUUGCGAUUACAUCAAAUAUGCAAGUCUCAUAUCGCUGCAAGCAUGCACCAUGACACUUGGGGGCUAAUGCAAAGUCAUUUUUUGCUCAUAUUAUUGAAGACCCGACUCAUCACAUUAUAAUGAGUCGGCCCUUAGGGGCUACCAAUUGCUCCUGUCAGCAAUUGAAGGUACAAAGCUUUUUAUUCAUUAUAUUGAAGGGUCCACUGCUCAGUUGGUAAAGCACAAGUCUCUUAACCUUGUGGACGUGGAUUCAAGUCCCAUGAUGGGGGUUACAUCAUAUGAUGUUAUUUUCAUUGAAGUAUAUAUCAAGUCCCGACUCAAUAUUAUCUUACUGAGCCGGCCCUUGGGGGCUACACAUCAUUGCUCAAAUCUACAUGAUUAUACCUACAAAGUCCCUGCUCAUUAUUGCAUAAUGACCCGGCCCUUGGGGGUUACACUGCUUGAAGUUUUUAUGAGUAUAAGACAAUUACAAGUCCUAGGUUACUGCAAGCAUGACAACCCGACACUUGGGGGCUAUAUAAUAUGGAGUAUUCAGUUUUUUGUAAGUGACUCGGGUGAACAACAUGGAUUUCUUCUUAAGUGGCAGUAUUCAUAUUGAAGCAAGUCUUAAACCAUCACUUUGUUCUGCUCAAGACUUGGGGGCUACAGGUAAUAUGCAUAUAAGGAGAAAUAUUUUCAAAUUCUCAGUUUUGGGCAAACCAGAUUGACCCGGCGUCACCAAUUAAUCAUUACGACCAUGUGGCUGCAACCCGGCAUCAUCAACAAUCAUGAACCGGCGUUGGCAACAGUCAUGACCUAGAAUUAUCAGUUUUUUAUAACCCGACAAUGGUGGUUAUCAUAAACCGGCAAGUUUUUACAUCUUCAAACCGGCUGAAUAUCAGAUGAAUAUUUCAAGACCAAUAUUUCUUAAACCGGCGCUUUGGAAGCCGACUCAAGUAGAUUAUUCUUCACAAUAUUUUUCUGUGAGAAACCAAUGUCAGCAAAUUGAGUAUGACGCUGGCUUAUUGACCUGGAUUUUCUAGAAGGAGGAAAUGACAAGGACUUAAGGAUGAUCAGGUGCCGGUUUACAAGAAUUCUUAACCCAGAGCACAACCUGUCAAGUUUGUUCUUGUGUUUAUUUUACAGGAUAAGUUUAACAUGGAUAAAUCCAAAUUAAACUGGGGGCUAAUGUCGGGGAUAUACCCCGUGGCGUGAACCGGCCAGAAGUAUAACCCGACCGGACUGGACGACUCACUGGUAACCCGCCUGGUGCUUGGCGGUUCACGGGCUACCCGCCCGGUCUUGGCGGUUCAUUAGUAACCCGAUGGGCGGGUUAGAUGGAUGAAGAGGCCCAAGGCCCAGAAGGCCGGUUCACGUUUAAUGGUGGGCCGGUUUAUGAGGAAAGCGUAAGGACUAUUCUCCUACAAAGGAAGCAAGACUAGGACUCCACUUGUAAUAGAGUAAUCCUAAUCCUACUAGGACUAGUCGUGUAACCCGCCCCUUCAACAUAUAUAAGGAGGGGCAGGGCUCCCCAAAGAGGGACAGGCUACAAGCAAGAAGAAACAAUCUCUAGGGCUAGACACAACUAGAGGAGAGCCGGUUUACGACUACUCUCUCGUGAUGAUAAUGAGAUCUAGCCUCAAACAACAUGUAGGGUUAUUACCGGAUGAUGUUUCCCGGGGCCCGAAGCUGUCUAAAUCCCUGUCUUGUGUUGCGUCUCUCGAUUCCGCUCAACCCCUAUCAAGCUACCACAUAGAUGCGUUGGCCUCGCGACUAAGUCCUAACACUAAGGACAUCUGCCGUGACAAAACCACGACGGUAACCAUAAGAUGGUUAUUCCGGUUGAACACAACUCUAUAUAGAUCCUCAGCGUUCCAAUCAACAAUGCAUGGCUGCAAAACAAUAAAACAAAAUUAUAAAAAAUUAUGACACAUAAAAAAAGGAUGCACAAUAAGCCAAAAAAAGAAAUUGAAAAGCACAACAAGAAACCCAUGUCAUAAUCUCGAAUGUUCUCAACGAUCUUUUCACCAUCGUAGCAUCCCGCAUACUUCAGAGUAUAAUGGCCACAUUCAUUUUCCCCUUGAACUGGAACCUUGAAAAACGUUGGUUUCUUUGCAUACAGCUCCGAAUUGGGCUGCUUGCUCGCAUUGUACUGAGCAUCACCAUACACAGCCUUCAUUACUUUGACCAUUCUAGAAAUCUGUAAAAAAACAAAACAACCCACACAGUUUUAGGUCUCAGAAAAGAGCAGAAACAAAGAUGCAGAAAUAUUAAUCCAGUACAGAUGAUAAAUGUCACUCACAAUCUUCUCGCAGUCUUUGUGAUAGGUGUUCUUCGAAGGAUGGUGGUUCUUCGGAUAAGGUAAAGAGUCAAGGAUGUCAACGCUACUUCGGUACCAAUUCAUGACAUAUAAGGAAUAGUGGUUCACUUUCCUAUCCUUUGAUAAAACCAUAGGCUUGAAUAGAGGCAUCAUGAUCUAGAAACAAAUGACCAAAAAAGAGAUAUUAAAUAUUCAAAAUAAAAACUAGCAUCACAACAAAAAAAUAAAAAACCAAAAAAUUAGCUAGUAGAUCUCACAAGGUCGGCACUGAGCAAGUCUUCGUUAGCUUUAACAUAGCUCUUGAAAUCUCUCGCUCCACUCUCCACAUUAAACUCUUUAUUUUCAUCCUCGUAAAACAAACAGUCAAGCACAACCUGCAAAAAAGCCAAAAUAGAAAAUAGACAGCGGUAAAGGGUCAACAAGCAAAAGUAUUAUUAAAACUAGUAAAAAUAAUAGGCAGUCUUGUUCAACAGAAAAGAAACCGAUCUGAUUGAUUACCGAGAUGAAAUAUGGACUCAGCAAUAUCCUUUUCCCAGAUGCGAAAUCAACAUUUCUCUCAGGAUCUUGCUUCCAAUCAUCAAUGAGGAGGUCCAUUAUAUCACCCUCCAUCAUUUUCCCAGGUGAAAAAACUUCCCAGAUGCGAUUCCCAGUGAAGUCAGUUACGUUUCCAUCAGGCUGGGGUAUCAUUGAGAAUGUAUUCCUGCAGCACACACAAGAACAAAAAAGAAGCAGAAGCAAGAUAAGGCAUUCAUAGCAGUUUGAGUUGUAUAAAAAGGAACAGUUCAGGUCGUAUUUACCUAGCAGUUACAAACAACAAAAGAAAAAGAGGAGGAAAAAUAAUGAGAGAUACUCACUCGGCAUACUUCUCACGCCAUUCAUCACUAAGCAACAACUUGUACAACCUGCGAGCCUUGUCCAUGUGAGGGAAUUUAUGAGGGUGAAGCUGCUGCACAGGGGAGCAAAACUUUAUAGGAGCUCUGGGCGCACGCUUCGUGCUUACAACAUUGCCAGAUUCCAAAGCAGGAUCUUUCCUAGCACCACCAGCUCUACGAGCCACUAUUCCAGCAAGGGGAGAUAAACCUUUGGCAGCAGCACUCCUCGUGACUCUUCCAACGCCAGCAAUCUUGUCAAACACAUCACCAUCGCUGUCUAUCAAUUCGACAAUGGGAUUCUUGGGUGUAGUAGGGCUCUCUACACAAGCAGCCGUAGAACUUCUCAGAGCUCCCAACCUCCCCUUCAUAACACCAGAUCUUGUCUUUUUUUGGAGAACGCCCCUGGCUAAGAUCAAUAGCUACGCGCUCGAGCUCCGAGAACUGGCUACCAAAGAACUUGUAGUCAUGCUCACCAAGAUCCAACCACUCACCUGAAAAAAGUAAAAAAAAAAGAGUCCACACAAAGCGUAAGUUCAAAUACAUAUUUCAUGACAGUACUGAACAGAGAAGUACAAACUGCAAAAAAAAAUACUAAAGUCCAUGCACACGUACAGGGUUCGAUGCCAAACAAACCCCUGAAGUCAACAUCAAACACAUUGCUAGUUGCGCAGGUGUACAGCAAAGUCUUCCUAACGUCCAGAAUGUCUUCAUGGCUGUAAUCGACCAUUUCAAUUACACCAUCCUCCCGGCAAUAAUAGGUCUUGCAGUUUUGUAGCAUAAGGAAUCCACAAUCAUGCCUGUAGAACAAAGGAAGAAACAAAAAAAUGGUACAACACAAAAUCCAAAAAAUAUAGGAACAACAUCCACCCAGCAACAAAAAGAACCACCAAAAAUCAUUAAAAAACAGAUACUCACGUGUUUUUCUGCUGAGGCACCCGCACAAACUCACAAGAGAAACCAUCAAUAUGCACCGGUGAGAAUGGUUUGGCCCUGUCUACAUUGGACUCCCUCCAAAGCUUCUUUAUAUUAUCUGUCAUAUUCCUUAAGAAUCUAAGUGCAUCACCUGAGGUUUCAUCACGGAGUGAAUCAAGACACUCGAAACGAUGGAACCUCAAAUUCAGAACAACCAAGCACCAACGCCCAGAUUCGUCGCUAGGCUUCAUGGUAGGCAUAAAUGACGGCGGAUCAAAUGUAGGGAAAAGAAGCUGGAAAAAAAUCGCAGAAGAAAAAUGAAUUUACCAAAGUCAUAAUGAAACGAAAAAUUCAGCCUCCAAUCAAUAAAAUAAAAGAUGGAAAAUUAAAUUUAGAAGUACAAACAAAAAAUCACAUAAUCAUAAUGAAAUUAUAUCCACCGCCCAAAGAUGAGGAACAAUCAUAUCAGUUCAGUUUCCUUGCAAUAAUAAGUGCAUCUUUAAUAAAAAAGCAUGGAUCAUUCAUAAGUACAGGUGUAAAAAGCAGGCUAAUCAAGUUCAUUCCCACACCUCCCUAAACUAAAAAGAAAAACAUGACAGUCCUAGUUAAUUAGUACAAAAAGUCCAAGUUCACCUACUUGAUCGAAACCAUCAGCACCUGAUCUCGUGAACCAAUUUAACACAUUGGAAUCAAUAUUUCCAUCACGGAUCUUGGUCUGUUGUACAAAAAGAACAACAACAGUUAGAAAAUUGUCAAAACAAGUUAUCAUCCUAUUUACAAAAAAAGCAAAAUACUGACCGUCACCCAUCUAGGAACUAUCAACUUGUCAGUGUCUCGGUACUUCUGACGUAGAGAAUAUAAAACAACAUCAGCACUGUCUGAGUUGAGUAUGCCAGUGGGGACAAACGCUUUAGCAAUAGAACCAACACUGGCAUCACAUUCUUUAUUUUGAAACAUCGGCUUGUGACUAGAAAAACACAAAAAAUUACAUGAAUUAAGACUACUGCAACAACAAUAAUAAUCAUACAAAAGAAAAAAAAGUGACAAAAAUGUUACGGGCAAAAUCCCAAACUAACCAUUUAGUACGGUUCGUGCGCAACCUCGUAACAACGAAGAAAAAUGUAUCAACCUUGACAACAUUAUCACUUUCUGCUUGAAGAAAAAAUGAUGAAAAAUAAUAAGUUCAACAACUACAAGAGAACAUGUCCAAAAUGAAAAUUUGAGAAGUACGCCCAAUUUACAAGUGCUUACCUGGACUAUCAGGGUUUGACGACGAUGGUAGUUCCUGUGAUGAGACCAUUAUGCCUCCAGUUUCAGGGUUUGACGAUGGGACAUCUUGAGAGGACACCAGUAUUGCUGCGCUUUCAGGGUCUGUAGAAAGAAAAUCCUGGGACGACAACAGCGCCUCCUGCGUCAAGGGGUCAGAAGAAAAUGACAGGAGUAAAUCAUCAUCCUCGGAUGGCACCUCCUCCACGCUAGAAGCAUCUUGCAAUGCAUCACCGUAAUCAAGACCUCCAGGCGGGAAAUUCUCCGGCGGCAAAUCUUCACAACCAGAAACAUUCUCAUCCCCAGCAAUACCAACACCAGGCGAUUUGGAAUCAGGUAUGGUGGCAGCACCAGCAUCCUCAUCAGCAACUUUGGUGCCAACAUUGCGCCCACUACUCAAUGGAGCAUCACGAGCAUCAUCUCCGCCACUAAGGACAACCCCACGUUCAACAUCACUAAUCUGAUGAAUUUUUUUUUCCAGAAAAAGUGAAUAAUAUGAACAGAACUAACAAUAAAAAAUAAACCACCAAAGAUGUGCACAGAAAAAUAAACCUUGGAAGCAUUCGCUGCAACAUCAUCGAACUUGCUGCUGCUAACAUUCAAAGCAACAUUGCCAACGGGCAAACAAGGCUCAUCGCCAACAAUAGCACCCUGAUUCAAAAUGUAAUGAGGCAAAAAACAAUGCUAUUAUGAGCAACAAUAAACACAAGGAAUUAAAACAACAGUAACAAAAAAGGUAGCUACCCCCUUGCAAACUCUAAACGGUGUGGGAUAGAAAAAUGAACAAGGAGGACACAUUGGUGCGCAUGAAAAUUAAAAAGAAUAUGAAUAACCACAAUGAAAAUAAAAAUAACCUUGCACUUAUCAGUGGAUGGAUCAUUAACUCCACGGUCAACAUCAGCUUCAACAUUAUGACUGGUCUCCUGCAUGAAAAAGAAAAAUUAAUAAGUAGAUGUAGAUCAGGCAGUUCAACUACAAUAUUGACAGCAGAACAAACAUAGUAAAAACAUACAAACUACGAGGACUGACUCACAUCAACAACAGGGUGCUGCAAGCCAACAUCAUUCGUAUGCUGAUCAGAAACAUUAGCCUCAGUGUGAUCAUCGGCCCUGCUGUCGGUGCAAACAUCCUCAUCAUGAUCAAUCUGCAUGAAAAGAAAAUUACUAAUGAAUAGAUGAAGAUGAGGAAGUUCAACUACAACACUAACAGUAGGACAACAAAGUAAAAAUUGCAAACACCGAGGACUGACUCACAUCAACAUCAGGGCGCUCAAAGCCAACAUCAUUCGUUUUGUGAUCAAAAACAUUAGCCUCGGUACAAUCACCAGCCCUGCUGUGGGUGGCAGCAGCCUCAUCCUGCUCAAACAGCUUGAUAACAACAUUUGCACUUUCUUCAUAUGGCUUGCAGCGAGAGUUUUGCGUAGUUCUGAAACGCUUCAUGUUGUUCAACAGACGAACCGAGCUCUGAACUAGAUUAGCAGCACCGUCACACAUGUCACCGAUUAAAAUUCUCUCCAUCUCAAUGUAGUCAACAGCUUCCUCAGCGUUAAACUGAUGACCUUCAGGAAGGAUACCAUUUAUACAGAUCAAACGCUCGAUUGUCGUUGGGACCUUUUGCAGCUCAGAACACACAUUACUUGAGAUAUGCUCAACGCGCUCCAACACUGAGACAGCAACAUCAAUACCAAAACCCUGCCUCUGUGAAGCACUAGCAUUACUAGGGCCAGGAGGGGCAUAACCAGCACCCUCAACACCACGACCAUCCCUCAACUCAUCGGACAAAUAUGAAGACUUCGGAACCUGAGACGACGACAUCUCCAGGACUGGCCGUUUAUACACUCGAAAAAAAACAACCUCCUCUUGAGUUUUCCACUACAAACAAAAGGGACAAAAUAGUUAAUCAAUCAAUGAAACACAUAGGGAAAAAUAAAUCAUGAUAUUAACAGAUUUAAAAUCAACACCACUAAAAAACUUUAGCUGUCAUUGCCAAUUUGUUAGUAUUUACCAACAGGCCAGUUUAACAAAGUUAUUCAGUUCAACCACACAAGAAACAACAGUACUAAAAAACCAUACCUAAACCAUACAAAAUAUAAACAGACAACUCUAUAGUACACAUGUCCACUACAGCAAAAAAUAGCUAUACCUAAAUUAAAAAAAGGUCUGCAAGACACAAACCAAACAAAACUCACCGGAAGCUUCCCAAACACCCAAGUCUUUGGAUCUGCAUUGCCUUUUUUUAUCAAAUCUGCAUCAACCAGAUCGGAAAGCUUGGCAGGAUCCAUGAAACAUAUGCGGGGGACUCGCAUAUCAGGCUCCGCGGUCUUGCCACGGGUAAGGCAGUCAAGGUACAUUAGUACAGGCCCUAUGGCACAGCCUGUGAUUGCCUUCCCAAGAGUAUCACCAUUUUGGUACUUGGCAACAGCCCUUCUAAGCUCAUCAACCAUCAACUGGCAAUAAUCCAUAUUAGCCAUGUCCUCAAAGACGAGACCCUCAAACAUUGCCGCCUCUCUGGAAACACGCGGGGCAGAACUAGGCAACACAACCUUCAUAAACACAAUCAUGAAGAACACUUUCAGAGCAAGAUCAUCUUUGCUAGGAUCCUUGACGAGCACCUUGAGCUUAUUCCUCAAAUCCUUUGUCUUGAUAUCUCUGUCCCUUCUAAUGUCAAGCUCCGAUCUUAACUUCAUCAGAGCGUCGUCAUAUCCGUCCUUUGACGGCCUUGGCGCAGAACGACCACCACGAGGGAAACCAAAUAAUUGUUGUAUACCGUCACUAGUGAUCCGAAGCUUCUUAUUAGCCUCACCCAUGUCAAGAGUCAUUGUAUCACAAUCUAUCCUCAGAUACAAAACUCCCAUCAGAGGGCGGGAAAUGUUAGACUUCACCCUCCAAUUGAAAAUAGAACCAAAACCAGAUGCAUGAACCCUAGCCACAUGCCGACUCUCGAGUAAUUUAGCGCAAUCUUCAACCUCUCUCAACGAACAUCGCACAGUUAAGUUCAAUUUCCGUUGGUCACCUUCAUCCAAGGCAACUUUUCCAGUAUUGCCUCCCACUGGCUUAACCGGACUACUAACGCUAACAGGCUGUAAAUGAAAACAAAAAAGCCACACCUUAAAAAAUAAAUAUAGAAAACAAAACAAGCAAAUGAAUGCAAGUAAAAAGAAAAAAAAGAUUGCACAAGGUCAACUAUUAAAACAACAUCAGUACCACCCCCUCAAUUGAUGCAAACAAUAAUCAGCCUCACCUGGCCGCAAAUACUAGCCCAAACACAAUUAAAUAGUUGCAAGUACGACUAGUAGGUCACAUGCAGUACAAAAACACAUACCACUGCAAACAAUGAAUAUAGAAAACAAAACAAGCAUAUGAAUGUUAGUAAAAAAAGAGAUUACACAAGUUCAACUAUUAAAACAACAUCAGUACCACCCCUCGAUUGAUGAAAACAAUGACCAGCCUCACCUGGCCAGCAUGCCAGCACAAACACAAAUUAAAAAUCAUUGCAAGUACAACUAGCAAGUCACAUGCAGUACAAAACACAUACCACUGCAAAUUCAUCUUCUGAAUCAAAUUCAAUAUCAUCUUCUUCAGAUGCAGCAUCUUCAGCUUCAACACGAACACGCUUCUUCCCACCUUUGUUCACCUUUGCAGGAUGAACUUUACGCUUGUUAUUUUCUUUCAACAAAGACCGCUCUUGAAGAGGAGAAGAAGAAGGCUUCUUAUUUGUCAAACCUCCUGGACUACGAUGAACAACGGAGCCACCAAGUUUGCUUGGACCAAUUUUCACAGCAACAUUAUCCGCAUCACCUUUGCUACUACCAGGUUGGGGACCAGCUUUCACACGUGGGCUACGCCUAUGUGUGCCGUCAGCAUUUUGAUCUGACAACUUCCUCUUCAAAACAGCUUUCUUCACCUUAACUCCAUCAUGAUCAAAAGCUUGCGCCAACCGAGUUUGCAUCAAGUUUGUCUUCACAGGCAUGUCACUUCCAUGAGAUCUGGCAUGAACAGUUGAUAAACACGCGUCACCACCUUCAUCGCCUACACAUUUAGGAGCUUGAGCAACAUCAACAUCACUUUCUGGCACACAGGCAGCCUUUUGACGCCGUUCCAAUUCCUUCCUCUUUUGGAAUUCAUACUUCUUCUUUCUUAUCCUUUCAUCCUUGAGCUGCAACUGCAUAGGAACAUCCUCAGCUUGGGUUACAGGCUCAGUGCCAUCAACACUUUGAGACUGAGUAACAGACAACUGCAAGCUGCCAUCACCAUCAUCAACAUUUAGUGAAUACAUCCCAUCAUUAAUAUCUUUAACAACAUCAGAAAUGUCCUCUGGAACACCAUGGCUGUCAUUAACUGCAUAAACCAAUAACAUAACCACACACAUAAAAAAUUAAAACACAAUUAACAUUGCAGACACAAAAAUAAAUAAAACGCAUACCAUCAAACACAAACAAAAAGGAACAACUAAUGAAACCAAGCAUAUAUAUGUAUUAAAGGCUGAUAAAAAAAGAGCAAAUAUAAGGGAAACACCAGCAACAUUCGCAAGUUCUUCUAGAGGAUUUUGUGUCUCAAAAAUAACAUUCACAAGAUCUUGAAAGCGUUCUGAUUUCUCAGAAUCAGGAGGCACCGGCACUCCAACAUCUGCAACAACAUCAUAAUUAGAAAAAAGCACAAAAACAAUUAGUCAGUUCAACUAUGUGAGCACUACAAGUUCACCUGAAUAAAACAAAAUAUGAACCCACCACUUGCAGAACACAACUUCAGAAAACACAACUCUUUCACCACCAUACUAGUUCUUCACUUACUACUACAAUCUAUUCAAAAUGUGAGGACAACAGUUCAAAAUACAUGUGGUGACAAGUACUACAAACUGUCUGCAGGUUGCAUCAACUGCCAAAACCAUACGCACCAUACAAUCCAGGACAAAAUUAACACAUAUCAAAAUACAUACAACUUAUAAAGUCGAUACGGCAAACAACUGUACACCCUAAAAACUAGAUCUGUUAGAACAUCAUCCGAAAUACAGGGAAAAUCACCUGCAUUCAAUUUGUCCGGACUGGAUGAUGUACCCAUUGAAAUCUACAGUCCUAAAAUCUGCCGAACCAGAUCUGCGAGACACAUGAACAACAAUUAGGGAUUUGAACUAUUUCAGAAACGAAGCACGCCAUAGAAAAAGCAAAACUCUUACCAGCAAACACAAAAUCCGCCACGCAAAUCCAGUAUCACUGCCGCCAAACGUUCGUUCAACAACAAAGGAACCAUAGCGAGUGCAGCCUGGGACAGCAAAGAGAGCAACAGAUUUGAAAUAGAGGGAAAAUCUCAACAUGACAGGACGCAAGCAAAAGUCAAUGGCAGAGCAAAAAGGAACGAAACAGAGCACCUGGACCUCCACCCCUAGGGUUGAACCCUCCGGCCGACGCUCCCGCGGCGAAACAGGAGUAGCAACUAGCCCUCCGAGAAAAAGAAGAGGGGAAUGAAGACGGAGCCGGUUUGGGGACGGGAGAGGAGCGGAAUGAGAAAGAUCAGAGGUUAAAAGGUGAGUGGGAGGGUUAAAAGAUGAGUGGGAGAAAACGGACGGCUAAAGCCCACAACCGUGGCGAAGCCCACUAUCUCUGGCCAGUUACAAAAGAUAAUACAAAUAAUCAAAUACAAAAUAAAAAAUUAAUAUAGAUGGAGAAAACAAACGACUAAAGUAAAAAUAAUAACUCACAUAAGUACAGAAAAAAUUAUCAAAAAAGUACAAAUGAAAAAAUAAUUCAUAACGGUGCUGGUUAUUCCCCUAAAAAAUAAAGAUAAGAUAAUGGGGGCAAGUCAUGUUACAGACUCACCUCCGCAUGCGACGCCGCGGCAUGCCGCAUCGUCGCCUGCUAUGGCUCGUUCCUAGCUCGGCAUCGCCGGGAUGGGGGAGGGCGGGCCCCGACCACACCUCCCCCACACCCCCCGUCUCGGCCUCGCGCUAACGCGGUAGUGCGCUCGUUUUGACAAGCGCAUUGUAGUUAUUCUGUCCCCCCCCCACGCACCCACACCCCUAAGAUAGAUAAAUGGGGCAAAGUCCAUACAAGGAAGAUGUGUCAGUACAACUAUGCCCCUCGGUACGGUUUGGUGCGGGGGCAAGUCAUGUUUCCCCCCCACGCACCCACACCCCUAAGAUAGAUAAAUNNNNNNNNNNNNNNNNNNNNNNNNNNNNNNNNNNNNNNNNNNNNNNNNNNNNNNNNNNNNNNNNNNNNNNNNNNNNNNNNNNNNNNNNNNNNNNNNNNNNNNNNNNNNNNNNNNNNNNNNNNNNNNNNNNNNNNNNNNNNNNNNNNNNNNNNNNNNNNNNNNNNNNNNNNNNNNNNNNNNNNNNNNNNNNNNNNNNNNNNNNNNNNNNNNNNNNNNNNNNNNNNNNNNNNNNNNNNNNNNNNNNNNNNNNNNNNNNNNNNNNNNNNNNNNNNNNNNNNNNNNNNNNNNNNNNNNNNNNNNNNNNNNNNNNNNNNNNNNNNNNNNNNNNNNNNNNNNNNNNNNNNNNNNNNNNNNNNNNNNNNNNNNNNNNNNNNNNNNNNNNNNNNNNNNNNNNNNNNNNNNNNNNNNNNNNNNNNNNNNNNNNNNNNNNNNNNNNNNNNNNNNNNNNNNNNNNNNNNNNNNNNNNNNNNNNNNNNNNNNNNNNNNNNNNNNNNNNNNNNNNNNNNNNNNNNNNNNNNNNNNNNNNNNNNNNNNNNNNNNNNNNNNNNNNNNNNNNNNNNNGCCCCCACCCAUAAGAUAGAUAACUGGGGCAAAGUCCAUACAAGGAAGAUGUGUCAGUACAACUAUGCCCCUCGGUACGGUGCGGUGCGGGGGCAUGUCACGACCCUCAGUAUUAUAUAAAAACAAACAAAAAAGGAAAAAAAGAAAAAAAAAUUGACAGCCCAAGGACAAAAAGUACCAAUCCAAGAUACUGGUAUAGUCUAGUGCUAGAUCCCAAAAACAACCAAAUAUAAAAAAAUUGACCGCCCAAUGACAAAAAAGUACCAGUCCAAGUUACUGGUCUAGUCAAGUACUAGAUAAAAAACAAACAAAAAAUAAAAAAAAAUUAACCGCCCAAGGACAGGAGCAGGCCCACACAUGCAUGGGCCGGCCGCCCAGGGCCCACAGGUCGACAAAGAGAUAGCGAGCGCCGUGUAUAACCGCUCUGGUAAGUGUUCAUAUGAGUUCGACUAAUGAGCGUCGGGUGCGCUUAUAAACAGGACCGAGCCCCCUCGACUAGCGAGGUGGGACUAAACCCAGAGCGCACACGCACGCCGUGCUCCACAGCCGCGUGAGAGAAACUAUUCGGGCCAAAUACAACGACCCAGGCCGAUGGCCCAACAAAGUACUUCGCCCCAUAACAAAAAUCCAGUAGAUCACGCACGACAAAAAAUAAAAAGUGAAGAUAAUUUUUUAAAAAAAACCCAGUUAAUAAACAAAAAUAUUGUAAAAAGUUCAAACACAUUUAAUGGUAAGAACUAAUAUAUAUAUAUAUAUAUAUAUAUAUAUAUAUAUAUAUAUAUAUAUAUGAGACUGUAAAUAAGAAUUUUAGGAACGAAUUUACAAAAAAAUCAACUAGUACAAUUCAAAAGGGUUCAAGUACAAAAUAAAAAUAAGUACUGAGCAGCGAAGAUUUUUUUUUAUUAUUUUAUGAAAUACUAAAACUAUCAUUGUUCAUCUAUUAAAAAAGGAAAAAACGUUCUCGAGAAUUCAUGUAAAAAAGUAAGGAAAAAAUAUUAUACAACAAACAAAUUUGAUCGGUAAUUCACAAACUAAAAUAGAUCAGUACUAUCAUUAAAAGGAUGUAAGUUCAACAAAACUCAAAUAACAAAAAAGCGGUUCUAAAAAACUCAUCGGCGUAUAGCACCAUCUGCGAGUUAUGAACAUGAAAAAUAUAUUAGUCAAAACAAAGGAUGCUCAUCAGUUCAACUAAAGAAAUUGUUCCAUAACUAAUAUAAACAAUGUAACAAAAAAACAGUUAUACAUGAGCAGAACAAUAGGAAUAACAUUACAUAACUAGUUCCAUACCAUUCUGAUAAUACCAUACAAUUCAACCAUCUCACAUGCAAAAUGUUUUAAAAGAAAAAAAAUACUGCAACAUAAUCAGACACACACAAAAUCUCGCAAAACCGGCGUCAUUUGCCACAUUUAAACCUACAACACAUAGAUACUGAACGUCAGAGAGUCGUCUUCUCUCGAGAACAUAACCAUAACCACAUCACCAUCCUCAAAUCCAGAUUCAGCAACAAACUCCUUCCACCUAGUAGUUAGGUUGAUGCAACCAUCAAAGUCGAUGUGGUAGGCAACAUCCAUCAGCCGAUACCCAUUCUUGUCUGAAGUCUACAUCUUCAGAACACCGGAACUAGGAGCAACAAUCCUGAUCCUCGAUGACAUUUUCCGCAAAUGGGCAUGGGAGUACAAAACAAAAUGAACACCUGACAUAACUGAAUUUUUACACACAUAUAGGAAUGAUUUGCAUAACAAACUAAAAUGGAAAAAAUCUGAACCAAAACAAUAACACAAAACUAACUAGACAUGUGAAUUGACUAAACUGAAGAAUAUACAAAUCAAUACACCUACAGUAAAAACAUCUAUUCAUAAACAGAUCAGGGAUUAUACAAAAAAAUGGUUAAAAUACUGUUAAGUAAUGAACAAAUACACACAGAAAUCCGUACUGUUAAAAUCUCACGAAACCAAAUUAAAAAAAUAUAGACAAGCUAUUCAUUAGACAAAACUGCAGAUCCAGUCCAUGGGAUUCAAACAGAAACCAUCAAGAAAGUAGGAACCAAAACGAAUAGAAACACAUACCCAUGAUUCCUUCAAGUCACCAUCCGUCAAGCGACAAACAUAGGGUGUACGCAACCCAUGGUUGUUGUACAGCAAACAAGAAAGUUGCCGCGCCGCUGACUCUGAGUGAGCUCCGAACCAGACUCGUACACACAGCCGUCAGCUAUGCGCGCCAUCUUUGCCAGGCAUCCGCAUGAACAAUCCUCCAUGGAACACACAGGAACAGAGAAAAAGGCGACGAACAGAAGGGAGAGGAACCUAGAUCUGAUUCUGGAAGAAGGAAGAAAAGGGAGUGGGAAGACUUGGCCACACACCACACAUAAAUGGAUAGCGUUUAUAGUCAGGGACACUCGUAGAUUAUAAAAAUAAUAAAUAGGAAGAUGGGCAGCCAGCUGGUAGGAAAUAGUUAUUACACAAGCCAUGCAACAUUUGACCGCAAAUCAGUACAACUUCAGAAAAUCAAGCAGUUCAAAGGUGCACAUGUCGAACAUAUGCAGACAAAACAACACAUUCAGAGACAAAAACAAGUUGAAUUCAUUUAGUCAUUCGAACAUCUGCUCCCCCACAACAAAAAUCUUAAAAACAUAAUGUUCACUACUUCAGUCAUAAUGAUCAAAGAAAUGACGCCAUUUUGCCCUGGUGGAUGGAUGUGGAGCCGUGGCUGCUCUCGCCCUAGCCCAACUAAUGAUCUGAAUAUGGUUCCUUCCCCUGCCCUCUGGGAAAAGAAGAUCCAAUUCAUUGGAGUUGCAAGUAUCCAUCACCUCACGCACAAGCCAUCUGUUGAACUCUGCCUCCAGUUCCUCCUCGGCAGCACGUCACGCCAUCUGCCUGCGCCUGCGCCUCCUCCUCCUCUGCUCCGCUACUGUAGCCCUCACAUCUAUGGCGUCCCCCUCCUCCUCUGUGACCUCUCCCAGCUUAGGAUCCACCCCCCCUUUUCUUUGGUUGCACCUCGUAGAAUGAAACUGACAGAGGGCUCGGGCUUUAUAAUCAAAGUGCAGAGCCAUCAGUGCGGCUCCAAUGUCAACACACAGUAAUAAAAACUUUGACACGCAGCAGUCCAACUACACAUAUGGCAGCAAUUCAAAACAACACUGAAAAACACGCAAAUUAAUUACGCAGUUUGACCAGAUUACAAGAAAUCGUAGCUUACAGUCAGCCGCCAUACACCACCUCCACCAACGACAAAAUAACAUGGGAAUCCGAGGUAGAAACAACCAAAAAAUCAAAAUUAACAACACAAAUCUUUUCAUACAAUCCUUAUAUCUCUCCCUACAACGCCAAAUCGAACAUAAAAAAACAGAAAAAGAAGAGCAGAAUUCCAUGGCGGGCGUCGAAAAUGAACAAGAACACCAAAACUUGUAAUCAUGAAUUACAGAAGAAAAUAAUCUCAAAAAACCAUAACAUACCGAUAAAUUCUCACAUCAAAAACGACAAACACGACAUAAUUUGAGGUCCGCGAACACCACAUUAAAACACUGACGCCAAAAAACACGUCCGCCGCCAAAAUGACCACGCCGUCACCUACGGUGACUACAAAUAGCAAAACACAUCCAGAUGAGCGCGCGCCCAUGCGGAACCCCUUUACGUGUAUCCUCUAGCAACGAAUGGCCCGCAGCAACGCGCCGGAGAAUGGCCGGAAGCUCAACGUUGCAUCCCCUGUUUCUGUCCGUCGUGCACGCAGGAACAUCAGUUCUUGUUGAAAAACACGUCAGUCCAACCUGUGAACUACGUCAGUACAGAAAGGGUAACAGAAUAAUAUUCUGUUACGCGUAACAGAAUAGCCCAGAUGUAUAUAUAUAUAUAUACAUAUGAAAACACAGUAGGAGCCUCUCCUACUGUCUAAUUCCUCAAAAAAAUUGCUUAUAUGGAGAGUAAAAAAAAUUCUAUGCUUUUGGAUCAUGAAAAGAAUGCUUUAUGCGACGUUUAUAUUGAAAAAUCUAUUCAUGAUGCUACUGAAAUUUAUUAUGAGAGAGGAAAUUAUGAUUCAUGAUGCUCUUGUUAUGUUUCAAGCCUUAUCUUUUAUGCGAGCAUCAUUGAACUCAUCAUGCCUAGCUAAAAGGCACUAAAGAAAAGCACUUGUUGGGAGACAACCCAACACUUUUACCUACUGUUUUUUUGUGUUCACAUGAUUAUGAUACUGUAGUAAUCGUGUUAUAUUGCUUUUGUUUCAAUAAAGUGUCAAGUAAAGCCUUUGGGAUAGUGUGGAUGAUAGUUGACUUGAAUCUGUGCAAAAACAGAAACUUGUUGCACUCAGUCCAGGAAUUUUCAAAAUUCACUUGAACGUUAUUUUAAUCAAUUUUUUUUACAUCUGAUAGAUAUAUAAAUUCCCUGCGUCGUCCUAAUUUUUCAGAAUUUUUGGAGUAGCAUAAGUAUGGUUGCUUUCCAUAUCAUUACAGACUGUUCUGUUUUUGACAGAUUCUGUUUUCAAUGCAUAGUUUCCUUGUUUCUAUGGCUUAUAUUGCUCAAUAUAAAUUGUGGAAAUGAUAAGGUACAGUAGGAACGGUGUGAGAACAAUUAUGAAUCUUGUUUUUUACAUUACGAAAGUGAAUGAUUUGUCUUUAUCAUACUAACUUAUCUCACGAAGUUCCGUUAAGUUUUGUGUGAUUGAUGUUUUUGAGCUUUGGGUGAGAUAUCGAUAUGAGGAGAAUAAGGAGUGACAAGACCCUAAGCUUGGGGAUUCCCAACGCACCCCAAGUUAAUAUUCAAGGAAGAUCCAAGCAACUAAGCUUGGGGAUUCCCCGGAAGGCAUCCCCUCUUUCGUCUCCAACAUUAUCGAUGAUCUUACUUGGGGCUAUAUUUUCAUUCGUCGCAUGAUAUGAGUUUUACUUGCAGCGUCAUUUUAUUUUGUUUUGAUUUGCUUGCUGCUAUCUAUAAUAAUUGUUUUGCAUCUUUUAAUUCAAUAAAAAUGUCAAGUAUAGCCUUUGCCAUGCUUAUUUUGCAAGGUUAUGAGUUGCUGUUUCAAAACAGAAAGUUUAUCGCUGUUGCAAAAAUUCUUUAGAAAAGUCAGAAUGUGAUAAAAUGUUGAAACUUUGUGCACAAUAAGCUAAUUUUCUACAGUGUGUUAAUUUUUCAGAAUUUUUUAAGUUGAAUAAGUAUGGAUCCUUCUUCAUCUUUUACAGACUGUUCUGUUUAGACAGAUUGCGGUUAUGAUUGCAUUGUUUGCAUAUGUUUGCUAGUUUAAUGAUUCUAUUUGAGGAUAUGACUAUUAAAUAUGUAGGGGCAUUUAGUAUUAAAUAAUUUUAGUGAUUUACUACAAUAGAGAAUGAUAAGGUGUUGCAUUGAUUUAUACUAACGUAUCUUAUGAGUUCUUGUUGAGUUUUGUGUGGAUGAAGUUUUUAAGAAUUAGGGAAACCGUGUUAUGAGAAGAAUGAAGAAGACACAAGAGAUCAAGCUUGGGGAUGCCCAAGGAAUCCCAAGUUAAUAUUCCAAGAAGUCUCAAGCAUCUAAGCCUGGGCAUGCCCCGGUAGGCAUCCCAUUUUUCUUCAUCAACAAAUAUCGGUUAGUAUCGGUUGAGCCCAAGUUUUUGCUUCUUCACAUGAGUUGUGCUAUUCUUGGAAUGCCAUUUUAUUUUGUUUUGCAUGCUUUUUUUAAUAAAAUACAUAGAUCUGAAAGUUUUUAAAUAAGAGAGAGUCAUCAAAUAGCUACCUAGUUACUUAACUACUCAUUUGAUCUUCACUUAUAUCUUUUUGGAGUAGUUUGUCAAACAUUUUUAUGCUUCACUUAUAUUAUUUAGAGAGUUUAUAAUAGUGAUGACAAUUUGCACAAGCUUUGAAAUUGCUCCUAAUAUAAUGAAUAUCCAAGAAGGAUAUAAUUAAAACUCCCAUGUAGAUCAUUGGAUAUGAUAAGUUUGAUUCCUUGCAGUAGUUUUGUGAUAUGGAGAUAAUAAUAUGUGAGUCAUGUUGGUGAGUAAUUAUGCUCUAGUAAGAAUAUUGGUGUUAAGGUUUGUGAUUCCCUAUGCAAGGACGAAAGUCAAUAGUUAUGCAAUGAAAUUACAUCCUACUUGUGGUGCAUUAUUCGCUGUUUGUUAUGCUUAAUGCUCGUUUAUGUGAAUUUUUGUUUCUUGGUUGGUUGCUUCUCAAUCUAUUUGCUAUACUCCAUUUGUACUAAGUGGGAAUACUACUUGUGCAUCCAAAAUCCCUAACCCAGUUUUGCCACAUGAGUCCACACCAUACCUACAUAUAUGCGGUAUUCCCAUGUCGUUCUAAGCAAAUUUGUAUGUGCCGUCUCUAAUUUUCAAAAUAAAUUUCCUUUUUUGUGUGCUCGUACCGCUCAUGAAGCGACAGGGGGUGGCCAAUAUUUUCCAUGCUAGAUGUGUUAUUCUCAAGAUUAGUGUUUAUUCACUUGUCAUUGCACGAGAGUACGACAAAGGUAUUAGGGAUGCCCAGUCCUGAAAUGAAAAAGAAAUUUACUUUAUGUUGUCAAACAAUAAAUUCCUUGGAAAGUGUUGGUAUGGGGGGCACCCGUGUAUACGUCUAGCCAUGGAUUGUGAAAGAAUGGUGGAAAAGCAAUAAACUUUAUUUUCUGUUUGGGAACCGCCUACGAUAUAUCUAGCAUGGAAAGUGUUGGGAAUUACUCGGUCGUUUUCGUUGACGGGAAAAGUAUGCCUCUCAAAAUGUUUCUAUCUCUCAAUUUAAGCUUUGAGCUCAGGCACCUCUACAAAUCCCUACUUCCCUCUAUGAAGGGCCUUCCUAUUUACUUUAUGCAAUUUUUAUAUUUAUUAGAGUCUCCAUCUUCUCUUAUAAGCACCAACUAAGGGGCACUAUGAUCGUACUUGAGCAUUGAAUGUAGGUAAUAUGCGAGUGUGUUUCAUGAAUGGAUCAAUGAUUGAGCAUGAUGGGCUAGGGAUAACUUGCUUUAGUGUUGAUAUUUUGAAAGACAUGGUUGCUUCUUGAUAUGCUUGAGUAUUGAAAUAUUCAUGUUAAAACUAGACUAUUGCUUUGAACCAUAUAAAAGCCCAUAUGUCCAUGCUACAAAAGAAAGGAGUGUGAUGAACAUGAUAGGCGGCAUUCCACAUCAAAAAUUCUGUUUUUAUCAUUUACCUCCUCGAGGAUGAGCAGGAAUUAAGCUUGGGGAUGCUGAUACGUCUCCAACGUAUCUAUAAUUUUUGAUUGUUCCAUGUUGUUAUAUUAUCAUUCUUGGAUGUUUUAGAAUCAUUUUAUAGCAACUUUAUAUAAUUUUUGGUACUAACCUAUUGACAUAGUGCCCAGUGCCAGUUGCUGUUUUUUGCUUGUUUUUUUACUUCACAGAAAAUCAAUAUCAAACGAAGUCCAAAUGCAGCAAAACUUUUUGGAGAUUUUUUAUUGACCAGAUCAUCCAGGAUGGGCUAGAGAAGUACCAGAGGGAGCCCCGAGGGGGGUACAACCCACCUCGGCGCGCCUGGGGGCCCAGGCAUGCUCUGGUGGGUUGUGCCCACCUCGAUGGCCUCCCGCCCCGCCUCUUCGCACUAUAAAUUGUAAAUAUUCUAAAAAACCUUGGGGUAACCCUAGAUCAGAAGUUCCACUGCCGCAAACCUCUGUAGACACGAAAAACCAAUCUAGACCCCAUUCUGGCACUCCGCCGAAGGGGGAAAUCAUCACCGGUGGCCAUCUUCAUCAUCCCGGUGGCCACCAUGAUGAGGAGGGAGUAGUCCACCCUCGGGGCCGAGGGUUAGUACUAGUAGCUAUGUGUUUAACCUCUCUCUCUCUCUCUCGUGUUCUUGAGAUGGCACGAUCUUGAUGUAUCGCGGGCUUUGUUAAUAUAGUUGGAUCAUAUGGUGUUUUUCCCUCUCUAUCUUGUUGUGAUGAAUUGAGUUUUCCGGUUGAGAUUUCAUUGUUAUCGGAUUGAAUACUUUUAUGGAUUUGAGAGCACUUGAUAUAUGUCUUGCAUAUGAAUACCCAUGGUGACAAUGGGUUAUUAUAUUGAUUCACUUGAUAUAUGUUUUGGCACUCAACUCGCGGAUUCCUGAGGUGACAUUGGGGUAGUCUAUGCAUAGGGGUUGAUGCAUGUUCUCGCCUUUGUUUCUCCGGUAGAAAUCUUGGGGCACUCUUUGAGUUCUUUGUGUUGGAUUGAGUAUUAUGAAUCUGAAAUUGUUUGAUGCAUAUUGUAUAAUCAACUCACGGAUACUCGCGGUGACAUUUGAGUAUCUAGGUGACAUUAGAGUUGGUUGAUGUGUAUCAUAUGGUAUUAUUUUAGUAUGGACUCUUGGUUAGAUCAAUCGGAAAGAAUAGCUUGGUGUUAUUUCAGUAUGAACUCAAGGAUAGAUUGAUCGGAAAUAAUAGCUUUGAGGUGUUUUCUUACCCUACAAACAAUUUCUUCUUAUGUUCUCCGCUAGAUAGGAACUUUGGACUUCAUCGCACAUUGAGGGAUGGUUAUAUGAUCCAGUUAGAUUAGCAUUGUUCAGAGAUUGCACUAGUGAAAGUACGGACCCUAGGCCUCAUUUUCAGGCAUUGCAAUACCAUUUGUGCUCACCUUUUCUACUCGUUACCUUGCUAUUUUUUAUUGUUUCUAUUACAAAAAUCAAUAUAUACUAUAAUUACUAUGCUUUUAUUACCAUCUCUUCGCCGAACUAGUGCACCUAUACAAAUUACCAUUGUAUUUGGUGUGUUGGGGACAUAAGAGACUUUUUGUUAUUUGGUUGCAGGGUUGUUUGAGAGAGACCAUAUUCAUCCUACGCCUCCCACGGGUUGAUAAACCUUAGGUCAACCACUUGAGGGAAAAUUGCUACUAUCCUACAAAACUCUGCGCUUGGAGGUCCAACAUGAUUCUACAAGAACAAGUUGUGUAGUAGACAUCAAUAUGCUCUGUGGCGUUCAAAAUGUUUUUGAAGUCCCGGUUCUAAGCCUUAAAGCAUGGCGCACUAAACUAUUAAGUAGUCAUCAUAUCGAGCUUUCCAAACAUUCGUAACAUCUGCAUCUGCUCCUGCAAUAGGUCUGUCACCUAGCUGUGCAUCAAGGACAUAAUUUUUCUGUGCAGCAAUGAGGAUAAUCCUAAGAUCACGAACCCAGUCCGCUUUAUUGCUACCAUCAUCUUUCAACUUAGUUUUCUCUAGGAACAUAUCAAAAAUAGGGGAGAUAUAUUUGCGAGCUAUUGAUCUACAACAUAGAUAUGCAAAGACUAUUAAGACUACGUUCAUGAUAAAUUAAGUUCAAUUAAUCAAAUUACUGAUGAACUCCCACUUGAAUAAACAUCCCUCAAGUUAUCUAAGUGAUACAUGAUCCAAAUCAACUAACCCAUGUCCGACCAUCAUGUGAGAUGGGGUAGUCAUCAAUGGUGAACAUAUCUAUGUUGAUCAUAUCUACUACAUGACUCACGUUUAACCUUUCGGUCUCCAGUGUUCCGAGAAUAUGUCUGUACAUACUAGGCUCAUCAAGUUUAACACAAGUAUUCUGCAUGUGCAAAACUAUCUUACACUCGUUGUAUGUGAACAUAGAGUCUAUCACACCCGAUCAUCACGAGGUGCUUCGAAAGGACGAACUUUGGCAAAGGUGCAUACUCGGGGAGAACACUUUUAUCUUGAAAUUUGGUGAAGGGAUCAUCUUAUAAUGCUACUGCCGUUCUAAGCAGAAUAAGAUACAUAAAGGAUAAACAUCACAUGCAAUCCACAUAUGUGACAUGAUAUGGCCAUCAUCAUCUUGUGAUUUUGAUCUCCUUCUCCAAAGCAUCUUCAUGAUCUCCAUAUUCACCGGCUCGACACCUUGAUCUCCAUCGUUGCGUCGGGGUCGUCUCGCCAACUAUUACUUCUACAACUAUUGCUAAUGCAUAGCGAUGAAGUAAAGCAAUUACAUGGCAUUUGCAUUUCAUACAAUAAUUAAUGCAUUUCAUACAAUAAUUAAGAGACAACCCUAAGCUCCUGUCGGUUGUCGAUAUUACAAAACAAGAUCAUCUCAUACAACAACGUAUAUUACAUCACGUCUUAACCAUAUUGAUACAUCCAUUUUGCAUCAUGCUUUUAUAUCAAUAUUUUUGCAUUAUGGGCUGUUAUUACACAUUAUAUCUCAAUACUUAUGGCUAUUCUCACUUAUUUUACAAGGUUUACCAUGAAGAGGGGGAAUGCGGGCAGCUGGAAUUCUGGCUGGAAAAGGAGAAAACGUUGGAAACCUAUUCUGCACAACUCCAAAAGUCCUGAAACUCCAUGAAACCACCUUUUGGAUUUAAUAAGAAUUUAUGAGCGAAAGAAAUAGGCCAGGGGCCCACACCCUGUCCAGGAGACAGGGGGCGCGCCCCCUGUAGGGCGCGGCCUCCUAUCUCCUGGGCCCCCUGGUGGGCCUCCAGCGUCCAUCUUCUGCUAUAUCAUCACUUUUACCCUGGAAAAAAUUGGGGGCAAGCUUACGGGACGAAACUCCGCCGCCACGAGGCGGAACCUUGGCGGAAUCAAUCUAGGGCUCUGGCGGAGCUGUUUUGCCGGGGACACUUCCCUCCGGGAGGGGAAAUCAUCACCAACGUCAUCACCAACGAUCCUCUCAUCUAGAGGGGGUCAAUCUCCACCAACAUCUUCACCAGCACCAUCUCCUCUCAAAACCCUAGUUCAUCUCUUGUAUCCAAUCUUGUAUCAAAACCACAAAUUGGUACCUGUGGGUUGCUAGUAGUGUUGAUUACUCCUUGUAGUUGAUGCUAAUUGGUUUACUUGGUGGAAGAUCAUAUGUUCAGAUCCUUUAUGCAUAUUAUUACUCCUCUAAUUAUGAACAUGAAUAUGCUUUGUGAGUAGUUACGUUUGUUCCUGAGGACAUGGGUGAAGUCUUUCUAUUAGUAGUCAUGUGAAUUUGGUAUUCGUUUGAUAUUUUGAUGAGAUGUAUGUUGUGUUUCCUCUAGUGGUGUUAUGUGAACGUCGACUACAUGACACUUCACCAUUAUUUGGGCCUAGAGGAAGGCAUGGGGAAGUAAUAAGUAGAUGAUGGGUUGCUAGAGUGACAGAAGCUUAAACCGUAGUUUAUGCAUUGCUUCGUUAGGGGUUGAUAUGGAUCCAUAGGCUUAAUGCUGUGGUUAGGUUUACCUUAAUACCUUCUUUUGUAGUUGUGGAUGCUUGCAAUAGGGGUUAAUCAUAAGUGGGAUGCUUGUCCAAGUUAGGGCAGUACCCAAGUACCGGUCCACCCACAUAUCAAAUUAUCAAAGUACCGAACGUGAAUCAUAUGAACGUGAUGAAAACUAGCUUGACGAUAAUUCCCAAUGUGUCCUCGGGAGCUCCUUCUUCAUUAUUAGAAUUUGUCCAGGCUUAUCCUUUGCUACCUAAAGGAUUGGGCCACCUUGCUGCACUUUAUUUACUUUAUUUACUUUUUUCUUGUUACUAUUUAUCUUAUCACAAAGCUAUCUAUUACCUACAGUUUCAGUGCUUGCAGAGAAAACCUUACUGAAAACCGCUUAUCAUUUCCUUCUGCUCCUCGUUGGGUUUGACACUCUUACUUAUUGAAAGGACUAUGAUAGAUCCCCUACACUUGUGGGUCAUCAAGACUCUUUUCUGGCGCCGUUGCCGGGGAGUGUAGCGCUUUUGGUGAGUGGAACUUGGUAAGGAAACAUUUAUAUAGUGUGCUGAAAUUUUCUGUUACUUGUCACUAUGGAAACUAAUCCUUUGAGGGGCUUGUUUGGGGUAUCUUCACCCCAACCAGAAGAGCAAAGAGAUUCUCCUCAACCUACUGAACUUUAUGAAAAUAUUCACUUUGAGAUUCCUUCGGGUAUGAUAGAAAAACUGCUAGCUAAUCCUUUUGCAGGAGACGGAACAUUGCAUCCCGAUUUACACCUUAUCUUUGUGGAUAAAGUUUGUGGAUUAUUUAAGCUUGCAGGUAUUCCCGAUGAUGUUGUCAGAAGGAAGGUCUUCCCUUUAUCUUUGAAGGGAGAUGCAAUGACAUGGUAUAGGCUAUGUGAUGAUACGAGAUUUUGGAAUUAUAAGCGAUUGAAGUUGGAAUUUCACCAGAAGUUCUAUCAUAUGCAUCUUGUUCAUCGUGAUCGUAAUUACAUAUAUAAUUUCUGGCCUCGCGAAGGAGAAAGCAUCGCUCAAGCUUGGGGAGGCUUAAGUCAAUGUUAUAUUCAUGCCCCAAUCAUGAGAUCUCUCGGGAAAUGAUUAUUCAGAAUUUUUAUGCUCGGCUUUCUCUUGAUAAUCGCAACCUGCUCGAUACUUCCUGUGCUGGUUCUUAUAUGCUGAAGACUAUUGAUUUCAAAUGGGACUUAUUGGAAAGAAUUAAAUGCAACUCUUAAGAUUGGGGUUCCAACGAUGGUAAGGAGUCAAGUAUGACACCUAAGUUCGAUUGUGUUAAAUCUUUUAUGGAUACCGAUGCUUUCUGUGGAUUUAGAUCUAAGUAUGGACUUGACUCUGAGAUAGUAGCUACUUUUUGUGAAAAUUUUGCUACUCAUGUUGAUCUCCCUAAAGAGAAGUGGUUUAAAUAUAAUCCUCCUGUUGAAGUGAAAGUAGUUGCACCUAUUACAGUCGAAGAAAAGACUAUUACAUAUAGUGAUCCUAUUAUUCCUACUUCUUAUGUUGAAAAACCUCCUUUUCCUGUUAGGAUAAAAGAUCAUGCUAAAGCUUCGACUGUUGUUCGUAAGAGUAAUACUAGGACCUAUACACCUCCUGAGCAAAUUAAUGUUGAACCUGGUAUUGCUAUGAUUAAAGAUCUCUUGGAUGAGGACUUAGAUGGGCAUGUUAUCUCUUUCUUGGGUGAAACUGCUAAUAUUGCUAGACCGGAUACUAAGACACGUAGACCUGUUGUAGGCACGCCUGUUAUUUCUGUUAAAAUAGGAGAUCAUUGUUAUCAUGGCUUAUGUGAUAUGGGUGCUAGUGCUAGUGCGAUACCUUAUGAUCUUUAUAAAGAAAUUAUGCACGAUAUUGCACCUGUUGAAUUAGAAGACAUUGAUGUUACUAUUAAGCUUGCUAAUAGGGACACCAUUAAACCUAUUGGGAUUGUUAGAGAUGUUGAAGUCUUGUGUGGGAAGAUUAAAUACCCUGCUGAUUUUCUUGUUCUUGCUUCCCCACAAGAUGAUUUUUGUCCCAUUAUUUUUGGUAGACCCUUCUUGAAUACUGCUAGUGCUAAGAUUAAUUGUGAAAGGAAGGUCGUCACUGUUGGCAUAGAUGGUAUGUCUCAUGAGUUCAAUUUUGCUAAGUUUAGUAGACAACCUCAUGAAAGAGAACCACCUAGUAAGGAUGAAAUUAUUGGUCUUGCUUCCAUUGCUGUUCCUCCAACUGAUCUGUUAGAACAAUAUUUGCUAGACCAUGAAAACGAUAUGUUUAUGCAGGAAAGGGAAGAACUAGAUGAAGUGUUCCUUAAACAAGAACCUAUGCUGAAACAUAACCUUCUCGUUGAAAUUCUUGGGGAUCCCCCUCCACCCAAGGGUGAUCCCGUGUUUGAACUCAAACCCUUACCUGAUAAUCUUAAGUAUGCUUAUCUUGAUGAAAAAGAAAUAUAUCCUGAUAUUAUUAGUGCUAACCUUUCAGACAAAGAAGAAGAAAGAUUAUUGAAAACUCUGAAGAAGCACAGAGCUGCUAUUGGAUAUACUCUAGAUGAUCUUAAGGGCAUUAGUCCCACAUUAUGUCAACACAAAAUUUCAGUGGAGAAAGAUGCCAAACCAGUUAUAGAUCCUCAAAGACGAUUAAAUCCCAAGAUGAAGGAAGUGGUAAGAAAGGAGAUACUAAAGCUCCUUGAGGCAGGUAUUAUUUAUCCCGUUGCUGAUAGUGAAUGGGUAAGCCCUGUCCAUUGUGUCCCUAAAAAGGGAGGUAUUACUGUUGUUCCUAAUGAUAAAGAUGAAUUGAUCUUGCAAAGAAUUAUUACAGGUUAUAGGAUGGUAAUUGAUUUCCGUAAAUUAAAUAAAGCUACUAAGAAAGAUCAUUACCCUUUACCUUUUAUUGAUCAAAUGCUAGAAAGGCUAUCAAAACACACACAUUAUUGCUUUCUAGAUGGUUAUUCUGGCUUCUCUCAAAUACCUGUGUCAGCGAAGGAUCAAUCUAAAACUACUUUUACUUGCCCUUUUGGUACUUCUGCUUAUAGACGUAUGCCUUUUGGUUUCUGUAAUGCACCUGCUACCUUUCAAAGAUGCAUGAUGGCUAUAUUCUCUAAUUUUUGUGAAAAGAUUUGUGAGGUAUUCAUGGAUGACUUCUCCGUCUAUGGGUCCUCUUUUGAUGAUUGUUUGAGCAACCUUGAUCGAGUUUUGUAGAGAUGCGAAGACAAUAGUCUUGUCCUGAAUUGGGAAAAGUGUCACUUUAUGGUUAAUGAAGGCAUUGUCUUGGGGCACAAGAUCUCUGAGAGAGGUAUUAAAGUUGAUAAAGCCAAAGUUGAUGCUAUUGAAAAGAUGCCAUGUCCCAAGGACAUAAAAGGUAUAAGAAGUUUCCUUGGUCAUGCCGGCUUUUAUAGGAGGUUCAUUAAGGACUUUUCUAAAAUCUCUAGGCCUCUGACUAAUUUAUUGCAAAAAGAUAUUCCUUUUGUCUUUGAUGAUGAUUGUGUAGAAGCAUUUGAAACACUUAAGAAAGCUUUGAUCACUGCACCUAUUGUUCAGCCACCUGAUUGGAAUUUACCUUUUGAAAUUAUGUGUGAUGCUAGUGAUUAUGCUGUAGGUGCUGUUUUAGGGCAAAGAGUCGAUAAGAAAUUGAAUGUUAUCCAGUAUGCUAGUAAGACUCUUGAUACUGCCCAAAGAAAUUAUGCUACUACUGAAAAAGAGUUCUUAGCAGUUGUGUUUGCAUGUGAUAAGUUUAGACCUUAUAUUGUCGAUUCCAAAGUUAUUAUUCACACUGAUCAUGUUGGUGUUAAAUAUCUUAUGGAAAAGAAAGAUGCUAAGCCUAGACUCAUUAGAUGGGUUCUCUUGCUCCAAGAAUUUGAUUUGCAUAUUGUUGAUAGAAAGGGAGCUGAGAACCCUGUUGCAGACAACUUGUCUAGGUUAGAGAAUGUUCUUGAUGGCCCACUGCCUAUUAAUGAUAACUUUCCUGAUGAACAAUUAGCGGUUGUCAAUGCUUCUCGUACUGCUCCUUGGUAUGCUGAUUAUGCUAAUUACAUUGUUGCUAAAUAUAUACCGCCUAGUUUCACAUACCAGCAAAAGAAAAAGUUCUUUUAUGAUUUAAGACAUUACUUCUGGGAUGAUCCACACCUUUAUAAAGAAGGAGUAGAUGGUAUUAUUAGAUGUUGUGUGCCUGAGCAUGAACAAGAACAAAUCCUACGCAAGUGUCACUCUGAAUCCUAUGGAGGACACCACGCUGGAGAUAGAACUGCACACAAGGUACUACAAUCUGGUUUUUAUUGGCCUACUCUCUUCAAAGAUGCUCGUAAGUUUGUCUUAUCUUGUGAUGAAUGUUAAAUAAUAGGAAACAUUAGUAGACGUCAAGAAAUGCCCAUGAAUUAUUCUCUUCUUAUUGAACCGUUUGAUGUUUGGGGCUUCGAUUAUAUGGGACCUUUUCCUGCCUCCAAUGGUUAUACACAUAUUCUAGUUGCUGCUGAUUACGUUACUAAGUGGGUAGAAGCUAUUCCAACUAGUAGUGCUGAUCAUAACACUUCUAUUAAAAUGCUUGAAGAAGUUAUUUUUCCGAGGUUUGGAGUCCCUAGAUAUCUUAUGACUGAUGGUGGUUCACACUUUAUUCAUGGUGCUUUCCGUAAGAUGCUCGCUAAGUAUGAUGUCAAUCAUAGAAUCGCAUCUCCUUAUCACCCGCGGUCUAGUGGUCAAGUAGAGUUGAGCAAUAGAGAGCUCAAAUUAAUUUUGCAAAAGACUGUGAAUAGAUCUAGAAAGAAUUGGUCCAAAAAACUUGAUGAUGCAUUAUGGGCCUAUAGAACUGCAUACAAAAAUCCUAUGGGUAUGUCUCCAUAUAAGAUGGUCUAUGGAAAAGCAUGUCAUUUACCUCUUGAACUUGAACAUAAGGCAUAUUGGGCUAUUAAAGAGCUCAAUUAUGACUUCAAACUUGCCGGUGAGAAAAGGUUAUUUGAUAUUAGCUCACUUGAUGAAUGGAGAACCCAAGCAUAUGAGAAUGCCAAGCUUUUCAAAGAAAAAGUCAAACGCUGGCAUGAUAAGAGGAUACAAAAGCGUGAGUUUAACGUAGGAGAUUAUGUGUUAUUAUUCAACUCUCAUUUAAGAUUUUUUGCAGGAUAACUUCUCUCAAAAUGGGAAGGUCCCUACGUUAUCGAGGAGGUCUAUUAUUCUGGUGCUAUAAAAAUCAACAACUUCGAAGGCACAAAUCCGAGGGUGGUAAACGGUCAAAGAAUUAAACAUUAUAUUUCAGGUAAUCCUAUCAAUGUUGAAACUAAUAUUAUUGAAACCAUAACCCCUGAGGAAUACAUAAGAGACACUUUCCAGAACGUUCCAGACUCCAAAAAGGCAUAGGUACGUGGUACGGUAAGUAAACCGACUCCAAAACAACUCUAAUGGCAAUUUUUAUCAAUUUUGGAUUAUUUAAGAAUUUUAGGAAGAAAGAAGUAGUCCAAAAGGGACACGAGGCUCCCACGAGAGAGGAGGCCGCCCCCUCCCCUAUAGGGCAUGCCCCUGUCUCCUGGGCACAUUGUGUGCCUCCCGGACUCCAUUUUCUUGUAUGUUACGUAUUUCGGUCGGUAAAAAUUCAUUAUAUAUACUACCGAAGGUUUUGACCAACGUAUCACGCAAUUAUCCUCUGUUUUCGUUUCGAGCUAUUUCUGUUUCAGAUCUAGAGCAUCAUGUCGUCUCCAAGCGCUCCCAAGGACAAGUUUUUCAAGAGGGUUAUCAACCCCUAUCUCGCGGAGGUGCUGCAUCAUCCUCAAACCAUUGAGAUGCGUGAAGGGGUGCUGCACAUCUGCGAUGUGGAGGGACCAAGGCGUACCGGGAGCGUGGAGACAAAGCUCUAAGCCGUGGAGCAAGAAGUUUUCAAGUGUCAAGGGAUGGUGGAGCGUGGACUCAACGCCAACCAGAUGAUGAUCACGGAGUUCACCAAGAACCACAAGCUAGAUGCCAAAGUCAUUGGGGAGACCAUCUUCAAGCUUCAAGAGAAAAUCGAGCACCUCCAAGCCCAGACUUAUGACCUGCAAAACCAGAACUUUGAGUAUGAAUAUAGAUUCAAGCGAAUGAGUUUGGCUGCAAAUUUAAGGAUCCCGGAGACUCGAUCAUCCUUUUAUGAUGGAGAGCCUAUGCCUUGGAAGACGGACGACAAGCCUACAUCAUCAACAACUCCUACUUCACCACCUCCGAGGAAAUAAUCAUAUGGGUAUAGGCACUCCCCUUGGCAACUGCCAACCUUGGGGGGAGGUGCCCCGGUAUCGUAUCACCAUCACACUUUUAUCUUUACCGCUUUAUUUAGUUCGAUCCUUUUAGUAGUAUCUUGAUCUAGUAGAUUGAAGUUUUCAUAUCAAGUAGUUUUGAGUUUUGCAUUGUGAUCCCUUUAUGUAAUCGAGUCCGUGUGCUAUCUAUAAUAAAGAUUAGUGUUGAGUCAAUGGCUUUGCUAUGUUGCCAUGAUCUUGAGAAAAUAGAAAGAACAAAAGAGUUCAUAUUGAUCUUUUGGAUAGUGAUAACUUCACACAUAGAAAGUAUGAGGCAUAAAAAAUGUUGAGAGUUGAUGAACGUAGGCUUGGUCAUCGUUGCAAUAAAUAGGAAGUGAUAAGGAAAGAGGGGUUCACAUAUAAAUAUAUUAUCUUGGACAUCUUUUAUGAUUGUGAAUCACUCAUUAAGUAUGACAUGCUAAAAGAGUUGAUGUUGGACAAGGAAGACAACAUAAUGGUUUACGUUUUCCGACAUCUCAGUUAAAGUAUAUUGUCAUUGACCUUCCAAACAUGUUUAGCUUGCCUUUCCCCCUCAUGCUAGCCAAAAUUCUUGCACCAAGUAGAGAUACUACUUGUGCUUCCAAAUAUCCUUAAACCCAGUUUUGCCAUGAGAGUCCACUAUACCUACCUAUGGAUUGAGUAAGAUCCUUCAAGUAAGUUGUCAUCGGUGCAAGCAAUAAAAAUUGCUCUUUAAAUAUGCAUGACUUAUUAGUGCAGAGAAAAUAAGCUUUGUACGAACUUGUUGUGGAAGUAAUAAAAGCGACGGACUGCAUAAUAAAGGUCCACAUACAAGGGGCAAUAUAAAGUGACGUUCUUUUGCAUUAAGAUUUUGUGCAUCAACCCUAAACGCGCAUGAAAACCUCUGCUUCUCUCUGCGAUGGGCAUAUCUUUUACUUUAUGUUUUUACUUUAUGCUUGAGUCAAGGUGAUCCUCACCUUUCCUCUUUUUCAUUUUCUCCUUUGGCAAGCUCCUCGUGUUUGAAAGAUCAUGAUACAUAUAUCCAAUUGGAUGUAAGUUGGCAUAGGCUAUUAUUGUUGACAUCACCUAAAGGUGAAUACGUUGGGAGGCAACACAAUAAGCCCCUAUCUUUCUCAGUGUCCGGCUGAAACUCUAUAACCACAAGUAUCGCGUGAGUGUUAGCAAUUAUAGGAGACUACGAGAUAGUUGAGUAUGUGAGCUUGUUGAAAAACUCUAUUAUUGACUCUUUCUGAUGUUACGAUAAAUUGCAAUUGCUUCAAUGACCGAGACUAUAGUUUGUUAGUUCCCAAUGAAGUUUUUGAACCAUAAUUGACAUUGUGAAUUGUUUAUUACUUGAACAUAGGAAAUCAUAUGACAAAAAUGUAUAUAUGUUGCUGUUAUUAGAAUGAUCAUGAUGCCCUCAUGUCCGUAUUUUAUUUUUAUCGACACCUCUAUCUCUAAACAUGUGGACAUAUUUUUCGAUUUCGGCUUCCGCUUCAGGACAAGCGAGGUCUAAUCUUGGGGGAGUUGAUACGUCCAUUUUGCAUCAUGCUUUUAUAUCAAUAUUUAUUGCAUUAUGGGCUGUUAUUACACAUUAUAUCUCAAUACUUAUGGCUAUUCACUCUUAUUUUACAAGGUUUACCAUGAAGAGGGGGAAUGCCGGCAGCUGGAAUUCUGGCUGGAAAAGGAGAAAACGUUGGAAACCUAUUCUGCACAACUCCAAAAGUCCUGAAACUCCACGAAACCACUUUUUGGAUUUAAUAAGAAUUUAUGAGCGAAAGAAAUAGGCCAGGGGGGCCACACCCUGUCUAGGAGACAGGGGCGCCCCCCCCUGUAGGGCGCGGCCUCCUAUCUCCUGGGCCCCCUGGUGGGCCUCCGGCGUCCAUCUUCUGCUAUAUCAUCACUUUUACCCUCUAUGCAAGCUUACGGGACGAAACUCCGCCGCCACGAGGCGGAACCUUGGCGGAAUCAAUCUAGGGCUCUGGCGAAGCUGUUCUGCCGGGGACACUUCCCUCCGGGAGGGGGAAAUCAUCACCAACGUCAUCACCAACGAUCCUCUCAUCUAGAGGGGGUCAAUCUCCACCAACAUCUUCACCAGCACCAUCUCCUCUCAAAACCCUAGUUCAUCUUUUGUAUCCAAUCUUGUAUCAAAACCACAAAUUGGUACCUGUGGGUUGCUAGUAGUGUUGAUUACUCCUUGUAGUUGAUGCUAAUUGGUUUACUUGGUGGAAGAUCAUAUGUUCAGAUCCUUUAUGCAUAUUAUUACUCCUCUGAUUAUGAACAUGAAUAUGCUUUGUGAGUAGUUAUGUUUGUUCCUAAGGACAUGGGUGAAGUCUUGCUAUUAGUAGUCAUGUGAAUUUGGUAUUCGUUCGAUAUUUUGAUGAGAUAUAUGUUGUCUUUCCUCUAGUGGUGUUAUGUGAACGUCGACUACAUGACACUUCACCAUUAUUUGGGCCUAGUGGAAGGCAUGGGGAAGUAAUAAGUAGAUGAUGGGUUGCUAGAGUGACAGAAGCUUAAACCCUAGUUUAUGCGUUGCUUCGUUAGGGGUUGAUAUGGAUCCAUAGGCUUAAUGAUGUGGUUAGGUUUACCUUAAUACCUUCUUUUGUAGUUGCGGAUGCUUGCAAUAGGGGUUAAUCAUAAGUGGGAUGCUUGUCCAAGUUAGGGCAGUACCCAAGUACCGGUCCACCCACAUAUCAAAUUAUCAAAGUACCGGACGCGAAUCAUAUGAACGUGAUGAAAACUAGCUUGGCGAUAAUUCCCAAUGUGUCCUCGGGAGCUCCUUCUUCAUUAUUAGAAUUUGUCCAGGCUUAUCCUUUGCUACCUAAAGGAUUGGGCCACCUUGCUGCACUUUAUUUACUUUAUUUACUUUUUGCUCGUUACUAUUUAUCUUAUCACAAAACUAUCUAUUACCUAUAGUUUCAGUGCUUGCAGAGAAAACCUUACUGAAAACCGCUUAUCAUUUCCUUCUGCUCCUCGUUGGGUUCGAUACUCUUACUUAUUGAAAGGAAUACGAUAGAUCCCCUACACUUGUGGGUCAUCACAUAUCACAUCACAACAUGCCCUACAAAAGCAAGUUAGACGUCCUCUACUUUGUUGUUGCAAGCGUUCUUAACUACGCAAAAAACCACAACGGUGAUUUAUCAACUUUGCUGUUUUAACCUUCUUCAAGGACCGACCGUAGUCAAAUUCGAUUCAACUAAAAUAGGAGAAACAGACACCCGUGAGCCACCUUUAUGUAAAACUUGUUGCAUGUCAAUCGAUGAAACCGGUCUCAUGUGCGUGGACAUCUAAGAUAGGUCUGGGCCGCUUCAUCGUACAAUACCGCCGAAUCACAAUUACGUUGGUGGUAAGUAGCAUGACUAUGACCGCCCACAACUCUUUGUGUUCUACUCAUGCAUAUCAUCUAUGCGUAGACCUGGAUCGGAUGCCAUUGUUGGGAAAUGUUGCAUGGAAAAAAAAUCUAUGCACACACAAGAUCUACCCAUGGAGAUGUAUAGCAAUGAGGGGGAGAGUGUGUCUACGUACCCUCGUAGAACGUAAGAGGAAGCGUUCGUUAACGCGGUUGAUGUAGUCGAACUUCUUCACGAUCUAACCGAUCGAGUACCGAAGGUAUGACACCGCACACAUUCAGCUCGGUGACAUCCUCGCCUUCCUUAUCCAACAAGACGGCAAAGUAGUGGAUGGGUUCCGGUAGUACGACGGCAUGGUGACGAUGGUGGUGAUGCUAUGUCCGCAGGGCUUCGCCUAAGCACUACAAAAAUAUGACCGAGGGACAAAACUGUGGAGGGGGCGCCUUACACGGCUAAGGGGUUGUUGUGGUAUUGUGUGGUGCCCCCUCCCACAUAUAUAUAGGUGGGGGGGAGGGAGGAGACAACCAGGAGGCGCCCCAAGUGGGGCCGAAUCCCACUUGGGGUCCUGCCCCUAGCUGCGCCCCGCUUGCCUUUUUAGGUGAGCGAGGAAAGGCUGGGGAGAGUGGUGAUACGUCUCCGUCAUAUCUAUAAUUUUUGAUUGUUCCAUGCCAAUAUUCUACAACUUCCAUAUACUUUUGGCAAUUUUUUAUAUUAUUUUUGGGACUAACAUAUUGAUCCAGUGCCCAGUGCCAGUUCCUGUUUGUUGCAUGUUUUAUGUUUCGCAUAAACCCCAUAUCAAAUGGAGUCCAAACGGGAUAAAACGGACGGAGAAUAUUUUUGGAAUAUUUGGGAAAUAUGGGAGGAAGAAUCAAUGCGAGACGGUGCCCGAGGUGGCCAUGAGGCAGGGGGUGCGCCUGCCCCUACUGGGCGCGCCCCUGACCCUCGUGGGCCCCUCGUAAGGCAGUUGCUGCUAUUCUUUUGCCGCAAGAAAGCUAAUUUUUGGGGAAAAUCCUGGCGAAGGUUUCAGUCCAAUCGGAGUUACGGAUCUCCGAAUAUAAAAUAAACGGUGAAAGUGCAGAAUCCGGGAACGCAGAAACAGAGAGAGACAGAGAGACAGAUCCAAUCUUGGAGGGGCUCUCGUCCCUCCCACGCCAUGGGAGCCAACGACCAGAGGCGAAACCCUUCUCCCAUCUAGGGAGAAGGUCAAGGAAGAAAAAGAAGAAUGGGGGCUCUCUCCCCCAUGCUUCCGGUGAUGCCGGAACACCACCGGGGCCAUCAUCAUCACCGCGAUCUUCACCAACAACUUCACCGCCUUCAUCACCAACUCUUCCUCCCUCUAUGCAGCGGUGUAACCUCUCUUUUACCUGCUGUAAUAUCUACUUAAACAUGGUGAUCAACGCAUAUAUUAUUUCCCAAUGAUGUAUGGCUAUCCUAUGGUGUUUGAGUAGAUCCGUUUUGUCCUAUGGGUUAAUUGAUGAUCGUGAUUGGUUUGAGUUACAUGUUUUAUUAUUGGUGAUGUCCUAUGGUGCUCUCCGUGUCGUGCAAGCGUGAGGGAUCCCCGCUGUAGGGUUUGCAAUAUGUUCAUGAUUUGCUUAUGGUGGGUGGCGUGAGUGACAGAAGCACAUACCCGAGUAAGUAGGUUGUUUGCGUAUGUGAUAAAGGGGACUUGAUACUUUAAUGCUAUGGUUGGGUUUUACCUUAAUGAUCUUUAGUAGUUGCGGAUACUUGCUAGAGUUCCAAUCAUUAGUGCAUAUGAUCCAAGAAGAUAAAGUAUGUUACCUUAUGCCUCUCCCUCAAAUAAAAUUGCGAUAGUGAUUACCGGUCUAGUUAUCGAUUGCUUAGGGACAAAUAACUUUCUCGUGACAGCAAGCUCUUUACUAAAACUAAUUUAGUUGUGUCUUCAUCUAAACAGCCCCUAGUUUAUAUUUACAUGCUCUUUAUUAUCUUGUAAACCUAUCCAACAACACCUACAAAGUACUUCUAGUUUCAUACUUGUUCUAGGUAAGGCGAACACUAAGCAUGCGUAGAGUCGUAUCAGUGGCAGAUAGGACUUGAGAGAAUAUUUGUUCUACCUUUAGCUCCUCAUUGAGUUUGACACUCUUACUUAUCGAAAGAGGCUACAAUUAUCCCCUACACUUGUGGGUUAUCAAGACAUUUUUCUGGCGCUGUUGCCGGGGAGUCAUAGCGUGGGGUGAAUAUUCUCGUGUGUGCUUGUUUGCUUUAUCACUAAGAAAUUUUUAUUUGCUAUUUUUAGUUGUUCUCUACCUUUAGUUAUGGAUAUGGAACACGAAAUACCAAAAAAUUAGGUGUACUUGCUACUCAUGGAGAUGGGGAACCUCCUAAAACCCUCAAUGCUCGUUAUGUGAAAGAAAUUAUGUACUACUUUGAUAAUCCUGAGAAAACCCCAUUCAAUUAUGUUAUGGGAGACACGUUGGAUCAACGUGAAUACUUUAGGGAUUAUCGCUUGAAACAAAAAGGGAAACUAUUAUGGGAUCAAAUUUAUAUGUUGCGUUGGUAUGCUCUAGAUCUAUGCUUGAGACAUGAUUAUACUUGUUGCUCUAGGAUAAAGUCUCCACACCUUCCCUUUUCAUGCAAAUUCAAUGAUAAUAAAACCUUGGCUUCUUAUGCUAAUGGUAUCUAUGAUUACUAUGAUGUGGAACAAAUACAAGAGUUCGUUGCUUUUAUGGGUGCUUAUGAGAUUGAAUCUAUGUUUAAAAAGUUUGAAGAUUUUGAUGAUUCAGUUUACAGACCUGAAAAUUUUGCUAUACUUAGAUAUUGCUAUGAAAAUUAUGAAUACAAUUCCGACAUUGAUGCAUUUAUUGAGAAAGUCACCGCUGUCCAAGAAGAGACUAAUAUUUUGCAGGAGUCUAUGGAAGAAGAAAUUGAUGAAACUGUGAGCUCAUUGCAUGAAAAAGAUGACGAGGAGGGCGAAGAACAAAAGGAGGAAGAGUGGAUUAGCUACCCGUGCCCACCUUCUAACGAGAGUAACUCUUCAACUCAUACAUUGUUUAAUUUCCCUUCGUGCUUACCGAAGGAUGAUUGCUAUGAUGAUUGCUAUGAUCCCGUUGAUUUUCUUGAAAUAUCCCUUUUUGAUGAUGCUUGAUAUGCUUGUGGCCAAGAUGCCAAUAUGAAUUAUGCUUAUGGAGAUGAACUUGCUAUAGUUCCUUAUGUUAAACAUGAAAUUGUUUCUAUUGCACCGACACAUGAUAGUCCUAUUAUCUUUUUGAAUUCUCCAAACUACACUAUAUCGGAGAAGUUUGUGCUUAUUAAGGAUUAUAUUGAUGGGUUGGCUUUUACCGUUGCACAUGAUAAUUUUGAUGAAUGUAAUAUGCAUGUGCUUGCUGCUCCUACUUGCAAUUAUUAUGAGAGAGGAACUAUAUCUCCACCUCUCUAUGUUUCCAAUAUGAUAAAAUUGCAAGAAACUGCUUAUACUAUGCAUUGGCUUUUACUUGGUGUGCAUGCAUUGUUCUUUUAUGGCAUGCCGAUGCAUAGGAAGAGAGUUAGACUUCGUUGUUGCAUGAUUUAUGUUACUUUGUGCUCCAUACUAAAUCAAAAAUCAUUGUUAAUUAAAAUUGGCUUUGAUAUACCUUGGGAUCCGGGUGGAUCCAUUACUUGAGCACUAUAUGCCUAGCUAAAUGGCUUUAAAGAAAGCGUUGCCAGGGAGACAACCCGGAAGUUUUAGAGAGUCAUUUAUUUCUAUUGAGUGAUUUAAUAUAUUCUAAAAAAUAAAAAAAAUAAAGAGGGGAACAAAAAAAAUUCAAAAAGGAAAAUGAAAGUAAGAAGGAUAAGCAUUGUUGAAGUGGGAGAGCUCCUUGAACUUUGUUCAUGCUCACGGAAACUUUGUGAAUCUUAAUUACAGAAACUUUUCAUCAAAAAUAAUUAUCCCCUUGUACAAUUCCAUUGUAUUAUAAAAAUAAUGUGCCAAGGUUUGCCUUUAGGAUGUUUACAAUGCUUGUUGGUUUGAACGGUGCAGGACAGAAACUUUGGCUGUAGUGCGCGAUUUUACAUUUUUUACGUCAAACGGUUCUGAUUAUUUUUGCACUGUCUUUCUAUACAAAUUUUUUAUUUUUCCUAAUUUUGGUAGAAUUUUUGGGGUACCAGAAGUAUGGUGAAUGUUUAGAUUGCUACAGACUGUUCUAUUUUUGACAGAUUCUGUUUUUGAUGCAUAGUUUACUUGUUUUGAUGAAACUAUCAAUUUCUAUCAGUGUGUUAAGCCAUGGAAAAGUUAUAUUACAUUAGACACAAUGCAAAAAAUAUAUGAAUUGGUUUGCAACAGUACUUAGAGUAGUGAUUUGCUUUAUUACACUAACGGAUCUUACUGAGUUUUCUGUUGAAGUUUUGUGUGGAUGAAGUGUUUGAUCGAGGAGGUCUCGAUAUGAGGAAAAGGAAGAGAGGCAAGAGCUCAAGCUUGGGGAUGCACAAGGAACCCCAAGUAAAUAUUCAAGGAGACUCAAGCGUCUAAGCUUGGGGAUGCCCCGGAAGGCAUCCCCUCUUUCUUCAACAAGUAUUGGUAUGUUUUCGGAUUUGUUUCGUUCAUGCGAUAUGUGCAAGUCUUGGAGCGUCUUUUGCAUUUAGUUUUCACCUUUCUUUUAUGCACCAUGCUGGUAUGAGAUAUUACUUGGUUUAUUUAUAGAAUGAUCAUGGCACUUCACUUAAAUCUUUUGAGUAUGGCUUUAUAGAAUGCUUCAUGUGCUUCACUUAUAUCAUUUGAAGUUUGGAUUGCGUGUUUCUCUUCACAUAGAAAACCGCCAUUUGUAGAAUGCUUUUUUGCUUCACUUAUAUUUGUUAGAGCGUGGGAAUAUCUUUUGCAAAAAGAAUUAAACUCUCUUGCUUCACUUAUAUCAAUUUAGAGAGAUGACAGGAAUUGGUCAUUCACAUGGUUAGUCAUAAAAUCCUACAUAAACUUGUAGAUCGCUGAAUAUGAUAUGGUUUGUUCCUUGCAAUAGUUUUGCGAUAUAAAGAUGGUGAUAUUAGAGUCAUGCUAGUGGGUAGUUGUGGAUUGUAGAAACACUUGUGUUGAGGUUUGCAAGUCACGUAGCAUGCACGUAUGGUAACCGUUGUGUGACAAAUUUGAAGCAUGGAGUGUUUCUUUGAUUGUGUUCCUUCUGAGUGGUGGUCGGGGACGAGGGUCUUUUCCUACCAAUCUAUCCCCCUAGGGGCAUGCGUAGUAGUACUUUGCUUCGAGGGCUAAUAAACUUUUGCAAUAAGUAUAUGAGUUCUUUAUGAGAUUUUCACCUCAUAUGGCUCCUCGGUCAAUUCUUUCGAAGGGAUCCUUUUCCUCGUUCGAGAGUCUCCGCCCUUUUUCCACUCCGUCCCGAAGACUAACUAAGACCAAUUGAGUCAAGUUUUCGUGUUCUAAUUGAACACUUUCCAUUUAUGAUAUGAUUAAAGGAGAAGAUUGUUCUUUUACCAAACAUAUGCAGAUCAAAUCACGUCUUAUAAUAAGAAGAAAUCUUUCUCGGUAUCAAUCCCCUUGCCCCUCAUUCUUUGAGAAUCAAAAGGAUCCUUUUCGAGUUUCCAUUUCUUCAUUUGGAAUCUGGGCUCUUCUAUCUUCGACUUAUUUUUUUGGCUUUAUUCUUUAUUUAUUUCAUUUCGAUUUUUUCCUCUUCCUCUAUCCCUAUCCUCUAGGUACAGUGUUUGCAUCAAUAGAGAACCUUUUCCUCUGUAUGAAUCUAUAUUAUUCCAUUCCAAUUUCUUCCCGAAACUUCCCAAGAAAAAUCCCGAAUUGGAUCCAAAAUUGACGGGUUAAUGUGAGCUUAUCCAUGCGGUUAGGCACUCUUCAAAUAGGAAUCCAUUUUCUAACUGGCUUUUGUGCUUUGGUGAGUCGUCCGAGAUCUUUUCGAUGACCUAUGUUGUGUUGAAGGGAUAUCUAUAUGAUCCGAUCGAUUGCAUAAGACCCGCGGUAGCAAUAAAACGGGAAAAGUAUACAGAAAAACAGUUCUUUUCAAUUUUUAUUAUAUAUAUUAGUUCAUUUCUAUUUCUAGAUAUCUAUUUCUAUAUAUUAGUAUUAGUUAGUAGUACUAUUAGUUACCGAUCCCGGCUUUGUGAGUUCUUUCUUCCGUGAUGAACUGUCGGCACCAGUCCUACAUUUUUUUCUCUGUGGACCGAGGAGAAAGGGGGAUCAGCAGGAAUAGGACUGUACCAUGAGAGAAGCACAGAGGUCAACCCGCUUCAAAUAUGGAACAUGGAUUCUGGCAAUACAACGGAGUUGGGUCCUCAUAUAGAUCUGAAUGAAUCAGUCUUUCUACAGAGGUCAAUCUUUGCCUAUUAGGCAAGAGGAUAGCAAGUUCUAAAUUCUAUCUCGGUAGGACAUGGAUUUCUAUUACUAAUGUGAGUCCAUGGAUUAUACGCACUCUCACCCUUCCAUCAUUGCUAGCCUCUUCGGUACCGUGCAUUACCCUUUCUCACCUCGAGAGUCGGUGCAAACUUCGCCGGUGCAUCCAAACCCCGUGAUAUGAUACGCUCUGUCACACAUAAGCCUCCUUAUAUCUUCCUCAAAACAGCCACCAUACCUAACUAUCAUGGCAUUUCCAUAGCCAUUUUGAGAUAUAUUGCCAUGCAACUUCCAUCAUCAUCAUAUACAUGACUUGAGCAUUCAUUGUCAUAUUGCCUUGCAUGAUCGUAAGAUAGCUAGCAUGAUGUUUCCACGGCUUGUCCGGUUUUUGAUAUCUUUGCUAUGAUAGAUCAUCGCACAUCCCGGUACACCACCAGAGGCAUUCAUAUAGAGUCAUAUCUUUGUUCUAGUAUCGAGUUGUAAUAUUGAGUUGUAAGUAAAUAAAAGUGUGAUGUUCAUCUUAUAGAGCAUUGCCCCAUGAAAAAAAAGAGAGGCCAAAGAAGCCUAAAUAAAAAGAUGGGGCCAAAGAAGCCCACCCAAAAAAAGAGAAAAAAAAAGAAAAAAGGAAAAAGAAAAGGGGCAAUGUUACUAUCCUUUUUCCACACUUGUGCUUCAAACUAGCACCAUGUUCUUCAUAUAGAGAGUCUCCUAUGUUAUCACUUUCAUAUACUAGUGGGAAUUUUCAUUAUAGAACUUGGCUUGUAUAUUCCAACGAUGGGCUUCCUCAAAUGCCGUAGGUCUUCAUGAGCAAGCAAAUUGGAUGCACACCCACUUAGUUUUUAGUUUGAGCUUUCAUACACUUAUAGCUCUAGUGCAUCCGUUGCAUGGCAAUCCCUACUCCUCGCAUUGACAUCAAUUGAUGGGCAUCUCCAUAGCCCGUUGAUUAGCCGCGUCAAUGUGAGAAUUUCUCCCUUUUUGUCUUCUCCACAUAACCUCCACCAUCAUAUUCUAUUCCACCUAUAGUGUUAUAUGCAUGGCUUGCGCUCAUGUAUUGCAUGAGGGUUGAAAAAGCUGAAGCGCAUUAAAAGGUAUGAACCAAUUGCUCGGCUUGUCAUCAGGGUUGUGCAUGAUGGGAGCAUUUUGUGUGACGAAAAUGAAGCAUGGCCAAACUAUAUGAUUUUGUAGGGAUAAGCUUGCUUUGGCCAUGUUGUUUUGAAAAGACAUGAUUGCUUUAUUAGUACGCUCGAAGUAUUAUUGUUCUUAUGUCAAAUGAUAGACCAUUGCUUUGAAUCACUCGUGUCUUAAUAUUCAUGCCAUGAUUAGAUAUAUGAUCAAGAUUAUGCUAGGUAGCAUUCCACAUCAAAAAAUAUCUUUUUUAUCAUUUACCUACUCGAGGACGAGCAAGAAUUAAGCUUGGGGAUGCUGAUACGUCUCCAUCGUAUCUAUAAUUUUUGAUUGUUCCAUGCCAAUAUUCUACAACUUCCAUAUACUUUUGGCAACUUUUUAUAUUAAUUUUGGGACUAACAUAUUGACCCAGUGCCCAAUGCUAGUUCCUGUUUGUUGCAUGUUUUAUGUUUCGCAGAAACCCCAUAUCGAACGGAGUCCAAACGGGAUAAAAACGGACAGAGAAUAUUUUUGGAAUUGGAAAAUAUGGGAGGAAGAAUCAACGCGAGACGGUGCCUGAGGUGGCCACGAGGUAGGGGGCGCGCCCCUGACCCUCGUGGGCCCCUUGUAAGGCGGUUGCUGCUAUUCUUUUGCCGCAAGAAAGCUAAUUUUCGGGGAAAAAUCCUGGCAAAGGUUUCAGUCCAAUCGGAGUUACGGAUCUCCGGAUAUAAAAGAAACGGUGAAAGGGCAGAAUCCGGGAAUGCAGAAACGGAGAGAGACAGAGAGACAGAUCCAAUCUCGGAGGGGCUCCCGCGUCUCCCCCGCCAUGGGAGCCAAGGACCACAGGGGAAACCCUUCUCCCAUCUAGGGAGAAGGUCAAGGAAGAAGAAGAAGAACGGGGGCUCUCUCCCCCUUGCUUCCGGUGGCGCCGGAACGCCGCCGGGGCCAUCAUCAUCACCGCGAUCUUCACCAACAACUUCACCGCCUUCAUCAUCAACUCUUCAUCCCUCUAUGCAGCGGUGUAACCUCUCCUUUACCCGCUGUAAUCUCUACUUAAACAUGGUGCUCAACGCUAUAUAUUAUUUCCCAAUGAUGUAUGGCUAUCCUAUGAUCUUUGAGUAGAUUCGUUUUGUCCUAUGGGUUAAUUGAUGAUCGUGAUUGGCUUGAGUUGCAUGUUUUAUUAUUGGUGCUAUCCUCUGGUGCUCUCUGUGUCGCGCAAGAGUGAGGGAUCCCCGCUGUAGGGUUUGCAAUAUGUUCAUGAUUUGCUUAUGGUGGGUGGCGUGAGUGACAAAAGCACAGACUCGAGUAAGUAGGUUGUUUGCAGAUGGGAUACAGGGGACUUGAUACUUUAAUGCUAUGGUUGGGUUUUACCUUAAUGAUCUUUAGUAGUUGCGUAUGCUUGCUAGAGUUCCAAUCAUAAGUGCAUAUGAUCCAAGAAGAGAAAGUAUGUUAGCUUAUGCCUCUCCCUCAAAUAAAAUUGUGAUAGUGAUUACCGGUCUAGUUAUCGAUUGCUUAGGGACAAAUAACUUUCUCAUGACAACAAGCUCUUUACUAAAACUAAUUUAGUUGUGUCUUCAUCUAAACAGCCCCUAGUUUAUAUUUACGUGCUCUUUAUUAUGUUGCAAACCUAUCCAACAACACCUACAAAGUACUUCUAGUUUCAUACUUGUUCUAGGUAAGGCGAACACUAAGUGUGCGUAGAGUCGUAUCAGUGGCAGAUAGGACUUGAGAGAAUAUUUGUUCUACCUUUAGCUCCUCAUUGGGUUCGACACUUGUCGGUGUCAAAACCGGCGGAUCUCGGGUAGGGGGUCCCGAACUGUGCGUCUAGGCGGAGGGUAACAGGAGACAAGGGACACGAUGUUUUUACCCAGGUUCGGGCCCUCUCGAUGGAGGUAAAACCCUAUUCCUGCUUGAUUGAUAUUGAUGAUAUGGGUAGUACAAGAGUGGAUCUACCACGAGAUCAAGGAGGCUAAACCCUAGAAGCUAGCCUAUGAUAUGAUUGUUGUUCUGUCCUAUGGACUAAAACCCUCUGGUUUAUAUAGACACCAGAGAGGGCUAGGGUUACACAGAGUCGGUUACAAUGGUAGGAGAUCUACAUAUCCGUAUCGCCAAGCCUGCCUUUCACGCCAAGGAAAGUCCCAUUCGGACACGGGACGAAGUCUUCAAUCUUGUAUCUUCAUAGUCUUGCAGUCCGGCCGAUGAUGAUAGUUCGGCUAUCCGGACACCCCCUAGUCCAGGACUCCCUCAGUAGCCCCUGAACCAAGCUUCAAUGACGACGAGUCCGGCAUGCAUAUUGUCUUUGACAUUGCAAGGCGGGUUCCUCCUCCGAAUAAUUCAUAGAAGAUUGUGAACACGAGGAUAGUGUCCGGCUCUAUAGAAUAAAUUCCACAUACCACCGUAGAGAGAAUAAUAUUUACACAAGUUCAAUCUGCUGACGUAUUUUGUGGCGUGACGUCACACCACAACCAAGCCUUUACUCAAAUUGUUUUUAUUAUACCACCUCAGCGCGUUUAGUGAAGCGGUUUCCUUGGCACGUCUUGUCGAAGCAGAGAUCAUGUUCCCCUUAUUCUGGGAUUCCCAUCAAUACGGACGUGGGUAACCCAACCGCGCCAUUGAUUGCGGCGCUUGCGUGAUAAGCGAGUUUUACCAGGCCGGUGGGGACGCAUAGUUUUGUCCGCCCAUAUAUAAGGGGAUAAGGAUCCACGUUUUUUACCUACGCCUUCUUCCUCCUUUGCUUAUCCAUCUCCGCGCACUCGAGCUCCAGCACCCAAGUCCGCACAUCUCACCUCGACCUUCUCCAGCCAUGUCCGGAGCGGGAGGCAAGUGGAUGGCCUCCUCCGUUACGGAGGGGCACAUCAAGAAGCUGCGCAGCGCCAGAUAUCUGUCCAGCGACAUCGCGCACCGGCUCCCCGACAAGGGGCAACUCAUCCCCACCCCUGGGCCCCAUGAGAGGGUGGUAUUCCUUCCCCAUUUCCUCCACGGACUGGGCUUCCCACUCCACCCCUUUGUCCGGGGGCUCAUGUUCUACUACGGCCUGGAUUGCCAUGAUCUGGCCCCGAAUUUCGUCCUCAACAUCUCGGCGUUUAUCGUCGUGUGCGAGGCCUUCCUCUGCAUCCAGCCCCACUUCGGCUUGUGGCUCAAGACCUUCAAUGUCAAGCCGAAGGUUGUGAAGGGAAGCCAAGCGGAGUGCGGAGGCACCAUGGUGGGCAAAAUGCCCAACGUCACUUGGCUCGAGGGCACCUUCGUGGAAACCAUCAAAGGGUGGCAAUCGGGGUGGUUCUACAUCACCGAGCCGCGUGACCCUAAAUGGGCAGCGGCCCCCGAAUUCAGAUCUGGCAUCCCCCUGCGGCUCACCUCCUGGAAAGAGAAGGGCCUGCCAUGGGGUAGUUCGGAAGAGCUGACCGGACUCCAGUCCUGUCUCCAAACCCUGGUGAACAAGAAGCACAAGCUUGUCAAUGUGAUCCAGGUCAUGCUCGUCCGCCAGAUUCUCCCCUGCCAACAACGGGACUUCAAUUUGUGGGAGUUUGAUCCGGCACACCACCGGACCUUGAGUGGGCUCUUCGACACUACGUACGAAGAUGCCUGGAGAGUGCUGUUCAAGGGCGUCGAAGCUCCCGCAUCCGCUACCGAAGAUCGCGGAUUCAGCUCGCAGCGUCCGGCUGGCGAGGUAAGCUAUGUUAUCCUUUAUGGGACACUUGCUUUUCAUGUUUUGACCUUAUGCGGGAUCUAAGCUCCCAACACCUUUAACAGGCCUGGCAAGCAACGUCCGGACAGGUUAACUGUCCGGCUCCCCUUCCAGAAGACCCAGCGGAUGCCCGUUUGACAGGGCUGCUGGUCCCGGCACUUUACGUAGUGCCAGAGAAGAAGGCCAAGAAGAAGGCCACGGGAACCCGAAGGAGUUCCCGGCGUCAGGUGGUAUCGGACUCAUCGUCCGAUGACUCCGAGGCGGACUCCUCCCACGAGGACGAGGAGGAUAAGAAAGAGGCCUCUCCCCCAGCGGGGGGAGAGAGGUAGAGGAAGGCCUCCCCAACGAGGGAGGCCGAAGGGUCCAAGAAGGGAAGGACCCUUCCCCCGGACCGUUCCGCCAAUGUCGGCGAUGGCGACGAGGAGUGGCCCUCAAGGGCCAAGCCCCUGGCGAGAUCGUAAGUAUCCGGACUCCCGAAUAACUUCAUGAUUUUUCUUUUCGCCAAACAGUGUCUUUCUAAUGCCGCAUACAACCCUGCAGCCCGCCCAAGGACGAUCUUCCCGCUUCGUCGAGCGGGUCCUUGGGUACGUCGGAUGUGGUAGUACUUCACUUCCGACCGCCUCCACCCCCAAUGACACCGACGACGCCGAGGUGCGAUCCCAGAGAGGGACCCACCCAGAGGAGGAGGCCCCAGAGGUGCCACAGGGCAACCUCCCGGACUUCAUACCAGACUCCGCACCGGAACUUACAGUGGUUCCGGAGUCCGGCGGGCGGCCCCUUCGUAAGAAGGGCAAGACUGUGACGCCAGCGGCCUCCGUCCAACCGGAAGCGCCGGAUAACUUGCUGGAGGCGCUCGACGGCGCUUCCAUUGAAGAGGAACACCGCACUGUCAUGAGUGCGGUGAUUCAGAAGGUUCAGCUCACCAAAAGUGGGCUGACCGAGGCCUGCAGCAGCCUUCUAACAGGCUUUGAGGUAAGAAUUUUAAUAUAUGUAAAAUAGUACCGCAUAGACAGUAGCCCCUGGUGCUCGGUUCGGUGUUCGGAAAGAAAAUCCGGACUGAGGAUCUAAAGAGAUAUACGCAGGAGUCUUAAAAAUAUGUCAAUAUGGGAUUGCAGGCUGCGCUGCUGACCUCUGCCGCACUGACUGCGGAGGUCAAUGCUUUGAAGCAAAGCCUCGAGCGGUCCGAGAGAGAGCUCGGCCGUGCCAAGAAGCAACUCGAGGACAAGGAAGGUGAGUAACACCUUAUUAAAGUUGUACCUUGCAGAAAAGGAUUUGAUUGUAAGAGAAAUGACAAGGAUAAUGUGGGUACUCCAGGGGCCACGAACGAGGUGGCGACCCUGAAGGAGGCGGUGUUCGCGGCCGAACGUAAUGCGGCCGUGGAGCGUGAUGGGCGAGAGAAGCAGGAGGCGCGGGUGGCGGAGGUACAGCAAGAGCUCCAGGCUCUCGUGGAAAAACAUGAGAGUUUGGAGCGCGACUCGAAGACUCGAGAGUCCGAGCUUGCAUCGGCUCUUGAGAGUGCCAAAGCCGCUAAGGCCGAAGCCCACAAGGCCCUCCAGGAAAUCGAGGCGUUGAAGAAAAUAGCGGCGGGUAAGGCAUUUUUCAUGCAAAGCAAGCAUGUGAAUGUGAAUUACCUAUUACUUACCCGAAUUCGGAGCUCUCCAGGAGCGUUCGCAGAUCUGCCCCGCAGCGUGUCCGAUGCUGCCGCUUUCUACAGGGCCGAGGAGGGGAGCUCGACGGAGAAGGUCUUCUGAUCUCAGUAUGCUGAGGUCGGACAUCCGGUGCCCCUUAGCGACCAGCUGAAGCAGCUAGUCGAGCUCCACAAGGUGGCCGAACAGGCCAUGAAGGGCCUCAUAGUUCGGCUGUGGCCCAAGGAGGCCAUGCCUGGGAGCUACUUCGGCCUGGUGCGGCGGCUGGUGGAUGCGUGUCCAUGGGUUGAAGUCAUCAAGCACUCCGCCUGCAUUGAAGGUGCCCGUCAGGCCCUUGCCCGUGCGAAGGUGCACUGGGGCAGGAUGGACGCUGAGAAGCUUGUGACGGACGCGCCACCGACGGGCAAGGAGUAUCGCACGCCCGAGAUGUAUUAUAAGAGUGUCCUGAAGGGUGCCCGCAUGAUUGCGGGUGAGUGCUCCAAAGAUGUAAUAUUUGAGUAGACUCGCCUUUUGUUAUCCUGUGCGCUGAAAACUUUGUUCAUAUGCGCUAAGCAACGCUUGUGAAUUUAAAAUAUUACCUUCUGUGUGGCCAUUUAUCAAAUCUGAGAGAUGGCAAGUCGUCGGCUUCAGCCCCCAUGCCACGAGUGCUGGGGUGUUCGGGAUAAACUUGAGCGCUCUUCUUCCCAUUUUUGGGUCCAUCUAGGGAGGCGCUCAACACAACGAACAAGGCAACCAGACUUAUAGUGCUUGAACACUCUCACUUAGCUAUAGAAUUCUAUAAUUUUAAAUUUCGGCGAAGCCCCUAGUGUUCGGAUGACCGAGUUCGGGGUGCUAUCCACGCCUAGGCCGGACGAAGCCGGUUCCUCGCUCUAAGCGGCAUAAGUCUUUAGGGACUCGAAAAAACCUCUCGAAUAGCGACCAGCUCUCGCCUUAUCAUGACGGUCAGUUUUAGCUUUCUCCACUGAGGCGCUCUCCCAACUCAACUGGGGCGCAAUCGCAGUGGUUCUCCCAGCGCUACCUUAGCCGAUAUAACGGAACGUAAGGUACCAAAACAUGGGAGCCGGGCAAACCCAACUAUUGACCCAAGACAUGAUUCGGAGCCGAUGCAUAUAAUGCUAUAAGUUCGGGGUGCCGCACUUGUGAAAGUGUUCGGACUUAUCACACCAUAAUGUGGGGAACUUAAGCCCCUGGUGUAUUCAGCCGUACCAAAGUGUACGGAUGCAACAUGUCAUAAAUGAACAUAUGUAUAAGAAAGGAAUACAAUUAUAAGCAAAAAGCGAUGCAUCGUUUAUUCAAGAAAUACUGCCAUGAAUGCAGAACGAUACAAAUAGUGCAGUAAACAAGGGAUGGGACUAUUAAACAUGUCCCCCUCCAGGGGUAGGCUGCCGAAUGGUGUAUAAAACAGAUUUAAUGCUCGUAAUGGAGACCACCUAGAUAUUCGCCGUAGCCUUUCUCCUUCUCUGGCUGUUGCAUCAUGAGUUCGGCAGGUCUACUGCCGGACAGGGCCUCUGGUGAACGGAGUCUUGUGGGUAAGAAAAAAGAAAAAGGAAAAAAAGAAUGACACACUUGGGAGCCCCUGGUGUGGUUAAGCCGCAUUCUGGGCCUGUCGUGGUUGUGCCCCUCCCCCUAUGCCCAUGGUAUCUCCAGAGCGUAAUGAUGUACGCGAAGGACCAGUCUUUCAAUUUUGCAAGGGCUGGGGUUGGGGCCGCAUUGCUACACGUGCUCGGAACGUGCCAGGUGGUCUUGUUGUAGGUUACUCCGGGCGCGUUUAGCCGUGUCCGAUCGCUUAACGGUCGGACUCGAGAAUUGCCUUAAGAGGCUGCUCUGUACUUCUGCCGCGAGAGCCGCUGUGUGUUCCUCCGUUCGGAGGGAGAGUUCAGUGUUUCCAUUGACCGUGAUGACUCCUCGAGGGCCUGGCAUUUUGAGCUUGAGGUAUGCGUAGUGCGGCACCGCGUUGAACUUUGCAAACGCGGUCCGUCCGAGCAGAGCAUGAUGGCCGCUGCGGAACGGAACUAUGUCGAAGAUUAACUCCUCGCUUCGGAAGUUAUCCGGUGAUCCGAAGACCACUUCCAGUGUAACUGAGCCUGUACAGUUGGCCUCUAUACCUGGUAUGACGCCUUUAAAGGUCGUUUUUGUGGGUUUAAUCCUUGAGGGGUCUAUGCCCAUCUUUCCCACUGUAUCCUGAUAAAGCAGGUUCAGGCUGCUACCGCCGUCCAUCAGGACUCUGGUGAGGUGAAAUCCAUCGACGAUUGGGUCUAAAACCAAUGCGGCGAAUCCGCCGUGGCGGAUGCUGAUGGGGUGGUCCCUUCGAUCAAAAGUGAUCGGGCAGGAGGACCAUGGGUUGAACUUCGGGGCGACUGGCUCCAUCGCGUGUACGUCCCUGAGUGCACGCUUCCGCUCCCUCUUGGAUAUGUGGGUUGCGUAUUUCAUGUUCACCGUCCGCACUUGUGGGGGGAAACCCUUCUGUCCUCUAUUGUUCGGCGGUCGGGUCUCUUCCUCGUCAUCGCUAUGCAGCCCCUUGUCAUUGUUUUCGGCAAUUAGCUUGCCUGCCUGCUUGAAUACCCAACAAUCACUGUUGGUCUGAUUAGCUGGCUUUUCGGGGGUGCCUUGUAUCUGGCACGAGCGGUCGAGUAUUCGGUCCAAAUUGGACGGAACUGGAGUAGUUCUUUUGAAUGGCUUUUUCCGCUAACCGGGUUUGGAGCCUCUGAAUCCGGCAUUGACUGCCAUAUCCUCAGUAUUCUCGCCGUUAAUGCGGCGUUUGUGCUUGUUGCAACGCGACCUGCCGUUGCGGUCCUUAGUAUCCAGACUGCCAGAAUUUUUGCUAAGGUUGUUGCUGCGGGCUAGCCAGCUGUCCUCUCCCGCGCAGAAGCGGGUCAUGAGUGAUGUGAGGGCUGCCAUGGAUUUCGGCUUUUCCUGUCCCAGGUGCCGAGCAAGCCACUCGUCGCGGAUGUUAUGUUUGAAGACCGCGAGGGCCUCCGCGUCCGGACAGUCGACGAUUUGAUUUUUCUUAGUUAAGAACCGUGUCCAGAAUUGUCUGGCCGAUUCGUCUGGAUGCUGAAUUAUAUGGCUUAGGUCGUCAGCGUCUGGUGGUCGCACAUACGUGCCCUGGAAGUUAUCAAGGAAUGCGGCUUCCAGGUCCUCCCAACACCCAAUUGAUUUUGCUGACAAGCUGUUAAGCCAAUGCCGAGCUGGUCCUUUAAGCUUGAGUGGGAGGUAUUUGAUGGUGUGAAGAUCAUCACCGCAGGCCAUGUGGAUAUGAAGGAGAUAGUCUUUGAUCCAAACCGCGGGGUCUGUUGUGCCAUUAUAGGAUUCAAUAUUCACGGGUUUAAACCCUUCGGGGAUUUGAUGAUCCAUUACUUCAUCUGUGAAGCAUAGUGGGUGUGCGGCGCCUCUAUAUUGGGCUAUAUCACGACGUAGCUCAAACGAGCUUUGUCUACUGUGUUCGGCCCGGCCGGACUUGCUGUGUCCGGCGCGACGGUUGUCGUCGCGUAUCAUGGGGCGCCCACGCGAUCCGUAGAUCGAUCUUGAUUGUCUUGCCUUAUCCUCCAAUAUAUCUCGCAAGUCCGGAGCGUUCCCCUAUGGCUUUGUGCUUUUCGAGCGAUGCCAGGGUACGGUUUUAGUGUAGGGCCUAGAGGCCUCUCUGUCACGGCCACGGGGUGGUCGGUCAGCUGUAUUGUGCGCUGGUGAUGCAGGUUUAUAUGCCUCCUCCUCUAAUCAGGGGAGCAGCUUGCGUUUGGGGUAGCUUUUGGAGGGGCGUUCGAGUUCAUGCUCUUCGGCCGCAAGGACUUUAGUCCAUCUGUCGGCUAGCAGAUCUUGAUCAGCUCUAAGCUGUUGCUGCUUUGUCUUAAGGCUGCUUGCCGUGGUCAUAAGCCUGCAUUUAAAACGCUCUUGUUCGACGGGAUCCUCAGGCACGACGAAUUCGUCGUCGUCGAGGCUUGCCUCGUCUCCAGAGGGAGGCAUGUAGUUAUCAUCCUCUACCUCUUCGUCUGCCGCUCUCUCAUGAGGGCUGGCUUCUCCGUCCUCCUGUGCCGAAUCUUGCUGGAGGGGGUUGUCUUCGGCAGUGUCUGGGGUGUUAUUAUCUCCGGUGCCGGAAUCUCCAUUCUUGCUGUGGCGGGAUUUAGAGCGGCACCGCUGACGCCGGCGCUUAGGAUAUUUCUUGGAGGGGUCUUCCCCCGCUGUUCCCUCGCCAUUCCCAUCCUUUGGGAUAUCCACCAUGUAUAUGUCGUAUGACGAGUUGGCUUUCCAGUGCCCAGUUGGCGCUGGUUCUUGGUCGUCUUCGGCAUCGUCGUCCAUACCGUCGAUGUCUUCGGAGUCAAAGUCUAGCAUGUCGGUAAGAUCGUCGACAGUGGCUACUAAGUGGGUGGUGGGUGGGCUUUGAAUUUCUUCGUCGUCCGCAUCCUAACCAUCCUGACCGCGAUCCGGCCGGGGCUCUCCUGAUAACGAGAGAUACUUUAGCAAAUUCAGGAUUUCGCCGAAAGGUGAGUGUUGAAAGAUGUCUGUAGCAGUGAACUCCAUGAUCGGCGCCCAACCGGAUUUGAUUGGAGGGGGCACGCGAGGUUCGGAGUCCGGCGAGGAGUCCGGCACCUCGGAGUCACGAGCUUCACAAGGGACAAGGUCGGUAUUCGGCUCCAUCGCCGUAGAGGUAGCAGCCCCCGAGGUGGUGUCUAGCCACCCGUCCUCGAUCUGCGCAGCCGGCUCCAAAUUAAGGGUCGGAGCGGAUUUGUGUGCAGCCUCUAGGGCACUGUCCGGCAGCAGAGCUAAAUCAUGCCCAUCGUGACAGUGCGGCACGCUCGGCUGUGGCUCGAAUCCAUCGAAGAUCAAGUCUCCGCGGAUGUCAGCCGUGAAGUUCAGACUUCCAAAUCUGACCUGACGGCCAGGGGCAUAGCUUUCGAUCUGCUCCAGAUGGCCAAGCGAAUUGGCCCGCAGUGCAAAGCCGCCGAAUACGAAGAUCUGUCUGGGGAGAAAAGUCUCACCCUGGACUGUGUCGUUGUUGUUGAUGAUCGAAGGAGCCAUCGAGCCUAUCGGUGACGACACAGAGGAACUCUCAAUGAAAGCACCAAUGUCGGUGUCAAAACCGGCGGAUCUCGGGUAGGGGGUCCCGAACUAUGCAUCUAGGCGGAGGGUAACAGGAGACAAGGGACACGAUGUUUUUACCCAGGUUCGGGCCCUCUCGAUGGAGGUAAAACCCUACUCCUGCUUGAUUGAUAUUGAUGAUAUGGGUAGUACAAGAGUGGAUCUACCACGAGAUCAAGGAGGCUAAACCCUAGAAGCUAGCCUAUGGUAUGAUUGUUGUUCUGUCCUAUGGACUAAAACCCUCCGGUUUAUAUAGACACCGGAGAGGGCUAGGGUUACACAGAGUCGGUUACAAUGGUAGGAGAUCUACAUAUCCGUAUCGCCAAGCUUGACUUCCACGCCAAGGAAAGUCCCAUUCGGACACGGGACGAAGUCUUCAAUCUUGUAUCUUCAUAGUCUUGGAGUCUGGCCGAUGAUGAUAGUUCGGCUAUCCGGACACCCCCUAGUCCAGGACUCCCUCAACACUCUUACUUAUCGAAAGAGCUUACAAUUAUCCCCUACACUUGUGGGUUAUCUGUGGCGCCCCCUUUCCUUUCUCCCAUGAGAAGGGGAAGGCAGGAGGGGCUAGCCCUCCCCCUUUUCUUCCCUAGGGCUAGCGGCCAGGGAAAGGGGCGCGCCAGCCCCCUUGUGGCCUGGUGUGUCUCUCCCCUUGGCCCAUUAGGCCAAUAUACCUCCCGGGGGUGUCUGGAACCCCUUCCGGCGAUCCAAUGACUACCCGGUACACUAUGAAACUCUUCCGGUGUCCGAAUAUUAUCGUCCUAUAUAUCCUUCUUUACCUACGGACCAUUCCGGAGCUCCUCAUCAUGUCCGGAUCUCAUCCGACACUCCAAACAACAUUCGGUCACCAAAUCAUAUAACUCAUAUAACACUAUAUCGUCAACGAACGUUAAGCGUGUGGACCCUACAGGUUCGAGAAUGAUGUGGACAUGACCGAGACACCUCUCUGGUUAAUAACCAAUAGCGGAACCUUGCCCAUAUUGGUUCCAUAUUCUACGAAGAUCUUUAUCAGUUGAACCUUAUGACAACAUACGUAAUUCCCUUUGUCUGUCGGUAUGUUACUUGCCCGAGAUUUGAUCGUCAGUAUCUUCAUACCUAGUUCAUUCUCGUUUCUCGCAAGUCUCUUUACUCAUUCCGUAAUACAUCAUCUUGUAACUAACUGCUCAGUCAAUUCGCUUGCAAGGCCUCUCAUGAUGUGUAUUACCAAGAGGGCCCAUAGAUACCUCUCGGAUACACGGAGUGACAAAUCCUACUCUCGAUCCAUGCCAACUCAACAGAAACCUUCGGAGAUACCUGUAGAGCAUCUUUAUAAUCACCCAAUUACAUUUUGAUGUUUGAUAGCACAUAAGGCAUUCCUCCGGUAUCCGGGAGUUGCAUGAUCUCAUAGUCAAUGGAAUAUGUAUUUGACAUUAAGAAAGCAAUAGCAAUAAACUAAACGAUCAUAUGCUAAGCUAAUGGAUGGGUCUUUUCCAUCCCAUCACUCUCCUAAUGAUGUGACCCCGUUAUCCAAUGACAACUCAUGUAUAUGGUUAGGAAACCUUAACCAUCUUUUAAUCAACGAGCUAGUCUAGUAGAGGCUCACCGGGGACACGGUAUUUGUUCAUGUAUCCACACAUGUAUUUUAGUUUCCAGUCAACAUAAUUCUAGCAUGAAUAAUAAAUCUUUAUCAUGAUUAAGAAAAUAUAAUAAUAACCAUUUUAUUAUUGCCUCUAGGGCAUAUUUCCAUUAGUCUCCCACUUGCACUAGAGUCAAUAAUCUAGUUCACAUCGCCAUGUGACCAACACCCAAAAGAGUUUACCACAGUCAAUAAUCUAGUUCACAUCGCCAUGUGAUUAACACCCAAAGAGUACUAGGGUAUGAUCAUGUUUUCCUUGUGAGAGAAGUUUAGUCAACGGGUCUGUCACAUUCAGAUCCCUAUGUAUUAUGCAAAUUUCUAUGUCUACAAUGCUCUGCAUGGAGCUACUCUAGCUAAUUGCUCCCACUCUCAAUAUGUAUCUAGAUUGAGACUCAGAGUCAUCCGAAUUGGUUUGAAAGCUUGCGUCGACGUAACCCUUUACGACGAACUCUUUAUCACCUCCAUAACUGUGAAAUAUUUCCUUAGUCCUCUCUAGUAACUAAGGAUAAUUUUGACCGUUGUCCAGUGAUCUACACCUGGAUCACUAUUGUACCCCCUUGCCAAACUCAUGGCAGGUUACACAAUAAGUCUGGUACACAGUAUGGCAUACUUUAUAGAACCUAUGGCUGAGGCGUAGGGAAUGACGUUGAUUCUCUCUCUAUCUUAUGUUGUGGUCGGGCUUUGAGUUUUACUCAACUUCACACCUUACAAUACAGACUAGAACUCCUUCUUUUACUGAUCCAUUUUGAACUCCUUCAAAAUCUUGUCAAGGUAUGCACUCAUUGAAAAUCUUAUCAAGCGUCUUGAUCUAUCUCUAUAGAUCUUGAUGCCUAAUAUGUAAGCAGCUUUACCGAGGUCUUUUAUUAAAAAAAUCUUCAUUCAAGUAUCCUUUUAUGCUAUCCAAAAAUUAUAUAUCAUUUCCAAUCAUCAAUAUGUCAUCAACAUAUAAUAUCAGAAAUGCUAUAGAGCUCCCACUCACUUUCUUGUAAAUACAGUCUUCACCGUAAGUCUGUAUAAAACCAUAUGCUUUGAUCACCUCCUCAAAGCGUAUAUUCUAACUCCGAGAUGCUUGCACCAGUCCAUAGAUGGAUUACCGGAGCUUGGACAGUUUAAAGGGUACUAUCAAUGCCAAUAAUUUAUUCUUUAAAAAAAUCAUUAUUCUGAUUUUGAUUCAAUUUUUAUUUCAUAUUCUUACUUAUUUUAGGUUGAUACCAAUGCCACUAAUUCAUUCAUACUUACAAAACUUUAUUUUUACGAAAAUUUCACUAUUAUAUUUGUAUUCUUGCAUAUUAUAAAAAGAGUAAUUUUUGUGUAAAUUGUGGGCAAAAAAUAUUAGUUGUUUUAUUUUGUUCCGUAUUCAAAAAAUAUUAGUUGUUUUAUUUGUGUUCUGUUUCCCUUUUUUCUUGUGUCUUAUCAUGUAUCACAUAGUUCCUCUUAUGUUUUAGACCAAGCCUAAGCACCUCACGAACUUCUGUUUUGUGGUUGCAAAGGAUCGAGUGCUCUAAAAAAUUUAACUGGCUCAAGUUGGUGCCAGUUGAUCUUGUUUCUGCCGCACUAAGAAAAAACCAACUUGCCCAAUUUUUUUUUCAAAUGAUUUGUCCCUCAUCGGUCCCCUAUCAAAAUAUUGACAUGGAAACCUCAUGGUAUCAACCCAGAAUUAACCGUAAAGAAGCUACAAUAACCUCAAUUUCAAGAAAGUUACAAGAAUCCGAGCACAUAAUGCCUAAAAGUAUAAUUAGACCUAGAAAUCCUGGCCAAGACACUAUGGAUAAGCUUAUCAAAUAUGCAUUGAUAUGUAGAUCUAUCACAUUGAGAUAUCCGAAUAAUAAAGAAAAGAAAAACAAAAGUGCUCUUUUGAUCCCGAGCUCAUAUGCAACUGCAUGAACAGUAAGAUAAAAAACAAUAGUAAAAAAAUCAAAAAAAAUCUGAACUUUUUUAUGACGAACAUUGAUGAAUGUUCUAACUGCGUGCAAAAUUUCAGAUCGAAAUGACAUUUGUGGAGGUCUGGACAGAAAUAACAAAAUCCUCCAAAAUGCUUCCAACAAUAGUCUUUUUGGAGCAUCAAUUUUAUUCUUUUUGCCCAGACCUCCACGAAUGUCAUUUCAGCCUGAAAUUUUGCACGCAGUUAGAACUUUUGUCAAUGUUCAUCACAAAAAAAUCAGAUUUUUUUUGAAUUUUUUUACUAUCAUUUCGAUUUUACUGUUCAUGCGAGAGCAUAUGAGCUCGGAAUCAAAUACUCCAUGUCCGAAGAAAAACACACACACACACACACGUCUAUGUACGUUUCCAAUAUACGUAGCAGUUCUCAAAAGGAAAGAAAUGCACCUAGACAAUCCUUAUUGUCCUAACUGCAAUAAGAGGGCAGAAGAGACCACUAUGCAUCUUUUAUUGGAUUGUAACUUUGCACAAGAUUGUUGGAACUCAUUGAUACCAAAUAGAAAGAGAGGUGCAUCUGUGUAUGAGGACACCACCUUUGCAAGGGAACUCCUUCCAAAACAAUUUGCAUCGGAAAUUGUCAUAUUGGGAUGUUGGAAUGUAUGGUUUCAGAGAAAUGACAAAAUUUUCAGAGCUCCGCAACAGUCAAUUCAGGCAUGGAGGUUCUAUCUGAAGCAAGACCUGGAACUCCUUAGAUUCAAUAUUAAGGAUAAGUAUGAACAAAGUUUCUCCGAGUGGUUAUACAAUAAUUUGUAAAUCCAUGACUCUUAUACCUAGAACAUGCAUUGGCUAGGUCCUGACUUGAUCUUUGGCCUUUUAGGUCUUCUUUUCCACUUCUUUGUAAUAUAUUGAGUUUUUAUAAAAUAUACCGUAGAACUAUUAUUCUACGGUUUGGGGGUAAAAGAAAAUGUUUCGAACAUACGUUCUUUCGGACUCUUAAUAGAAACAACUCAUGAGACCAACCCAAACUAAUUGCCAACGGAAGAUACAAUAACUUCAUUGAGUUCCAAGAAAAAAAUUACAAGAACACGAACAUAUAACAUCUAAAAGAUAAAUUGACCCAGUGAUGGCACAUCCAUAUUAACCAGCUUCCACUCUUGAGCAAAUUGGGUAUCUCAUCCCGGUGGGUUCAGCUUGAAUAUACUGUCCACGUGGCUUCUCCUCCGUUAGAUCUUUUUUUAGGAUCCUUGAUCCGCCACUGGCAGUACUCCUAACUUUUUCCCGCAAUCCACGCUGCCAUCAAGCACCUCCUCUGCCCGGUACUUAAACUUGAACCCCAGCUCCACAAGCUUGUUCGUGUUGGCCUGCACUCUGACUCCCUCUCCCACCACCCUGACAGUCCACACACAAAGAGACAUAGUAUUAAUCACAAUUCACAACGCACCAUGAGAUACCUGACUUGGAACAUUUAGUCGAAGAAACAUACUCUUUCCGCGCUAGUUUGAGCUCUGGGUGCUUGCUCGCGUAGUGCUCCACCAGAUCCUGCAUGUUGGGGUGCGCGGUGGCGCAGAGGUAACGGCCGGCGGCGACGUCACCCUGGCGCUCCAUGCAGAAGACGUGCGCCUCGCAGACGUCGUCGACAUGCACCACCGGCACGGCGCCCAGGAGGGCCUGCGUGUACCUGAGGGCGUUGUGGUAAGGCUCGAUGCCGGUGAAAGGCGACAGCAUGAAGUGUUGGCUCUCGUUGAUGUACGGCAGGAGGGUGUCUCCUCCUACGAGGCCCAGUAACAGGACGACGACGUCGAACGCUCUGCUCUCCGAGGGGCGCUCGUUGUACUUGACUAGCUCCUUCUCAGCGAUGCACUUAGAGGAAAGGUAAUCCUGCAUAUAUAACAUAAGUGAACAUGGAACUCCAAAACAACAACAAAGCUUGAUAGUACAACAAGUGAGCAGGCUUGUGGCCAUGUUACGGGCCUAGCAUGGCAAGCCGGCCAUUUGCUAAAAAUAUAGUUUUCUUUUAAGAACAGGCAAAAGACUAGCAGCUCUUAUUCCACACAAAGUCCGUGGAAUAGCCUAUAUAAUGCACAAGGUUGGCUAUAAGGGCAGGUGCAAUAUAUUCACAAACAAAAUUAAUCCAGAAUUUUUAAAUUUAAUAGGUUCUAAAUAAUAUUAUUUAAAUAGUUUUAAAAUAAAAAUAUGUUCUGGAAAAUUAAAAAAUUUCAUGUUUCUUAAUAUAAAAACGCUCAUACAUUCGAGAAAAACUUCAUCCCAUGUUUAAGUAAAAAGGUUCAUGUGUUAAAAAAUGUUCAUGUAUUUAGAAAAAUAUAUUCAUACACGACUAGAUAUAUGGUCAUCGACUUUUGAAAAAAAAUAUUUACUCAUUUAGAAAAUGUUUGUGUUUACAAAAAAAUGUGUUAAAAAGUUUCACGUAUUUCAAAAAACUACUCCGUGUUACAUAUAUGUUUACAUAUAUACUUCUUAGAAAGAUAUCACUGUGUACAGAAAAAACAUCAAAAUCGCAAGAACGCACUCACGUCCAUGAAUUCGUUGCUGUGAUCAAUGGGCAGGCCGAGCGGGGUCCAGCAGGACUCAUUCGCAAACUCUUUGUACCCUUUCCCGUCCUCGCUGAGUGGCGACGCCGUGAUAACAGACCCUGUACUGAUGACACGUCUCACUGACUUGGACCGCUCGCACUGUUGUAGGAUGGCACGCGUCGCGUCCUCGAUUGCUUCGGUGGUGUCCUUGUACUGGAAAAUCAAAUCAGAUAAAAGAAAGGCAUGGCAUAACUUAGCUACAAUCGAUUAAAGUGAAAUGCGACAUUAGUGUAUGUUGUGAUUUGAAUAUCGUGCAUGCAACUUGCUGGUAAAAGCAUCUAAAGCCGGCUUCCUCAAACGUUUUCUAUGCGUCUGAGCACACGGAUCGGUCAGUGACCGGUCACAAAAACGUGACCCGGCCGGGCACCUCUGACUGGUCCUAUAUGCCGGGCUGGUUGGCAAGCCGGGACGCGCACGUCGGAUUCGACAGACAGGACCGAUCACAAAUUUCACCAAAUCUCCCCCGCCUUAUCAGACUAGCCAUCAUCUCUUCUCUCUCGUCCGCUCCAGCCCUCCCCUAACUCCACCACCAUCACCGCCACAAAACUCAUCCCCGGCCGACGGCCGUCUCGCCGCUCCGUACACCGAUGCCUCGCCGGACGCCGCGGUAUGUCUGGCUAUUCUCAGACCGCACCUUGCCGUCUAUGUGUUUGACAAAUUGUUUGAGCAGUUUUCUGUGAUUCUUUUGUAGGCAAAAUGAUGGAUUCUGGUGAGGAGUAUGGAAACACGAAGCUUGAUGAAUUAAUGCAAAAGAGUUCUUCGAUUUGUCUGAGUAGGACAUUGAGAUGAUAAUGAACAUGAGCAUCCAGAAGGAAAUGGGCAGAGAGGUGGAUCACAUUCUGAACUUCAAGGGUUGUAUCAAUGGGAGGAUACUUUUGAACCGAGGUAGGGUCGCUGGAGCACGACUUCUCUACAAGUAAUUUGAUCCCAAACCAACAUUCUCUGAUACUUUUCGUCGACACUUUUAUAUGCGCAAACCCUUGUUCUUAUGCAUGGUGGAGGAAGUGAAGGCACAUGAUCCCUACUUCAGGUUCACCAGGGAUUGCAGCGGAUAACUCUCAUUCUUUGUUAAGCAGAAAUACACGACUGCUAUGAGGAUGCUUGCACCACGUACCACCGUUGAUGUCGUUGGUGAGAUAGUUUGGAUGGGGAGGUCAUGCCUAAAGACCACUGUGAGAUUUGCCCACGUCAUGGUGCAGGUCUUUGGAGCAAAAUAUCCAAGAGAACCAAGUGUGCAAGAUACACAAAAGUUGAUGGUGAUUGGAGCAGCAAGAUGCCUUUCAUGUAUGCUUGGUUCAAUUGAUUACAUGCCAUGGCAAUGGAAGAAUUGUCCCAAGGGUUGGCGCGGGAUGUACUAACGUCACAUCAAAGAGGCCGGCAUCAUACUCGAAGCAAUCACAUCAAAGGACUUGUGAAUUUGGUAUGCUUUCUUUAGCAUGUCUGAUUCUCACAAUGACAUCAAUGUGCUCCAACAAUCUUCCGUGUUCAGGACACUUUGCAAUGGGAAGCGCCGCCGUGCAACUACAAUGUCAAUGGGCAUGAUUACAACAUGAGGUACUACCUUGCAGAUAAUAUCUAUCCUCGGUGGGCGGCAUUUGUGAAGACCAUAUCCGAUUCCCAUGACAACAAUAAAGUCACUUUGCAACAAUGCAAGAAGCAACUAGGAAGAAUGUGAAGAGGGCAUUUGGAGUGCUCCAAGGUCGUUGGGAAAUUAUUCAUGGAGCUGCUAUGAUGUGGUAAUCAUGGACUUUGUGGAAGUUGAUGGCAUGUUGUGUCAUUUUACAUAGUACGAUUGCCAAGGACGAGUGUAAAGGGGCAGUCCGAACUCAUGAUUUUGAGAAGCCUGGUGAACAAGUCCACAUCCCGAAACAAGAUGCGGAUUAGAUUAUGAAUUUUCUGCAAAUUCAUCAGAAUCUUUGAGAUGAACAAGUGCACAUAUGGGUCCACUACUAAAUGAUCUUACAGAGCAUAUGUGGACCCACAAUAGAAACUAAGAAGGACCAAAGAAUUUAAUGUUUGAAUUGUGCACUUCAAAAAAAAUUAUGUUUGAACUAUAUACGUUAAAAUUAUGAAACUACACCAUGAUCUUAUGAUAUUAAUGUGUAUGAUGGACGUCUAUGAAUUUAAAUUAUGAAACUACACAAAGAUCUUAUGAUAUUAAUGGUAUGAUGGACGUGUAUGGAUUUGAAUGGAUUUAAAGGGUUAGAUAUGAGGAGUGUCAUUGUCCGUAGGAGAUAUGAGGGGCUCGUGAUGCAAGAGCAUUGCUGGAUGGUGGACCGUCUUGCGCGGCACGACCUCACCCACGACAACGUGUGUGCCCUAUGCGACCAAGAGCCAGAGACGAUGCAACAUCUUCUCGCGUCCUGUUCCUUCUCUAGGAAAAUAUGGCAGGAAAUACUUAGUUAGGUGAGAGCAUCAAGUAGCCUACCAGAUGGCGACACCCCCUUCCAAACAUGGUGGACAACUUCGUCCGACCAAGCGCCAGUCUUCGCUCACAAGGGCCUCGCAUCCAUCACCAUCCUCACUGUGUGGUGGAUAUGGAAGCAUCGCAACGGAUGCGUCUUCGACCAUGAUCAGCCAUCGGUCUUUCAGCUUAACACCACCAUCAAAGACGAGGCACGCCUCUGGGCCAAGGCCGGUGCUACAGGGAUAAGAAACAUCAUUCCCGAGAGUUAGCCUUUUUGUGUUUUGGGGAUGAGCAGCCCCUUUGAUCUGUUUGCUCCAUCACUCACAAACAUGCCUCUAGCGCACAUGGCUUGUGAGUGUGUGUAAUCUCAUGUUGACACUCUUAUUCUAUGAACGAAAAGAUACGAAACCUUUGCAUAUUCGUGAAAAAAAGAUAUGAAGGGCUGCCCAACAGGGGUCACUCACGGGCACGUCGACUGAUGUUUAGGGGAGACGGAUUUGCCAAUCCGAUUGCAGAAGCUCUAACACGAGAAAGCUCUUGGAUGGGUGACCACUGACCGUAGCCAUGGUUAUUUUCCAUCAUGCAAGGAUUUGCAUGAUUGCACGAAUCCUGCACUGCAUUACUCUUCCUCGUGAGUCUAAGACACACAUUUCAAGGUUUAACAAUGUCCAUCAAUUAUACCGAGAUUACUUCAUUGCCAUCAAUUUUUGCCUAAGCAUGACUCUAGGUUAGUUUAAAGUGUAAUACAACAAACUGCCGAUACACCAAAAAUGAGUCAAGAAAGAUAAAUAAAAUGAAGACAUCGUGUAUUACCUGUAUUGAGAUGGCGAUAGGAUAUUUCAUUUUGUUUCACAAUAUUUAUGAUCAUGACUCAAAAUAUAAGUUAUGUGACUUCAAAAUUAUAUCUCCGGUCCAGCAGCGGACCAGAGGGGUCGACGAUAUGCGCGCGUUCAGGCACCAAUGGAGGUGGGGUAGUGGUUGGCGGGGUGCGGUGCUGUGUCAGUUGGUGGGGGGAGUCGGCUUGCCGGUGUUCUACGGUGGUGUUGCAGCACGGUGGCGGUCUCUGGCGGGGAUGGCUAUUCAGGUUCGCAUGGUCGAUGACUUUUCCUCUAGCAGGUCAAUAUUGGGUGACGUGCGAUGGACUUUCCUGUUGCAGUUUGGCUUUGGCAUUGUUCGUGGAUUUGGACGAAAGUCUUAUUUGACUUUGUCGGUGCUGGCAACGGCAGCACUCUUCACGACGUUCCAUUCUUGGUGGCGUUUUUGAGAAGCAUUGGCACCUCCCAUACGAUGGGGUCCGUUACUUCGGGUGAUAGCCUUGACUUGGCUCGCCAGGUCAGACUAUGGCGGCAUUCUCGAUGAUGUUUCCUUCUUGGAGGCACGGUCUUUGAAGUUGUGACCCUGUGGUUGGCGCAUGUCCCAGCAUUGGCGGAUCCCGGGGGGCAACGAUUUCGGCUGCGGUCAGGCAUGGAGUGGCGAUGCUUCUAAGUAUGGUGUCUUGCCUUCCUCUGAUUUUGGGGAGGCCCAGGAUCGCUUCCCUUCUGUGUUGGCGUUUCUCUCGAACGGCGAGGUGGCGGCAGUUGAAGUGCUCCUUAGUUGAUUUUGUUUCAUAUUUUACAGCUCUCGUGGCCUAGUUUAGCGAGGUUUUUGUGGCCAUGGGUACGAGAAGGUUUUGCCCGGUUUUUCUCUAAUUAACCGAGCUACGUUCGCUUUUUGUGUCCGGUUUUCCUUGUAAACUGGCUCAUUUCUGUAGGUUUUUGGUUUCGGUUUUCCAUAUAAACAGGACAUGUUUUAUCCUUCUAAUGGAAAUUGCGGGUGCCCCCUGCCCUCCCAAAGAGGUUCUUCGAAAAAAAUCAUUGAAUACAUUUUUGGAAUAGAAUUCAACUAUAUAACCUUUUGUCUCACAUAACUCAUAUUUAUUUGAUUAUAUUGAUGACCAAGGUAAAAUCUCGAAAUGCACGCGGGGAUUACUUGAGUAUUUUUAUAGGAUGUUAGAAGACAUCUUGAGUUCAUCCAAACAAAUCAAAUUCUUUUUAAAAUGCAUUUACUAUUCUUUCGAAUUUAACUGUUUAUAUUGGUGUAUUUGAGCUCGGUGCAGAUGAUUCAUGUCCCUGUGUCAGUACCUUCUUUAUUUUUGUAAAUAUAUGAGUACCUUCUUUACGCGGGUGUAUUUAAGUUUGGAUGUUGGGAAUAUUAAAAUUGUUGGAAAAAACUGAAAGAUGAAGACAUUUCUGAAUGUGUGUGUUAAAAAGAAAGUUAUCGAAAACCAGAAGUGAGAGUUGCAGGUGGUGAGCGUCCUUCCGACAGUGCAACAGUAGCUGUCGGAAAGUGACCACCAGACCCUUGCUAGUCAACUGACCGUGAAAUAACCUUUCCUGUGUGAACAUAUAUCCACCGGUGAGGUGUUAGCGAAAGCGAAGAUGUUACUCCAAUCCCGAGCAUCGAUGCACCCAUAUAAACAGUAAAUUCUGAUAAAACUGUAAAAGAAAAAACCAAAACAAUUUGAAACCUUUUGUGGAUUAACAUCAACAAGCGUUCUAACAUUCUGUAAAAUUUCGCCACCAAAAGACAUCCAUAGUGAUUUGUGCCAAAAGAAACAGAAAAGUUAGUGCUCCAAAUGUUUGUGUUUUUUUGCGGGAUCCAAGUGUGUGUUUUUGAGUCCCGAUUUUUACUUUUUUGUACAUGCCUACACAGAUGUCUUUUGUAGGUGAACUUUUACAGGAUGGUAGAAGAUAUGUUGAUGUUCAUCCAGAAAAAAAAAAUCAGGUUCUUUUAAAUUGUUUACUUUUUUUUGGAUUUUAGUGUUUACGAGGGUGUCCGUGUCUUUGAGCUCGGAGCAGACUGUGACGGUACCUUCUUAUAUAAAUAAGAGUACCCUUGUCCGUUGUGAUCCUCAUGAUCGAGACACAACCGGCCGAGAAGACUAAUGAGUGGUUACCUUGGAGCUGCCGGAGUUGUGCUGCAGCGGGGUGGCGACCAGGAAGACGAACUCGCAGCCCUGGAUGGCCGGCUCGAAGGACGCGGCGUCGUAGAUGUCCGCCUCGAACAGCACCAGCCGCUCCGCCGCGCCGGGGAGCCCCCUCAGCAGCCCCGCCUUCUUCUCAUCCCCUGCGUGUCCACAACGGACCAAGAACGCUCAGAGAAGAACAGAAGAUCGACGGGGACAGCGGCGCGCACGAAGAGAACAGCGCGAGAGAGCACGGGCGCGUACCGAGGUUCCGCAGGGUCCCGUGGACGGUGCAGCCUCUCUCGAGGAGCUUCUUGACGAGCCAUGACGCGAUGUACCCUGCAGCUCCGGUGACGCACACCUUGCUCAUCUUCUCCGGCCGGUCUUGUCUAUCCACGGUGACGCCCCGUGAUCAUGUCUUUAUAUGUACGUGUGGGGUGGGUGCUGGGCUCUCCCGAGCGAUCGUCGACAAUGACGCUGUCGCCAGAUUUGCCUCGUCAAAGAUGUCUCGCGGGAGCGGAAAUAUCGGAGCCCGUAGUAGGUGUCCACUCCACCACCGGUUUGGUCAACUCCAAGCACACGAUCCCAAAACGUCCGUUUUUAUUCAUUUUUGUCCGUUUGAAGGUGGCAAUGAAAACGAGUCUGUCAGAAUUUAUUGAGCGCCGGCCAUGCGCCCAACGUACAGCCGCAUCUCGUUUGCUGUGCAUGCAAUUUUUUUUAUUUUUUUAGAAAAGGAGGAUGACCCCCGGCCUCUGCAUCUGGGAGAUGCAUACGGCCGCUUUAUUGAUUAUUCUCGAGGACCUUACAAAUUAUUACAACAAUGUUGUUGACACCAGAUUUUGGCAUGGUCAAUAACUUAUUUAAGAUGGCCUCAAAUGGAGAAAUGAUCUUCAUGAAAGAGUUCCGUAUUGUCGAUAUGAACAUCUUUGAAGUUUGGGUCAUCGCAGUCCGAUUUCAUCUUGAAGGCCGAAACUAUGUUCAAAGUACUAAGAUCUUAUAUUCAGAGUACAGUUUGGCUGAUUAAGCCCCCAAGACGACCUCAAAUGGAAGAAUUAUCUACAAGGAUUGUUUUCGUCUCGUCGAAACGAUCGAUUUUGAUAUAAAAAUCGUUUCAAUACGAGUUCGUAUGCAAAAGUUAGAGCCAUCGAAAUACAGCCCUGUCAGGAGGCAAAAACUGGCGCGCCCCACCAGACACCCUGUCUGAUGGGUAGCGCGAGGGAUAACCUGUUUUGCGCGACCGAUUUGACUCUCAGUAUGACCUCUGAUCAAAAAACGUUCAACAUAAAAGUUGUUCGUCUUGUCGAAACAGUCAAGACUUCUUUUAGGCUCGUUUCCAUCCGAGAUAGUUUACCACCACAAAAAAGACCCGCAAGGUGCAGCCAGUUUAAACUGAACAGUUUUAGAAAGUUCGGACAAAAUCAAUUCGAAUUUGACUAGGGUUUUGGACGUGAAUCCAAGCCUUUUCCUUGCACGGGAAGUCCUGCCGCCUCUUAUAUAUCUAAGGGGUGACGGCCGAUUGAACAACACACAAUCGAUCAAUUCAUCUACCACUUUUUAUCUUUUAUCUUUUCUGCUUAACCCUAGUUAUUCUUCUUCCUCGUUCUUCGUCUGUUCUUCUUGUUGCAGGGCGGCGAACCUCGAGGCCCUAGGGGCGAUCAGGUUGACCUAGGGCAGCCCAUAGCCGCCGUGCGCUCUGACGGGGUCCCUCCCGGGCGUGUGAGGUUUCGGGUCUUCAAAAGCGCCAGCCGGAUUGUCUUGCGUACCGCGCUUCCGGCGGGUCUCCUUCGACGUGAGCUACGGUGCACCACCCCCGGCGUCGAGGGUACACGGUGACGUGUUCGUGUGCGAACACACUUUUUGGCGACUCCGCUGGGGACGAAGCUUCGAACGGUCUCCGGCCCGUUCUUGCUACGAAGAGAUCGUCAUCUAGGGUUUGCAGUCUACGAAGGUAAUAUGAAUAUCCAAUCCCUUUAUGUAGAUGCAAAUAAUUCAUAUGGUGUUACUAGAUCGUUCAAUGAGUAUACUCUAUCGGCCAACCCAAUUUUUUCAAUCAUGCAACUGACUACGUGCAAGGGCCGAUUCAAAAUAAUUUAUAUACUUCAACUUCUGAUGAUAUUAGUAACAUGCACCAUAUGUACCCCAACUCACAUGCAUCGGCAACCCAGCAAAUUCAUAUGCCGAUGAGCAACAUGAUGAGUUCGAUUAAUCAAUUUGAAACACCCCAAGUUAGAAUUUCCAAUGACAUACAAGAAAAUGUUUCACCCUUUUAUUCAUCGGCAGCUAAUGUGCAAUAUAGUAAUCCAACCAUGCCGAUGAAUGAGAGAAUUGGCCAUGCUACUAAUGGCUAUUUGGCCAGUUACUCUAAACCAUCAUAUGCUACACCUCAUGUUAAUAAUUCUUCGGCACCAUACACAACUGUAGAUGCUCAUAAUUCGGUUUCACACCUUCCUGGUUAUAGCCGAAUGAAUGUAAAUUUUACAGAAGCGAUUGUGCCCAAUAUUGUAGAAGAUGCGGUAGUGGUGGCUGCAUUGAAGAGUUUAGCCCAAAAUAAGAGAAUUAGUGCUCUUUGCCUUGAACAACAUGAAAAGGGGCUAUUUCCUGAUUAUGCAGCAAUAAAAGCUAUAGUUGUACAAGAAGAUGAAUCUUUGCCAAUUGAUAAAAUUGGCGAGCAAAAGUAUGGUCUUACAACAAUGCAUAUGCCUUCACCUAGUACUACAGCAUAUUAUACACCCCCUACACAAUUGCAAAAUUUCGGCAACACCCGUGUAUCAUUGCCGAAAGAAUCUAAAAGCAUUGGGGGGAAAUCAUAUCCGGAGUGGGAUGAAAUUGAGAAAAAGCUUAAAGCUAAUUUUGCCGCUCGCCGUCAGAAACAAAUAGAAAAAGAAUUGGCUCAGAUAAAAGAAGCAUUGCCAAUUGGUAGUAUCAAUGAAAAGAAGGAUGAUUCAGAACAUGCAAGUACUUCGGUUGAAAAAGCCAAAUCAAGUAGUAUAUAUUCUGAAUCCAUCAAAUCCAACGAGGCAAGCAUUAUUGAGAAAGGGCAUGGCAAGCAUAGGAAAACAACAGUGCUUGAUUUUUCUGAAGUUAAUGGAACCUACUUCCUGCCCUAUGAGUUCCGUGCCGUAGAAAUUGACAAUCUUCAAGGACAAGAACAAGUAGCCGAACAAAGUUCGGCCGACAAAAAUCUUGAGCGUAAUGAUGCACGGAAUAAAGAAAAAGAUGAUGAAAAGGCGUUGGAGAGUCAUCCAAAAAUGAAGCUAGAUAUUGUUCAAGUCACAACACCAUCAUGCUGUCCCAACGUAUUUGAAGAGGUAUGCAUAGCGAGUAAUUUACCUAUUUUCAGAUUUGGUCACAACUUUAUUGUUGAUGCAUCUAGUAGAAAAAUCCUCAUAGGUAAUUUUGAAAGACCAAUGAAGAAGGGUAAUUUACUUGUUAGCAAUAAAAUUGUUUUAGAACAUAUCGAUCAACCAAUUGUGCCAUUUUUAAAGACCGAUAAUGACUUAUUAUUGCAGCCAAAGCUUUCCCCGUUGCUUUAUCUAAAGUUCAUAUCUAUUUGGGUAGCUUUGCUUAUUUCGUACUUGGCUUGCACUUGGUCUCAAUUAAGACAUGUAUGUUCUAACUAUUUUUAUUUUAGAAAUUUAAAGCCAAGGUUAAAUUCUGUUGAGAAAACUGAUGCUAGUAUAAUAUCUUACCCAAAGACAUCGGAGAUAGAGUGCAAAACACAAUGCAUAGCCGAAUGGUGUGAUACAAAAUCUGAACCUUUCAUUUGCUUAAAUCCAAAGUUGUUCUCACAACAAGAUCGGC